GACAAUUUAAUUUAGUGGAGAAAUAUAAAUUACGUACUUGUAGCUGUGCCAACCAAUUACCCACUUCUUCGUGCCCUUCAAUGGUUAAUCUUUGCAAAGGCAAUUGAGCAUCAAAAUUCCUUGGACCUAAAAAGCUGUAAUUAGAUUGGAGCCAAAGAGAAAAUUCUCUUAGCCGAGGGAACUUGAUGAUGCCUUCUCUGGUAAGUGCAUCUCCUUCUCCACCGUAAAAUAUUUGCUUUAAAUUGUCAGCACGAGCAAUCCUCAUCUGUUCCAGGUUCGUAAGACUUGGAGACAUGGAGACAGGGAAGACAUAUUCCAGUGAAAAACAGAAAGAUAUGUUGAUUUUUUUUAAUUUUGGGAAGCGAGGAGACUCUGGAAUUAUUUCCCUUUCACCAUCCUCUUCUCUGAUAAUAUGCUUUAAUUCACCGCAUUCAUUUAUGCGAAGGCUUUCUAGCUUUGGCAGAUUUCGAGCGAGGGACGGUGUGAAGAUAAAUGUCAGUUUUUUGAGAUCUGAAACUUUCAGAUGAACAAGAUUUUGGAGGCUGACAUGUCUGGUGGGCCCCUUCCAUAUGCAUUUGAGCUCAGGUAACUCUUGCAGCUUUAACAGUGUUAAAGAUGACAGCAGCUCCUUCUCCUCACUGCUUCCUUCAUCAGCCUCACCCAAUUCAAAUACCUCUUCCAAUGAUUUACAGCUGUGAACAAUCACCUCCUUUAGAUUUUUUAAACCUUGCCGCAAUUUUGCUGGAAACAGAGUGAAAACAUCCUCACAAUCCCUCACUUUUACAAAUUCUAAUUUAUGUAAAAACAAUUGCUCAAAUGUCUUCGCAUUGAAGGAUGUACCAGCCAAAAUUAAUCUUGUCGAGGUUGGGUAUCGUCCUGCAUCAAACCGAUUCCCAACAUUCUAGUAUAUUCAUCAGCUAUCUGGAAAAACAAAAUCUCUAGGAAUGCAUUCAACCUUCGGUAUCCUCAAUGAUAAUACGGCUAACUGAGACAACGAAUUUAGUUCUGUUAGUCUUGCAUUCAUUCCUCCUGUGCUGUCUCACAUCCAACAUCAUCCCAUCCCUUAAAGCUGUGACCCCCAAUCAAUAGCUCUUCUAACUUCUUCAACCUUCCAAUGAAAUUCACAGGGAUCCUUCUUAGCCUUCGACAACCUGUCACAUCCAACAACCUUAACUCCUUGAGCUCUCCUAUUUCACCAGGUAAUUCUUCAAUGGAUGAGCACCACUUAAAAACAAGAAUCUUAAGUCUCUGCAGCUUUCUCAACCGAAUGAGGUCCUUGCAUCCACACAUGAUCAACACCAACGAUUGAAGUUUCGUUGAGAGUUCAAGUGAUUGCAAUGACAAACACCCUCCCUUCAGAGACAAAACUUCAAUUUCUUUCAUCCCUUCGAAAAACUUCUCUGGAACAUUCAUACCAUCAUCCAGUUCUAAUAAUAGAACUUUGAGAUGUGGACAUUCCAAUCCUUCAGGAAGUUCGGUUAGUUUAUUGCCCAUUAACGAAAUUGUUGUAAAAGCUUCAAAGCUUUUGAUACUCAUUGGCCAUUCCUUCAACCCAAUGCCAGCCUUUACCAUUAAUCCAUAUUCUUUUGAUGACGCUAUCCGAAUAGCAACAUCACGCAUUCUCACAUGUUNNNNNNNNNNNNNNNNNNNNNNNNNNNNNNNNNNNNNNNNNNNNNNNNNNNNNNNNNNNNNNNNNNNNNNNNNNNNNNNNNNNNNNNNNNNNNNNNNNNNNNNNNNNNNNNNNNNNNNNNNNNNNNNNNNNNNNNNNNNNNNNNNNNNNNNNNNNNNNNNNNNNNNNNNNNNNNNNNNNNNNNNNNNNNNNNNNNNNNNNNNNNNNNNNNNNNNNNNNNNNNNNNNNNNNNNNNNNNNNNNNNNNNNNNNNNNNNNNNNNNNNNNNNNNNNNNNNNNNNNNNNNNNNNNNNNNNNNNNNNNNNNNNNNNNNNNNNNNNNNNNNNNNNNNNNNNNNNNNNNNNNNNNNNNNNNNNNNNNNNNNNNNNNNNNNNNNNNNNNNNNNNNNNNNNNNNNNNNNNNNNNNNNNNNNNNNNNNNNNNNNNNNNNNNNNNNNNNNNNNNNNNNNNNNNNNNNNNNNNNNNNNNNNNNNNNNNNNNNNNNUAAAAACACUUUUGCUGGGCACUCCAUAGAAAAACAUAUGCCUUGAACACGUGUGUUUAGAAGAAUUUUACAACCCCUGUGAUCAUCACCAAAUGGGAUCCCUAUCUCUUUCAAGUCAAUAUGUUUCCAAACAUCAUCCAGGGUUAUAAGCAUCUUCUCCACUUUCUUCAGUCUCUGCCGUAAUCGAUCUGCUCUCCCUUCUUUACUGUUUUCUUCAAUUUUCAAACCUAACAUAUCUGCCAUUCGGUUCUGAAUGUCUAUGACAUUUGGAUUCUGCGACACCGUAGCCAUCAAAACUUCAUCAAAAAGCUGCGACUCUCUGGCUAUCGUGCCUACUCUUUUCACCAGGGUGGUUUUACCCACCCCUCCCAUGCCGUACAGUCCGAUCAUAUUGGCGUUGUCAUCUUUGCGAGCUUUCAUAAUCUGUUCCAAUGAAUUCCUUUGAUGGGAGAAAUUCUCUGGGCUGAGGAUGAGCUAUGUCGGACACUUUUGUAAACUUUGUGCUAUUUUCUAGAAGUUUUCUGAAAGUCUCCGACUUCUUGGCCAGUGCCUUGCUUAACUUGAAUUGUCGCAUGCAGUUUGGGCACCAAGUAAAGCAUUUGCCAUUUCUUCCUAUUUCAUUUUCCAAGGGCUUCGCACCUUCAAUUUUGCUGUUUGCAUCUUCCAUCCACUUUUUGACAACUUUCUUAAUUUCUUCAGCAUUCCUUUCAGCAGCUUCGACUUCUUUUUGCAGACCAUCUAGUGCUAAAGCAAGGUUCUCCUUUUGUUCUUUGAAUUCUUCAACAAAAUUGUUGAAACAGAACAUGUAACGGAACUGCCUUCCCACUGGUUCCACCAUGAGUUCUGCUAUCUUAGAUAUAAUGGAUCCACCCACACUUUCGAGAGCCAUUUUCCACCAGUCUGAAAAUCAGAGAAAUGAGGAUACAGGACGUGAGAGUGAGUCACUACAAGUAAAACAGGCGCAGAGAGAAUGGGAAUAGGAAUUCCAUUACCGUAAUUUGGGAAAAUAUGCGCGGAAAGCACUGGUACUGAGAGCUCAAUGAAAUAGCGGGAGGAAGAAAAGGAGAAGGCCUUUAGCUCUGUAUGGAAUCCAGCUUCAAAAGCAACAAGGCAAGGUAUAAGGAUUCUAACUGACACUUGUGAGUUAAAGCAGUAAUUCCCAUUAAAAAUGCAUUUUGAUGACAUAAUUAAGAUCAUAUAGAGACAGUGGCAAACAAAAAAAAAUGUAUAAAAGUACUCACCUAGCAAAGAAAGAAACGAAUGAAAGGUUCAGGAUAAUCACUUAGCCGCUUCCAACAACAAAUAUAAUUAAUUAAUCGAAGCUAUGAUCGGUCAAAGUUUUUUUUAGUUUUAUUCUUGUUUUUUUUUUAAAAAAAAAAAACAGAUCAAUAAAUGAAAAGACUUGCAAAGAAAUAGAAUUAGUGGAAUGAACACAAUAAAGGAUGAAACUCAAGCAAUUAAAAAUAAAUUAUCUAUAAUGAUCAUCUCUGUGUCACACUCACUGAGGUAAUAUGAUUGGCCUAUUACAAUAUUAAAUAAUAAUAAAAAAAGCUAAAAGAACUAGGUUUUUGGUGGCAUCCAGAUUGCGGUUACUUAAUCCUUCUUUUGUGGUUUUAUUUUAUUUCAGUCCUUCAAAUCUUUUUCUUUUGCUAUUUCAUCGAGUUGCUUUGCUCGAGUUGAUGUGCUUGCCCUAGAAUAUGCAUCAUGCUAGGGAUUACAAUUACAUUACAUAAGAAAUUAUACUUACAGAUUAUAAUUAAAAAUUUCAGUUUUUUUUAAAAAACAAAUUUAUGAGAAAGUACCAAUUUACAACGUGAGUAAAUGAAAGGAGAAUUUUAAAUCUUUUUGUGACAUGGUGACCAGCUGAUCCAAGUAACCAAUAGAAUAUCACCACUUGUUCAACCUAUCUGCACAUUAAGAUAGGGGUAGACAUAACUAUGACUAGGAGGGAGCAAAAAAACCGGAAAACCGAUUUAACCAAGAAAACCAGAAAAAAAUUAACCAAAAAAACCGAACCGGUAAAAAAAACCGAUUGAACUGGUUAAAAUAUUUAGGAAAAUGUCCGGUUCGGUUUCCGGUUUUGGUGUGCCUGAACCAGCCAACCCGAACCGAACCGAACCGGUUCGGUUUAGGAAUGAAAAAAAAAUAUAAACCAAGCGGGUCGCCUCCUCCCAUUACUUUCCCUUUCAACAACCCUAGCAGACCAUUUAUUUGCUUUCCCUUUCACACAGCCGCCCCCUCCCCUCAACCUUUCAAUAUUCAUUCACACUUCACAGACACAGCCGCCCCCUUCAAUCACCCCUACUCCCAUUAACAGCCGCUCCCUCCCAUUAACAGCCGCCUCCUCCUCACCAGUCAACGAGCUUAGGCUAUUCUCGGACAACCAUUCUUCGAAUCUCGAAAGAAAUCGCCGUGCGUGUGAGGUGGCGAAACUGUUACCGCUUCUAGAUCUUCUUCAAUCUAUUGCUUCUAUCAAAGCCGAUUACAUCGCUCAGGUAAUCUUGUCAUGUAAUUACAUAUUUAAUUAAUUAUUGCUUGUUGAUUUUAUAUUGUUUCUAUUUUUCAAUUUUGAUGUGUUAAUUAUUUUGAACAAUGUAAAAAUGAAGGUGGACGAAAGAACACAAUUUGGAAAGGAAAUUGGAAUCGUUGUCCCUGUCUCAGAUUCUCAAAAGACAAUCAAUCGCAAACAGUAUGUCCUCAAUUUUUUUUCCUUCUUUUCUUUCUCACUAGUAGAUUGGAAUUUGGAACUGCCAACAAAAGUUUGUAUUCGAAGUUAGCUUUUUGAAAAUUGACCCUAUUAUAUAUUUACUGUGGCUUAAGCUUUGAGAUAUUGCAUGAUUAUGAAUUAGUUUAUAUGAGUUGAAACUUGAAACAUAGUCUGACAAGGAUGGAUUAACCAAUUGCUGGGAAAUUAGUUUUCAAAUCUCUUUGAAAAAUGUCUGAUGUUGCGACAUAAGUCACAUAACAGACUCGAUUUGAAGGGAAUCUUUGAGAUAUUGCAUGAUUAUGAAUUGGUUUAUAGGAAUUUGCUGGAUUGAUUUUUUUUCUUUUUCUUUUUUAAAAGGGAAUCUAAUUAAAAUACAUUUUUUUCAUCUACUUUUUAAGUUUAAAUCUUAGAAUUAAUAUCCAAAAAAUUUCACCUUUGCUCGCUAAAAUAUAAUUUUAAUCUUAACAAAAAACUAUAUCUUAAAAUUUUGAUGGCUUACUGUGUUGCUAUCCAACUAAGAAAUUGACUCAAGUGGCUUAGUGAUAUAUAGUGGGGACAUUCUAUUUUAGACAUGCAGCUUGUUGCCUUGUUCUACUUUAUUCUAUAAUCUAUUUGAGAAAAAUGUUGUUUAUUUCUUCUAGACACUUUAGUCUUCCAAAUUUCAAUUGUAACCAGCAAGCAUAGAGGUUAUGAUAGAGGUUAUGUAUUGGGAAGAUGAACUAUUUUUUUAUUUGCAGUGGCUGUGAAACUCUCUUUCUGUGUGUCUCUGUCUCGUGUGCGUGCGUACAUAUGCACCUGUAAUUCUUGCUUCUCUCCAAUUCCUUUCGUUUGCAAGUUACUGUUGCUAGAGUAGGUGCAACUAGUUCUUCCUCUACAAGUCGGGUUUGGUAAGAUUGAUUAUAAAGAAAAAUGUAUUGGUAAUGCACAAUUUUGAUUUUAGUGUUGAUGUUAAGUGUGGCUUGUUUUAUGAUGGAUAAUUAUGUUGACAAUAUUGGGCUUCAUGAAUGAUGAUGCCAGUUUAUUUAUGGUCUUAAUAAGCUAUAUUACUGCUGGAUUUGUGCUCUUUAUUUAUAUGGUAAAUUCUUAUUCAAAUCUUUGAUAUUUAUCGCUAAUGAAACUUCAAUCUUGCCUCAGGUUGUCGACCAAGUCAUAAUUCCUCCUACAAGUAUACAAUAUUGUUUUAUUAUAAUGUUAUCGCUAAUGAAACUUCAAUUUUAUCUUAGGUGCUCUUUAUUAUUAUAUUGAUAUUAAAAAUAAUUUUAAAAAAUAAAAAAUAUAUUAUUUUAAAAUAUUUUUAAAAUAAAAAAUAUUUUAAAAAACAACUAUUUAUUCAAGGACUUAAAAUAAAAACCUUAAAAUCACGGCAUGAUAAAAGGAGGAAGAAAGGAAUGGGACAAAGAAGGAAGAAAAUAAGGUCACGUAGGGGUCCAGUCUUGUAUAAAAUAGACAAUGAAAAUUAGUAUGAAAAAGAGGCUAUUUGUUUUUUUACUGUGUCAGAGUGGUUUUUAUAAUUAUAUUUAAUUUAUAAAAAUAUUAAAUUAAUAUAUUUUUAAAUGUUUCUUGUUAUUAUAUAUAUAUAUAUAUAAUAUUCUAAUAUGUUUUUAAAUAAAAAAUUAUUUUAAAAAAAUAUAUGUCACAAUACUAAAUUAUAGUAUAAAUUAAAAUAUAAAAGAGUUCUCUGUUUAUUACUAUUUACCGAGACUUAUUUUAUUGUAGAUAUUAAUAGUGAAUUUUUUUAAAAUUUUUAAUUUGGUAUUUGAAUUAUUUUUUUUCAUAAUUAAAUAUCUUUAUACCCAAAUUAAAACUCAAUUGCAUUUUGUUUUUUAAGAAUAAGAGUUGAAUUCAAAGAUAAAUGACUGAAAUGAAAAACUCGGUAAAAAUAUGCGGCAACAUUGUAAUUGUUUGCAAAGUUCAUUUUAGUCCCUUAUCUUUUUGAGCUACUAAGUAACAUGUCCCUAUAAUUUCUCAACAUUACAUUUUAUCCAGAAUCUCGGAUUAUGCUUUAGGGACUAAACUGAAUUUUUCAUAAAUUGAGAGACCAAACUGAAAUUUUAUCAUCUUCAAUCUCAAACCUAAAAUUUUCACAUAUCACCUACUGAUAUAACAAGAUUUCUAACUCAAAUUCACCAGUUAAACAAACCAUAACUCAAAAUCAUCAUUUUUACUUAAAAUCUUUCAAAAUCAACUAAAUAACUCAUUAUUCAUAACAAUCAAUACAUAAUAUUCAAAUCAAUUCAUCAAUCAAACCCAAAACACAAUCUUCAAAACCCUCAUAUUCAAUAAAACAAAAAAUUAAAGCUAAGAAAAACACAUUUAUACACAUCAAAGCGUAAAUAUUCUUAUCUUUUAAUUUAUUUUCUCUAACUAUCUUAUCCUUUCUUUAUCUUUUCCUCUUUUCUUUUCUUUUCCUUUCGCUUUCACGGUUUUCUCUCUAAGAAUUCAGAUCUCUCUCUCUCUUUUUCUAUUUAUAUUUAUAAACUCUUUAUUUAAUUACUACAAUACAACCGUUCAUUAAUUUAUACCUACUUCUAAGCCUCAAAGAGUUUUGUUAUCUUUUUCUAUUCUCUUUCAUUUUCAAAUCAUCACAAUAAAAUUGUUUUCUUUUUAUUAAGCUGCUAAUUUAUGCAGCUUUAGCUCUUGUUCUCUUUUCAUGUUUAGCAACUCUGAUCUGUUCUUUUUCUUUACAUGAUAUAAGAGCAGGUUCUUACCUCUUGAAGUCUGCUGGAUAAACCUAUCAGCAGAAGAUCCUGAAGCGAUCCCAAAUCACAGCUUCAAUCCCCACCACAACCAAUCUCCUCUUUCCCGUAGUCUGUCGUCCUCAAUUGGGAAAUGAUCUCAAAAAAUCACUUGAUGCAACAAGUAGGGUAAAGAAAUAUAAGACUUCAACAAAGAAAUCAAACUCAAAAAAAUAAAAGUAAUUGUCUAUGAGAAGCAUUUCUGUGUCACACACUCAAGUAAUAUGAUUGACCUAUUACAUUAUACAAAUUAAUAAUAAUAAUAAUAAUAAUAAUAAAAGAACUAGGUUUUUGAUGGCAUCCAGAGUGCUGUUACUUUCAAACAAAGAGGCUUGUGCAUGCGGCGUUACGCUGUUCAUGUAGGCUAAGAUCUCCUAUGAAUACAAUUGUAAAAUCAUACAAUUGUUUUCUUUUUAUUAAGCUGCUAAUUUAUGCAGCUUUAGCUCAUGUUCUCUCUUCUUGUCUUGCUAUUCUGAUUUUAUCUUUUUCUUUGCAUGAUAUAAGAGCAGGUUCUUACCUCUUGAAGUCUGCUUCAAUCCCCGUAGUCUUCCGUCCUCAAUUGGGAAAUGAUCCAAAAUCAACAACUGGUGCGGAGAUAGUUUGAGUGAAAACAAACGGCUGAGAGAUGAAAUGUGAAGGUUAUGGUGAGAAAUUAGAUGACAAACUUACUUUGUCCUACUAAUGCUUUUGCUUUCAUUGUUUCAAAAAGUAAAAGAGACAUAAGCAUAAUCAGUGUGUUUUCUGUUUAGCAAUAGCUAGCAAGGUAUCUGCUUAAAAAGACCAUUGAACAAGGGAUGAGCCAUUCAGCAAGGGAUUCUGCUAGGAAAACAUGAAAUUGUUCUUCUAAACAAAUAGUACAGCAUCAAGUCUCAGUCACCUAUUAACGAAAUUGUUGUAUUUCUAAUGACAAUGCUAAUAAAAAAAAAUUGAGCCAGCAUGACACAUGAAAUUCAAAAUUAACAAAAUAACAUGAAAAUAUAAAUAUUUAUAUUAUAAUUAUACAUCUCAAAAAAUCACUUGAUGCAACAAAUGGAUAGACUUCUAGGAAAUUCUUUCACUGUGAAAUGGCUGAAGGUUCUUUUAUGAACAUUUAUAUUAAAAAAUUGGGUCAAUUAAUCUUCGUUAUUUAACAUGAAUAAAGUGUUGAUUUAGUCUUGUAAUUAUUAUAUCAAAGCUUUUAUUAGUUUAUGCACGAUCCCUAUCGGGUCCCGGAUCGACCCAUAAAGCCAAACCAAGUGUUAAAACUAUGCUAUCUUAGCAAAUUUAGUUAUCCCAAUUCUUAAUUUUCAAUUGAAAAUGCUAAAGAAUUCCCCAUUGAGAGAGCAAAUAAUAAUAUGUUAAGCAUGACAAAUUUUAUUUAAAUUAAAAAGCUAAAAAUGAACGCAUCAACUCUUGCAAGAAUGGACUCAAAAGUUCAGCUAAUCAGCAUAAUUAAAUAGUACUGUUACUGUAAACUACUAGGAAAUUCAUGGGCAAAGCCAAAAUGUUAACAAUAGCAUUGAUUCGGUCAGGGGCUCUGGUGUAUAGAGAGGACCUUGCCGUUAGAAACAAUGGAGCCCACUAUUUAUUAAUCUAUUUCUAUUUACUACUUAUUAAUAUUUAUUUAUUUUUAUUUACUAUAUUUCUGUAUGUGAUACCUAAGUACCAAUAAAAUUUGAGAUUCCUUCAACUUUUUAGGUGCAUGGUCUAGUCUAAUGGCUGCAUGUACAAAAUCAAUUCAAGGGUGUGUAUCCUUAACUAUCAGGCUAACCUUUACAGGCUGAGCUAGCAAUCGAUAAUUAAUUUUUAAUGAAUUCAUUUUUUAUUUAAAAUAAGGAAAAGGACAUUGGAGAAUAUAUUGUUUCCUUCCUAUUAUAAUUGUUACACCUUACCAAAGGGCUAAUUUAGAAAAAGAUUAUAACUUAUAGGUCACCAGGGCCGAGGUUAACUUUUGAUUAAUUAUUUUUAUUAAAAUAAUAAUGUUUUGUUUUUUUAUAUUAAUUUGGCUAAUUUUUAUCAAAUCAAAUCACUAAAAACUUAAUCAAAUUAAAUUUCAUCGAAUCAAUAAUAUUUUAUGUAGUUGAAUUAAUAAUAUAUAUAUAUAUAUAUUUGAAAAUAAUUUAAAAAUGAUGUUUUCAUUAAUACCCAUUCUCAAUAUUGACCAAAUUCACAUGAAUUUAAUAAACUAGUUAUUAAAUUCAAAAAUGCAUAUUCAUGUAUAAUAUUUUAAUUUGUUUUUAAAUAAAGAAUAUUUUUAAAAAGUAUGUGCCACAAUACCAAAUUAUAGUAUAAAUUAAAAGAGAAAGGAGUUUUCCUUCAUCACUAUUCACUUAUAUUCAUUUCAUUAUGGAUAUUAAUAGUGAUUUUUUUGAAAAUUUCCAAUUUGGUACUCAAUUAUUUUUUUUCACAAUUGAGCUCUUAGUAACACGGUUGAGAUAAGAGAGGGACGUGGAAAUAGGAGAGGUUGAGGGAGGCAGAAACGGAAGUAGACAUUGAAAGAUCGGAGGAGAGUAAAGAUAAAAAAAAAAUAUGAAUAUGUGAUGCUCGUUUAUCUAUUUGAUUGGGAUUUUUUUUUGUCUCUUUUAUUUGGAAUUUCUUUGGACACUUUAAUAAUAUAAUAACAAAGAAAAUUAAAAUAUUGGUGAAAUUAUUGUUCAUUCAAUCACAGAUUUACCAAUAGUACUUUUAUUUGGACUACAAUAGUACUUUUUUUCUAUAUUUUAAGUUUUAGUUUUUGAUGGCCAUGCUCGUUUGUUUUUUUUUAAUUUUUUUUUCAUGCUCUUACAAAUAAUGCAGGAAAUGAGGACCUGAAAUCACGGCAGCGAAUAAGAAGAGAAAUAACGUGUUUGUUCUUAAGUAUUUUUUUAAAAAAUUACAUUAAAUUAAAUUUUAUUUUUAUUUCAAAUUAAUUUUUAAAAAACUAGCUUUACGAAAAAACAAAUGAUAGUAGAGUAGUUGUCCAAAUCAAAACACAUAAAUAUAGGACAAAAACAGGGAGAGAGGCUCUUCAUUUUUUUUAACUGUAUUGGUUUAAUAAGGUUUAUAUAGUAUUUUAUAAAUAUUUUGGAUAAAAAAUAGGUUAAAAACAAGUUUUUAAAUAAAAAAUCAAGCUUGUAACAUGGUGCAGAACAAACAGAAGAGACAUCUGGUUUCUCUUGACCAAAAUAAAGAAUAUAUCUAUAUAUACUCUCUCUUCCAAUUUCCUCUCCCAGCUGAAUUUUGGCGACCGCCCACACAACGAUAGCCUACACAACCACCAGCCAUGCCACCUUUCAAGACCCCAUCUCUCAAUCUCAAAACCAAAAACAACCCUUUCUCCAUUUAUCCGAACCUCAUAACUCCAGGAAAGUGAAGGACUAAACCAUAGUGGCAAAAAUCUUAAAGGGUUCUAAAUUGUCUCUGUUACUUUCCCUUAAUUUUCUAGACAAGCAAAAGGAGCUAAACUUAUUCCCGACCAAAACGUCAAGAAUUUCAGUGGAACAAAAGAAGAGAUCAUUACUUGACCAAAAACAACUAGUCAGCACCCAAAGAAACUGAGUGAAUGAGAGAAAAAGACUAAUAGCUAGAAAACAAUCAACAGAUCCAAGAAUUUUAUGUAUGGUUUCCAAGAAAAUGAAACGAAAUGAGCAGCACCACAACCCUCUUUCUCCUCCAAGAAAAGAAAGAAAAAGAAAGGAAAGAAACAAAGAAAGUCAAACUUGGCUCCUCUUUUAGUGUUAAAAAAAAAACAAAGAAGUUGAAGGAAGUGGGCAGCCUUUUUUCUGAUGUUCAUGUGGUGUUCUGCUGUUCACGCAGACUAAGAACUCCUACCAUCGUAAAAUCAUAUAAUUAAAACACAACAAUAAAAAAGUAAUAAGCAGCUAAUUAUGUGCGAAAAUCAGAGAAAUAAGGAAACAGAACGUGAGAGUGAGUCAUUGCAAGUAAAAGAGGCGCAGAGAGAAUGGGAAUAGGAAUUUCAUUACCUUAAAUUGAGAAAAUAUGUGCGAAAAGAACUGGUACUGAUUGCUCAAUGAAAUGGAGAAGGCCUUUAGCUCUGUAUGGAAUCCAGCUUCAAAAGCAACAACGCAAGGUAUAAGCAUUUUGAUGACAUACUUAAGAUACUAUGCGUAGUAAUAUAGAGACAGUGACGAAGAAAUAGAGAAAAAUAAUGUGUAAAAGAACUCACCUAGCAAAGAAAGAAACGAAUGAAAGGUUCAGAAUAAUCACUUAGACGCCUCCAUGGAUGAUAUACCAGCUCGCUUCCAACAACAAAUAUAAUUAACCUAAGCUGUGAUCGGUCAAUGUUUUUUUUAGUUUUCUUCUUUUUAAAAAAAAAAAAAAAAACAGAUCAUCAAGGGAAAAGACUUGCAAAGAAGUAAAAUUAAUGGAACGAACACAACAAAGGAUCAAACUCAAGUGAGGAGAGAAAAGAAGGAGAAAGAAAGGAAAGGGACAAGGAAGGAAGAAAGUAAGGUCACGUAGGGGCAGUCUUGUAGAAAGUUUGAAAAGUAGCAUGAAAGAAGAGGAUAAUAGAGUAGUUGUCAGAAUCAAAACACGUAAGUUUUUUUUUUUUUUAACUGUGUCUGAGUGCUUUUUAUAAUUAUAUUUAAUUUAAAAAAUAUUAAAUUAAUAUAUUUUUUAAUAUUUAUUGUUAUUUUAUAUAUAUAUAUAUAUUUAUUUAUUUAUUUUAAAUAAAAAAUAUUUUUUAAAAGUAUGUGUCACAAUACAAAAUUAUAGUAUAAAUUAAAAUAAAAAGUAGUUUUAUGCUCAUUACUAUUCACUGGACUUGUAGAUAUUAAUAAUAAAGUUUUUGAAAGUUUUCGAUCUAGUAUUUGAACUUAUUUUUUUUGCAUAAUUGUAUUUUUUAAGCUUAGUUGCAUAUUUUUUUAAGGAAAUAGGUUGAAUUGAGAAACAGAGAAACUCGGCAAAAAUAUGUGGUUCAAAUCAAUCCAUUUUUUUUUAAAAAAACUCCUUAGUUGUUCCAGGAAGAGGGCAGCCUUUCUUCUGCUGUUCAUGUGGUGUUCUGCUGUUCAUGCAGACUAAGAACUCCUACCAUUGCAAAAUCAUAUAUUUAAAAUACAAUAAUAAAAAUGUAAUACGCAGCUAAUUAAUGCUGUUGUUCUUUCUUCUUGUUUUGCUAUUUUGAUUUUAUUGUAUUUUAAAAAAAAAUUAUGAUUGUGAAAGCUAGCUAUCCAAAACAUUAGAUCAAAGCAAUCUAAGAGGGUUUUUUAGAGUGUGGUUAUCGUUGUUUUUUAAAGUGUUUUUAUUCAAAAAUACAUCAAAGUAAUAUUUUUUUAUUUUUUAAAAAUUAUUUUUGACAUUAGCGUAUCAAAAUUAUUUGAAAACACCAAAGAAAUACUAACUUAAAGUAAAGAAAAAAAUAAAAAAAAUUUAAAAAUACUUUUGAAACAUAAAAUCAAAUAAAGCCUUAGAAAUUAGUGUAUCUAUGCCCAGAGAUACCUUUUAUAACCUAACUUUUUUAAUAUAAUUUUUAUUUAAUUAUGCAAUAUAUUCAUAAAAAACACUCAAAAUAAAAUUAUAGACAAAUAUAUAUAUAUAUAUAUGAACAUCCAAAAAAGUUAUCGAUAGCUGUGUAAAUCAUUGAAAUUGCCACAAAAGCAACCCAAAUUAGUUAUGAAUUGGAUUCGAUGGAAGGAAGAGGGGAAAUGGGUAACGGCCAAUUAAAAGUUCAUUAAAAAAAAAUCUGGAACACAACAGAUGGAAAAAACUCGAAACAACUUGAAUUAUAGUAUAAAUUAAACUCGAAACUGGAAAAAAAAACUGGAACACAACAGACUCAUUAAAAGUCGACGUGUCUAGAAUUUAGGCAAGAAGAAUGAGCCAAGAUUUUAAUUGCAAUGAAAUUUAUCUCACUUUGUUCUUUUUUUAAAAAAAAUGAUACAAGAUAUACUGCUUGUUUUAAGUGAAACAGAAUGGAAUCGACAACUUUAAAGGGAGCAGAGACCACAUAUGUAUAGCUCAAAUUCAAUAGCUUUUCUCCCAUGCUGACAUGUGAUUUACACGCACCAACAUUUUUUUCUUCUUUAUUUUGUAAUAUUUCACAUCGGCAAGUAAGGAUUUGAUAGCUAACCUUAUUAGUAGUGUUAGUUGAUGACUUGUCAGACACGUUUUGAGGUCAUGCGUGAUCACCAAAAACAAAUCCGUGAGGGCGGUAAGGCCUAAAACGGACAAUAUCUGACAGGUUUGACCGGACUGUGACAUUUGGUAUCAGAGCUGACCUCACUGGCUAUCCAGUUGUGCUGACAGGGUCAUUAAACUCCUUAAAAGGGGUGAAUUGUAAUAUCUCACAUCAGUGGGUAAGGAUUUGGUAACUGGUCUUACUAGUAGUGCUGGUUGCUGACUUGUCAGAUGCGUUUUGGGGCCAUGCGUGGUCACCAAGAACAAAUAUGUGAGAGCAAUAAGGCCUAAAACGGACAAUAUGUUGUAGGUUGGGUCAAGCUGUGACAUAUUCAAUAAUUACUCUUCAAUUAAAUCCUAAGUCUCAUUUCAUCUUUUCAAUUUAAUCCCUAAUUUGACACCAACUCUUCAAUUAGACCCCAAACCUCAUCGCACCUGAGAAAAGCCCUCUUCUUUCAAUUUAGCCCUUUAUUAUCUUCAAUUUAAUAUCGAAUUUUAUUCGAUCCAAGCCCAAAAAAGGCUAAGCGAAGAUAGAAUAAAGGAAGGGAAAGAAAAUGAAUAAUUGCCCAACCGAGUUAACGUGUUCUGGUCUUUUCUCCAUGAUUCGGGUUGAACAUUUGACAUUUAUCCUUUUUUUCUAUAGUCUUUUCUCCUUGUUCGUUGUGACGCCGCACACUUGCGACAACCAGUAAAUCUAUAGUUAAUUUAAUUUUUUGAUAAAAGAUAAUACCAUCGGUAUAGAAUGGUUACCAACUGUUACUUUAACAUGCCUUGUAGCCAAUCGGUUAGUUGUACGAGGCAUUAUUAUAUUCAUGUAAAUACAUAUUUAUUAUUAAUAAAGGCUUAAUUUAACUUUAAUAUUCAUAUAAUAUUAGAUUAAUGAAUAUAGAGUAUAGAUAAAGUUUAUGAGACAAAAAUGCUUUGCAAAGGAAAUUAUAAAGUUGUUAUAAUUAUGAGAUUUGUAAUGCAUCAAAGUAUUGCUCAUAAAAUGUUUUUGGUCGAUGUUCUCUUAAAUACUGGAUAUUUAUUAGAGCCAUAAAGACUGAUACAUAUUAUGUUUUUUCCUUUAUGAAAUGAAGCAAUUGUUCUCAUAAGUUGAGUUAUAAGGGAUACCUAAAACUAAUAUGUAUGUGCUUGUCAUAAAACAUAUACACUGAAUUGACCCGCAUGAGAAUUCCAUAUGGAGAGAUUACCUAUGUCUAUGGAAAGACUCGCAUGACGGUUGUAUAUGUAAUCCUUAGACUUGAGAUCACUAAGUUAUCUUAUAUAGAGAUUGUUAUGCUUUGAUCCUGUUACAUGUUAUCUUAAUUGAGGUAACAAAAUGAUAGGCAUUAGGUAUAUCAUGAACUAUAUGAAGGUUUUCUUGAGUGAUCAAGAGAGGAUUUCAUCACCCUAUGUGAAUUAGGAAAAAUGUUCCAUCUGUUCUCAAAUAGUAUUGACUGAGAAAUCCUUAGCUAAGGAGGAAUGAGAUUUAAAAGGGGUUUCAAAUCUUAUUCAAAUGAUCAAUUACUAUUAUGUAGAGAAUGAACAUGAUUUAACAUGACAAACAUGCUUCAUGCUUUAAUGUUAAAUAAGAACAUUAAUGAUAAAAUGAUAUUAAUUAUAGUGAGAAACCAGUAAUUGAAAUCACUAAUGACUUUUCUAAUAUUUAGGGAAUCAUGACAAGUUACUAGACAAUGCACAUGAUCUUCAAAUUUUCAAUUCAAAUUUAUUUAAUUAUAAUUAUAAUUUAUAUUAGGAACCUAAUAGGUCAUACACAUUAAGAAUUAAACUGUGAUGAUUUAAUUAAGUAUAACUUGAUUAAAAUAUAUUUUAGAAAUUAAGGACUAUAAUAUAAUUAAUAUAAGGAUUAUAUUUCCAGAUCUAGAAAAAUCAGGUAAGGACUUGAUUGAGUUAAUUUAUAAAAUUAUCUUAAAUUAAUAUAUGGAUAUUAUUCAAGGGGGGAAAUUAAUAUUUUGUCAAUUUAUAGGAUUUUUCAGAUUUCCUUAUAAAUAGUAAGCUAUGCCUCUUAUUUUUUAGGAGUUAUCUGUUAGACAGAAAAACUACGUAUGUCACAGAAUAAAGAGAUAACACUCUAGGCAUAACAAUCCCUCUCUUCUAAAUAGGGACUUGUGAGAUUUUUCACCAGUGGUUCAUGUGGAUUACAAUUAAGAGACGGACAAUUGGACGACUUCUAGUUUGUAACAAUCCAAUCUUUAAAAAAUUAUUCAAAACUGAAAAUGAUCAAAUUUUCAGGUAAUAAAUCCCUAAACAACUCUAAAUCUGUUUAAUGAGAUUCUGGAGACUCCUUAAUAAUUUUAUUUUAUUGCUUUGGCUAAGUGUAUGCUAUUCUGCAAACCCAACACCAACUUCAUCGUGAGUUUAACAUUUCUUUUACAUGUUGGGAAUUUGGUACUAAUGGGUGUAUUUUUUUAAGUUGAAAUAAUGCCACACAAUCUAGGUUCAAGUGGUUCAUGAAUCAAAUAGUGGUUGUUAGACACUGCAAUUGGAUGGCUCCUAUUUGAUAUAUGAAGCUAUCCUAAGGGAAUCAUGCUUGUAUCACCUAUAAUAAUAAUAAUAAUAAUAAUAAUUAUUAUUAUUAUUAUUAUUAUUAUUAUUACAUAUUAACAAGCAUCAUUUGAUUAGUAAGUUUCCAAAUUCUAUCCACAAAUAUUAUAACCUCUUAAUUUAUGCAAGAAAUUAGCUAGAUUUCAUGCAAGCAAUCCCUAACUCUAGUAUUUUCUUUGUGUUAAAAAUGGAGACUUCUUGGUGUUAGCCGGAGCUUGGGUAUACCAUUUUUGAACAAAUAACAAGGUAAAAACAUCUUUUAACGAUAUUAAAAUCAUUUAUUCAUUUAAAGUAUCAAUAUUGUUAAAAAACAUCUUUUAACAACCAUUCUUCGCGUUUCACUUUUCUUCAAAUGUUUUCACCAAAACAAAGCUUCAGCCUUUAAAUUGUUGCUUAUAAAGUCGAGAUCCAAGGGAUUAUUUAAGAUUUUAUGGAAAUUACGUAUUUCAAAUAUUUUAUGUUUAUUUUUCUGAAAUAUCGUUUGAAGCAAAAAGCAAAAAAGAAUUAAAUUUUUUUUAAAUAUUUUUAAAACACAAAAACAACCAGAAUUUUUUUUUUUAUUUUUUAAAGAAUUGUUUUUAAAAAAUAAUUUUUUGUAUUCUAAAUUAAUUUUUUUUAUUGAUAUUAAAAAUAUAUAUUUUUUAAAAUAUUAUUUUAAUAUAUUUUUAAAUAAAAAAUAUUUUAAAAAACAUCUACUUAAAAAAUACUAUUUUUCUGAAAUAAUACUUUUCUCUAUAUUUUGAGUUUUAGUUUUUAAUAGCUAUGCUCGUUUAAUUUUUUUUUAUUUUAAUGUUUUUUCAUGCUCUUGCAAAUGAGGCACGAAAAGAGAACCUGAAAUCACGACAGCAAAUAAGAAGAGAAAUAGGUGUUUGUUUUUUAUUUUUUAAAGCAUUAUUUUUUAAAAUUAAAUUUUUGUAUUCUAAAUUAAUUUUUUUAUAUUUUUAUACUAAUAUUAAAAAUAAUUUUUAAAAAAUAAAAAAUAUUAUUUUAAUAUAUUUUUAAAUAAAAAAAUAUUUAAAAAAACAACUGUGUAUUCCAACACUUAAAAUAAAAAUCUUAAAAUCACAGCAUGAUAAAAGAAGAAAGAAAGGAAUGGGAUAAAGAAGAAAGAAUAAAAAAAACCCCCUAAAAUCACGGCAUGAUCAAAGGAGAAAGAAAAGGAUGGGACAAAGAAGGAAGAAAGUAAGGUCACGUAGGGGCUUGUCUUGUAGAAAAUUUGAGAAUUAGCAUGAAAAGAGGAUAAUAGAGUAGUUGUUAGAAUCAAAAGACAUAAACACGGGAGAGAGGCUGCCCCUUACCUCCUCCUGGGAAGGAAUAUAUGUCAGACUAUACAGCCUUUUUCAAUUCAUUAAUGUCGUUCUCUGUUUGUCUUCUAAAACCUACUCCCAUCAUAUACAUGUAUUAUUUUCUUAAAAUUGCUCUAUGGGAUUGCAGGCCAUGCUCGUUUGAUUAAAAAUUGCUCUAUGGGAAUUUGGUACUAAUGGAUGUAUUUUCUUAAGUUGAAAUAAUGUCACUGGGAUCAUGAAUCAAAUAGUGGUUGUUAUUUGACACCGUAAUUGGAUGGCUCAUAUUUGAUUUAUGAAGCUAUGCUAAGGGAAUCAUGCUUGUAUCACAUAUAAUAAUAAUAAUAAUAAUAAUAAUAAUAAUAAUAAUAAUAAUAAUAAUAUUUACAUAUUAACAAGCAUCAUUUGAUUAGUAAGUUUCCAAAUUCUAUCCACAAAUAUUAUAACCUCUUAAUUUAUGCAAGAACUUAGCUAGAUUUCAUGCAAGCAAUCCCUAACUCUAGUAUUUUCUGUGUUAAAAAUGGAGACUUCUUGGUGUUAGCCGGAGCUUGGGUAUACCAUUUUUGAACAAAUAACAAGGUAAAAACAUCUUUUAACGAUAUUAAAAUCAUUUAUUCAUUUAAAGUAUCAAUAUUGUCAUUUAUAGUGAAAUAUUUAAUUUUACUACAUUGAAAAUACGUUGACCAAUAGAAUCCCCGCCUUCAGCUAACCCCAAAUUUGUCUAUCAUCGUAUAAUAUUGAUCAUUACAUUAUGCGAUUUCCAGCUAGUGAUAGGAUUUUAAGGACAAGUUACCACAACAUUAUUAAAUUCACAUCCUACCGACCAUUAUGGCUGUCAUAGAAUAGCACAAAAAGAGGAUCUGAAAUCACGUGCAAAUAAGGAGAGAAAUACCAUGUUUGUUUUUUAUUUUUUAAAAUAUUGUUUUUUAAAAAUAAUUUUUUGUAUUUUAAAUUAAUUUUUUUAAUUUUUAUAUUAAUAUUAAAAAUAAUUUUUAAAAAAUAAAAAAUAUUUUAUAGUUACAUGAAGAUAAAAGAUAAUCUCAAAAGCUAAUAGAUGGUCGCCACGUGUUCAACUUUAUCUACCCACUAGGAAAGGAUAGAAAGUGGGAGAGAGAAAGGUUAAAAAGGCUUUAAAAAAAAAAAAAAAGGAAAAGACACGGUUGAGAUAAGAGGGGGGACGUGGAAAUAGAAGGAGAAACGGAAGGAGACAUAGAAAGAUCGGAGGAGAGUAAGAAAAAAAUAUAUGAAUAUGUGAUGUCCUAUUUCUCAUAAAAAUACUCUGUUGUUUUUUGGUCUUUUAUUUGAAAUUUCUUUGGACACUUUAAUAAUAUAAUAACAAAAAAAAUUAAAAUAUUGAUGAAAUUAUUAUUCAUUCAAACACUAAUUUACUAUGGACUACGAUAGUAUUUUUUCUUUAUUUAUAUUUUGAGUUUUAGUUUUUAAUAGCCUUUGAUUUUUUAAAAUCUUCGAGGACCUGAAAUUACGGCAACGAAUAAGGAGAGAAAUAGCAUGUUUGUUUUUUAUUUUUUAAAGUAUUAAAAAAAAUAUAUUUUUUAUUUUUAUAUUGAUAUUAAAAAUAAUUUUUAAAAAUAAAAAAUAUUAUUUUAAUAUAUUUUAAAUAAAAAAUAUUAAAAAAAAACCCACUUUAAAAACCUUAAAAUCACGGCAUGAUAAAAGGAGAAAGAAAGGAAUAGGACAAAGGAAGAAAGUGAACGGGAGAAAGGAAGAAAGUAAGGUCACGUAGGGGGGCCAGUAUUGUAGAAAAUAGGAGAUGAAAAUUAGUAUGAAAAAGAGGAUGAUAGAGUGGUUGUCCCAAUCAUAGUGGUUUUUAUAAUUAUAUUUAAUUUAUAUAAAUAUUAAAUUAAUAUAUUCUUAGUGUUUUAUAUGAUUUAAAAAAUGUUUUUAAAAGUAUGUAUCACAGUAUCAAAUUAUAAUAAAUUAAAAGAAAAUGGGUUUUAUGUUCAUUACCACUCACUUAGACUCAUUUAAUUAUGGACAAUAAUAGUGUCUCAUUUGAAAACUUUCAAUUUUAUACUUGAAAUUUUUUUCAUAAUUAAUCAUUUUUAAUUAAAAUUAGAUUCCAAUUGCAUAUUUUUUUUUUAAGGAGGAGAGUUGAAUUAAAAGACAGGGGACUGAAGUAAAAAACUCAGUUAAAAUAGAUGGCGGCUCUACAAUUUGUUUACAAAAUUUAUUUUAGUUUCUCAUCUUUUUAAGUUAUUAAAUAAUAAGUCCGCAUAAUUUUCCAACAUUGCAUUUUGAAUUUUUUAUAUUAUUAAUACUUUUUAUAUAUUUAUUUGAAAAUAAUUUUGAAAAUGAUGUUUUCAUUAAUACCCUUUUUCUAUGAUUUGUUUUUUGGCCUUAUGUAGUCUUUCUUUAAUUAUUUUUAAUUUUGUUGCUUUUGUUUAAUUUUUUAAGAUGUUAGUAAUAUUUAUCUGUAAAUAUUUUAUAUAUAUUUCAGAUAGAUUAAGUAUUUAAUUUUUAUAAUAAUUUGAACAUGUGUAGCCUUGCAUAGUUUUUUUUUUCCUUUUAUGAUAUUAAAAAAAAAUAUGUGUGUAUUGAUUUCUAUUAUAGAUUGAUUUUAGUAAACAAAUUCAUUAAAUAUAACUAGAUAAAUGAUCCAUGUUGUAAUAUUAAAUACUUUAUCUAUAUUUGUUUCUUAAUUUUUCCACUUGCAUUUUUAAUUAUCGGUAAUGACUUUAUUUUUUUCAUUUAUUUAUAUAAUUGUUUGUGAUUUAUUUAAUUUGAUGCGUGUAUAAGUUUUUUAAUUUAUAUUUAAAAAAUUUUUAAUGUAAAAAAACACGUUGAAGAAUUCUUAUUCUUAUGAUUUUAGCAUAAUUCUUAUUCUUAUGAUUUCUUAUUUUCUUUCUAACCCUUUUAUAAAACAAAAAAUUGUUUAUAGUUUUAUCCUUCAUUUCAACAUAAUGAUGUAUUUUUUCCUUAUAUAUAUUCUUGUUUGUUAUUAUUGCUUUUUUUUCUUUAUAUAAUUCAUAUAAAACCAGCUUAUUUAAUCGGUCAAGACUAAAUAAAUAAAAAAAAAAGAUAUACUAUGUCUUCCCAUUUCCUCUCCCUGGUGAAUUUUGGCGACCACCCACACACUGAUAGCCUAAACAACCACCAGCCAUGCCACUUUUCAAGAUCCCAUCUCUCAAUCUCAAAACCAGAAACAACCCUUUCUCAUAACUCCGGGAAAGUGAAGAACUAAACCAUAGUGGCAAAAAUCUUAAAGGGUCUAAAUUAUCUCUGUUACUUUCCCUCAAUUUUCUAGACAAGCAAAAGGAGCUAAACUUAUUCCCGACCAAAACGCCAAGAAUUUCAGUAGAACAAAAGAAGAGAUUGUUACUUGACCAUAAACAAUUAGUCCGCACCCAAAGAAACUGAGUGAAUGAGAGAAAAAGACUAAUAGCUAGAAAACAAUCAACAGAUCCAAGAAUUUUCUGUAUGGUUUCCAAGAAAAUGAAACGAAACGAGCAGCACAACCCUCUUUCCCCUCUAAGAAAAGAAAGAAGAAGAAAAAGAAAAAGAAAAAGAAAGGAAAGAAACAAAGAAGUUCGAGGAAAGAAAAAGUAAGAACGUUCAUUCCUUUAUAAACAUUGACUUUGAUUUUUCCUUUAUAAAACCAUAAACCUGCAAUUGUCCUACAAAUCAACAUGAAGACUUAUCAGAUCCUAAAGAAAAGCUGUCAAAAUCCUAUCAGAAAUUAAGGAAGAUGACGUUAACUUCAAAUCUGAGGAUUAAUUGUAGCAGAUCUUAUAGAGUUCAGCUGAUUGCUUUACUUGUUUAAAUAAUUCUCUUGUAAGCCUAAUGGUUCACGUCUUCCAUCAUUGCAACCUUUUUUUCUGUGAUUGAAAAAUCUAUAAUAGGAACCUGCACUUCAUCCCUUCUAUGCUGUUGUUCUUUCUUCUUGUUUUGCUAUUUUGAUUUUAUCAUAUUUUCUAUGAUGAAAGUUGAAGAAAACACCCCUUCUUUUGCAAUUAUUACCACUCCCCCCACGUGGCUACCCAUAAUUGGACUGUCAUCUCAGCUGUAUAAAUGUCUCGCUCAAGCCAAAAACAGAAACGCACAAAACCCCUCCCCCAACAGAGAAUCAAAUGAUAGCUAAAAUCAAAUAUUAUUAUUAUUAUUAUUAUUAUUGCCCCAACAACAAACAAUUAUUAUACAAUUAUUAUUAUUGCUGUUGUUAUUUUAGGUGCCACCUAGUCCUUUGCUAGGAACUUAACAUCCAAAAAUGCCUUCACUAAUCUUUUGCUCAUUUUCAAACCGAAGAGUCCUGUACUAACAAAAGCCUUUUUAUAGGAUGCUAUGUUUUCUUACCCACCUCACGAACAUGAUCAUGAACACGAGCCUAAGAUGACUCUCUUUUUACUUUCUUGAAUCAAUAAAAUAACCAGUGAGUCCUGUUCUUGCAUUCGACUAAAAAAGGUCUGCAAAAUUACAGUAAUUGCUUAUGAUGAUACGAACACAACAAAAGAUCAAACUCAAGCACUUAAAAGUAAUUGCUUAUGAUGAUCAUCUCACUAAGUAAGGAGAGAAAAGUAAGGAGAAACGGAAGGAGACAUAGACAGAUCGGAGGAGAGUAAGAAAAAAAUAUAUGAAUAUGUGAUGUCCUAUUUCUCAUAAAAAUUCUCUCUUUUAUUUGGAAUUUCUUUGGACAAAGGAAGAAAGUGAGGUCACGUUGGGGGGCCAGUAUUGUAGAAAAUAGGAGAUGAAAAUUAGUAUGAAAAAGAGGAUGAUAGAGUGGUUGUCCCAAUCAUAGUGGUUUUUAUAAUUAUAUUUAAUUUAUAGAAAUAUUAAAUUAAUAUAUUCUUAGUGUUUUAUAUGAUUUAUAGAAAAAGACUAAUAGCUAGAAAACAAUCAACAGAUCCAAGAAUUUUCUGUAUGGUUUCGAAGAAAAUGAAACGAAACGAGCAGCACAACCCUCUUUCUCCAAGAAAAGAAAGAAGAAGAAGAAGAAAAAGAAAAGGAAAGAAAAAAAACAAAGAAGUUCGAGGAAGUGUGCAGCCUUUGUUCUGCUGUUCACACAGACUAAGAACUCCUACCAUUGUAAAAUCAUAUAAUUAAAACACAACAAUAAAAAUGUAAUAAUCAGAUCUUAUAGCGUUCAGCUGAUUGCUUUACUUGUUUAAAUAAUUCUCUUGUAAGCCUAAUGGUUCACGUCUUCCAUCAUUGCAACCUUUUUUUCUGUGAUUGAAAAAUCUAUAAUAGGAACCUGCACUGCAUCCCUUCUAUGCUGUUGUUCUUUCUUCUUGUUUUGCUAUUUUGAUUUUAUCAUAUUUUCUAUGAUGAAAGUUGAAGAAAUUCUACUUCGAAACUCAAGACAAAGUCUCUCGGACUGCAUAUUAGUGGGUUGCUCAUUGGGAUUUCUAUAAACAACUGAUUCUAAUAUUGCACAGCAACAUUACGAAAAACUGAUUAUUUCACACAUAGUCUAAUAAAAGUAGAUUCCAUUGUCAAUUCCUUAACAUUUUCCAAACAAAUCCAUGCUCCUCAUUUUAUACUUUCUUGAGGGUUUCUAUUCUCUUAUUACCAAUUUCAGUGAGUUUCAUAAUAAGCUGCUUAGAAAGAAGCUAUCUAACAGGAGGGUGGGGCUACUCUUAGCCAAUGAAAACAGCUUCACAUGCUAUACAGCAACGUGAAAAAAAAUUCUCAGCCUGUUCUCUCUUUAAUGAACACCCUCUUGGAUUCUCUAGCAUUAGGCAACAAGGUAUCUGCUUGGAAUUACUUCCACCCAUCUGAAAAAAUAACAUACAAUCUAUUUAAUACACUUAACUAAAAAUGUAUUUUAUAACCCUAUAUAUUUUUUAACUAAACUAGUUAUUUUUUUCAAAAACCAAAAAAGUAAACAGUUUUUCAAAAAUCUAAUUCAUAAUAAAACAAAUAAUGAAACUUGAUAAUAAUUCACUAAAUAACCAUCAAUUAUUCAUCAAACCAAUCUGAAAAAGCUAAUAUUAAAGAUAGGAACAAAUCUAGAAUUUUAUCAUAUUUUUAAGGAUCAAAUUAUAAUUUUAUCAAAUUGGAGGACCAAACUAAAAAUAUCAUAAAUUCAUGACUAUACUGGAAUUCUGCCCAUAAUUCAUCCUAAAUUUUGCCCAGAAUCUCAAAUUAUGCUCCAAGGACCACUACAUAAUUUUAUCAAAUAUCUAGGGUCAAAUUGUAAUUUUAUCAAAUUGGAGGACCAAAGUGAAAAUAUCAUAAAUUCAUAACUAUACUGGAAUUCUGUCCAUAAUUUAACUUUAAUUCUAUCCAGAAUCUCGAAUUAUGCUCCAGGGACCAAUCUCUAAUUUUUCUAAAGUUCAGAAAUUAAACUGUAAUUUUCAUAAAUUGAGGGACCAAGCUGAAAUUUUAUAAUCUUCAACCUCAAACCCAGAAUUCACACAGAUAACCUAUUAAUAUAUCAAGAUUUCUAACUUAAAUUCACCAUUUAAAUAAACCAUAACUUAAAAUCAUUAUUUUUACCUAAAAUGUUUCAAAAUCAAUUAAAUAACUCAUUACCCAUAACAAUCGAUCCAUAAUUUUUCUGUAAUGUAAUUGUAAUUCCUAGCAUAAUGCAUAUUCGAGGGCAAGCACAACAAUUCAAGAGCAAAGAAACUUGAUGAAAUAGCAAAAGAAAAAGACAUGAAGGACUGAAAUAAAAUAAAACCAAAAAAGAGGGAUGAAAAAAGUAACCGCACUCUGGUUGCCAUCAAAAACAUAUAUAGUUCUUUUAGUAUUUUUUUUUAAAAUAAUAUUGUAAUAGGUCAAUCAUAUUACCCUGAGUGUGUGACACAGAGAUAAUCAUCAUAGAAAAUUACUUUUAAUUGCUUGAGUUUUAUCCUGAGAUGACAAACUUACCUUGUCCUACUAAUGCUUUUGCUUUCAUUGUUUCGAAAGUAAAAGAGACUUAAACAUAAUCAUUUCCUUCCUUUUACUUUCCACUUCUUUGUAAUAUUGGAUUGCAAACGGGAUGGUGCUUAGAGGGGCCACUUUUUCUUUUCCUUUCUUUUUAAAAUCUUAUGCCUUUGGGUGAGGAAAUUAGUGGAGCAUUAGACUUUUUAAAAGACAACAAAAAAAAGCGAUGUCUCAUCUUUUGAUAUGGUGGUACAAGAUACACCAUGGUAUGGUGGUCCUGCAAGAAAUGUCUUAGCUUUUGAUAUGGUGGUCUUCCAUGAUCAGUUUUCGAAAGAUUCGAGUCUCCGUUCUAGUUCGGGUUGGAAGCUAGGCCGAAAGCUAAGCUUCUUUUAAUUAUGAAUUGUUUAUGCAAAGGAAACCCAGAAGCUUGAACAAACAGAAAUGCCUUGUUGAUUUCUCUGCUACUACUCAUUAUUUCCAAUAUUAUUCCAUUAUCUUACCCGAAAGCAAUUAUACAAGAAAUUUCAUUAUCCUGCCCCAGAAGGCAAUUUAUUACAAGGACUUCCUUUAACCUCCUUGAAGGCAAUUUAUUUGAUGAAAAUUCCUUUAAUCCACCUCAAAGACAAUUUAUCUUAGGGAAUUCCAACAACCCAGGCAAUUUAUUUCUUAAUUUUAUAUUACUGUUUUCAUUAAUUUUAUUAAAGCUUAAUUUUAUAUUUUUUCUGCCCUUUUCUUUUAAAAAUGUUAUCUCCUUGGUAAGGAAUCCUUGGUUCCCAACAGCAACUGUAGCAUAGUUAAAGGUUGCGUUAAAAAAAUAUCAAAACUCCACCGAAAGUAGUGGAGCCUUAGAAUUUUUAAAAGACAAAACGGGGACAAGUGAGAGACGAAGAAAAAGACAAAAGCAAUUCCAUCUAUUGAUGUGGUGAUCCAAGAUACACCAUAACAUGGUGUUCUUCCAUGAAGUCUAAGAUGCACCGCCGUGUUGUUUCAUAUAUAUUUAUAUAUAUGAAAAUAAUAAAACUACCGUUUAAAACAACUCUGAAAACAAAAGUUUUAAUAAUUCAUAAUUUAUAAGCAAACAUCACUUAUAAGCAAAUAAUUAAUGAUGGUUAAACUAAUUCAUUGUUAGGCGGAUAUAUAUUAAGGUUGAGACCCAUCUAUCUAACACUAAUAACUAAUCACUGAUAAUAUUUAUGCAAAACUUGUAGCUUAGGAUGAACUCUCAGAGAUGUGGGCGAGGCAACUCAAAGUAGAAGGGAAGGGGUAACCUCUGAUAACAGAGAAAAUUGUAGAGUAAAUUGUAGAUGUGGACCGAAUUUUCUUAAAUUAACAACAGAAAUCUACAAUGAACAGUUCUCGAGAAGAAACUCAAGAAACGUAAUAAAGCUACAUGAUGACAUAAUAGGAACCUGCAUUGCCUUCAUUCUAUGAUGAAAGUUCAAGAAAUUUUACAUCGAAUCUCAAGACAAAGUCUCUCAGACUACAUAUUGCAAAGCAACUGAUUCUAUUGCAAAGCAACAUUACGAAAAAUUGAAUAUUUCACACUCAGUCUAAUAAAAGUAGAUUCCAUUGUCAAUUCCUCAACAUUUUCCAAACAAAUCCAUGCUCCUCAUUUUAUACUUUCUCUCUUAUUACCAACUUCAUUGAGUUUCAUAUAAGCAUAGUCAAUCACACAACUAAUAUGUGAAUUCACAAUUUCUUACCGAAAACAUUUUAUCAGUGCAAAUUAAUACAUAAUUUUACCUCUCCUCUUGGUGAAAACACAAAGACACAACCACCGAGCAGAUCUCUGGUAAUGGUCUCUACAAAUUCCCUACAGUUCCUAUUGCCAACAAACUCCUCUUGCCAUUCCCUAACUGCAUUGAGCCAGCUAAUCUGGAUGAAAGAAAGGACUUCCAGCCUUGGAAUUAGCAUUAUAGUCAUGGAACCUUAAAGCAGACCCAACUUUGUAGCUCAUUACCAGUUAAGUAAAAGUUAUCAAUAGCUGUGUAAAUCAUUGAAACUGCCACAAAAGCAACCCAAAUUAGUUAUGAAUUGGAUUCGAUAAGGGAAAGAGGGGAAGAGGGGAAGAGGGGAAAUGGGUAACGGAAAAUUAAAGAGAGAUGAAGAUCUGCGCAGGGCUACCUGUUUUGAGAAUUAUGGAUUUUUAUCCCUAACUCCAAAUUGCACCAAUUAUAAGUUCAUUAAAACAAAUCUGGAACAGAACAGAUGGAAAAAACUCGAAACAACUUGGCUAGAAUUUGGGCAAGAAAUUCAGAACGGCCAAGAUUUUAAGUGAGAUAAAAGUUAUCCCAUUUUGUUCUGUUUUUUUUUUUAAAUUAAUAUGAGAUAUACUAUCCAUUUCAAGCGGAACAUAAUGGAAUGAACAACCUUGCAUCGAAGACCUAAUUUUAGUGAAACUCAAGUUUAUUGUGUCAAAGAAAAUGUUCUAAAAAAAUGUUUUAAGCAUUAACAAAAUCUAGUUGGCCUAGGCAAUCCACUAUUGUUGCUGUUACCGUUGGUGCAUACUCAAUUACACCAUUGACAUAGUGCAACUGUUUUUCUUUCUUUCUUUCUUUCUUUUAAAAAAUCCAUGUUAUGUUUUUUAUUUGAAGCUUUUUUGUUAACAUCUUUCGCAAUUGGCCUUGGUAUUUUGUUUCCAUUUUCUCUAUGUUUCCUUCUUCUGUAGUUAGAAAACAUCAUGUCUUUGGGUUUGCGCUUGAUACCGCAAAAUUAAGGACACAAUAGUCAAAGAACACAAAAAAAUUUAUAAGUGAAGGGGGUUGCAGUUGUGAACCCUAAAAUUUACAAGUUUAUUUUCUUAAUAAUAAUAAUAAUAAUAAUAAUAAUAAUAAAGAAGUUUGCCUUCUUAGAAAGUUUACAAAGCCUUAAAUUGGUUAGGAACCUUACCUCAACAAGGAAACAAAAAAAAAAUCCAAAAUUAUAAAGGAAAGAAGCAUAAAAUCUAAAAUAAGCAAGAAAUUUGAAAAUAACAAAGAAAAUCACAAAAAACUAACAAAACCCGGGGCAUCAGUGAGAGUUUUGAUAUUUAAAGAUCCGAUGGUCUGUAUAAAAAUUUGAGCACAAUCCAAUAAUCGAAUAAAAAAUUCUGGCUCUUUUGAGCUGUUAUUCUUGUCUAGUACAACCAAACAUUCUCUUGGGCUUAAACCUGUUCUAUUGGUUCAUAAAUGCAUUUACUAGGCCAUCAACAUUAUUUGUCUGAGGCAAAUCCUCAUCUAGUUAUGGGAGACCCACAUCUGACUGCUUAGAAUCACUAGUUAUCGUAGGAUCGACUAUAUCAAAAUUGGUUGGUUUUUUGUUUUCAAAAAGAAUUAAAAUUUGAUGCAGAUGAAAGCUAAAAACACAAUAAUUAAAGAGCACAAAAAAUUUUAUGAGCAAAAGAGGCUGCAGAUGUGAACCUUCAAAUUCACAAGUUUAUUUUCUCUAAAAUAAUAAUAAUGAAGUUUGUUUUCUUAGGAGGUUUCCAAAGCUAUAAAAAUAUCAAGAAUCCUAUCUUAACUUGGAAAUAAAAAUACAAACUCAAAAUUACAAAGGAAAGAAGCAUAAAAUCUAAAAUAAGCAAGAAAUUAAAAAAUAACAAAGAAAAUCACAAAAAACUACCAAAACUAGAGGGCUUAACAAGAUUUUUGUUAUCUAAAGAUUCGAUGGUCCGCGUAAGAAUUUUAGCAUGAUCUAACGGUCGGAUAAGAAAUUAUGACCCUUUUGAGCUAUUAUUUUCGUUUAACGCGACCAAAUCUUUUUUUGGUCCUAUACUUAUCCUAUUAUUCCAUAAAUACAUCUCUAUGACCUAUCUUUUUUUUUCCUACUAUAGAUGGAGUUUGACCAUCAUCGUCAUAUGAUUUGACUUAGUUGUAUCGGUUUUCAAUCAGAUCAACUUUAUAUAUUAUGGGUUUACAUUUACUAUUUUUAAAAAAUGCUCAUUAUCGGUUUUCGAUCACCAUAAGUCCAUUGUUCACACCUCAAGUCCGUACCUGCAGCGGAUCGCAGGCAACGAAACUAUAGACUCGAGAGUAAACAUGCUACUAUAGUUAGCUAGUAAGGGUCCAGGUCAUUUGUUGUCUGGUUUCAAAUAGUGUUUCAACUCAUUUAAUAAAUGUAUACAUGGCUCAUAGUUGGAUUACUUGUGUUUUUGUUAUUUGUUCUUCCCAGUACUUGUACCAGAAGCUGCUCUCAUAUUUGAAGGAAUGCAAACAAUUGUUAAUAUGAAACUUAUGAUGCAUAGGAAAUUGCCAUUUUUCUCAUUUUUAAUUGGAAGAAAAAUCACACGUAUGUUUUUGUUAGAAAUAACUUCUUAUUUCAAUCAGAAGUGUGUCACUAAAUUGAUUUAUAAGUAAGUUUUUAAAUCGUGGAUUAUAUCUUACAUUAUAUUUUUUUAUUUACAAAAGUUUAUUUGAGUUAUUUUUAUUAAAAAUACUUAUAAUUUAAAAUUAUUUUAAUUCUUUUUUAUCAUAAAUUAUUUAUUAAAAACAACUUAGAUUAUCGCUUGAAAUAAAAAAAGAAAAAGAAAAAUUUCUCAGCCUGUUUUCUCUUUACUGAACAACCUCUUUGAUUCUCUAGCAUCUGCUUGGAAAAACCAUUCAACAAGGGAUUCUGCUAGGAAAACAUGCAAUUGUUCUUCUAUCUGAUAUCAGUUUCAAAAUUCUAAACAAAUAAUGCAACAAGUCACAUUUAUUACAAAAAAAGGUCACGUUUAUUCCAGACCUCAAGCUGCAUUGCCUAUUUCAAAACCACAAAGAGAACAUCAAACAGAACAACAAAUACCCAAGUCGUAGAGCCAUUAAUUUGAGCAUAAAGGAGAAUGAAAGUCCACGCAUUAAACAGUAGGCACACACAUGAGUAUACAUUAUGCCCUUGUUCUUGAAGAUUCAGACACUUCAAAAGAAAACUCACGCUCUUAUUUUUGGGAAGUUCUUCUAUGGUAAAUAAGACUGUUACAAUGUGAAGCCAAUUUGUAUCCCAUUGCCAGUGAAACAGUAGGAAUUACUUCCACCAAUCUAAAACAUAUUCGCAGCACCACAGCUCAAAGACAUGAAUCUCUGUGAAAUCACCUAAGGUCGAGUUGCUCAUGUAAUAGGCAACCAACCUGCCUAAUGCAAACAGAAGAACAAAGACCAUUCAUGCAUAUCCAUUAGCUGUUUAGCAUGUUUUUCAAAUUCCAAUGCCAAACUAAUCAUCCUACCCAUCAUCAUCAUCACCACCAUCUCCCUCCACCACCUUCCUUCAUCUCCUUCACCACAUACCACCCAUUAUUUCGGGUCCACGUUCUACAAGUGUUGAUUGGCGCAGAGCAACCAGUGCUUGAAUCCUCAGCUACUUCAGAUACCUGUAAUCCAAUCCAAGCAUGGCAUACACAUUUUAACUUCUAAAUCUUAUUAUUGAGUGAAACAAGAAACAAACACACAAAAAGAGAAGCAAGAAAUUAAGACAAUUCAGCAGCACCUCUGAUGGAGCUCUUAUUGAACCAUUUGGUGUAGUAGCAAAUUUUGUGAUCAGCUUUGGGCAUUCAAACACCUCGAACUUCUCUAAACGAGGGAAUAAGAAAUCAUAACAUCCGAGAUUGAAACAUACAAUACUUGAUAAUUGUUCUAGCAACAGCACCUGCAGAUUCGGGAGCUCCAUCACCUUCUCAACAUUGACAGGUAAAGCAUUCUCAUCCUGAAGCCAUGGCUACUGGAAAGAGACUCUUCAACAUGUUGCAUUUUCUGACAUCAAUUUCACAUAAAUUAGGGAAACAUAAAGAUUGAAGAUGAUCUCCUGGCAAUAUCUGAUCCUUUCCAUCAUCGUUAUCCCUAGCAAUGAUUUGCUCUAAUUCCUCACAACUUUCUAUGUUUAGAAAAUUCAGUUGAACUAAACUAGCAAUCAUGCUGUCUGAGAAUACAUGUGUUAGUCUUUUACACUUAUUCACCAUCAAAGUAGUCAAAUUACUCAGCACGAGACCCUUCCACAAACACCUCAUGCUUGUUUCAGGCAGGGACUUCAAUUUUAAUGUUUUCAAACUUGUUAACUCCUACAUCAGAAGACAACGAAGGCACUAAUUUGUUAGAUAUAAUUCCUAGUAUGUUUUGGUAAAUAGAUGAAUCAAUUAUCCCCAAUACUUAUCAACAAAAGGAUAUAUGUAGACAUGGCAAUAGACAACUCAAUAUUAGCAAAUGGAGGUUUAUCUUCCUGUCCAAAUACUUCCAUUAUUUGGGGGAAGAGCCUCAUUUUCACUCAAACUGGGAAAGCAUAAAUCUAGGUGUAGAAACACAAAUUUUCUACUAGUCAAAUUUCGCCAUGUGUUAUUUUAUUCUUUAAAAGAAAGGAUAAAAUAAAAUUGAAAUAAAUGACAUGAAAAAUAAAUGAGCCUUCAUAUAUUUCUUGGCCAAUGAAAAGUUGACACUUGGGAUGAGAUAUUCAAGAUAUCUUGUCAUAAAUACAAGAUCCCAUCAGAUAUCUUGUCAUAAAUGCAAGAUCCCGUCAAUAAAUAUCAACCAAUAAAAUUAUGCCAUGUGGCAUUGGAAAAGGACCUGAGAGCCCUUACAGAUCUCUAUAAAUAGAGGGCCUCAACCUAAAGGAAGGGGGAUUCCGGGAGAUACAAAUUUCCUUCAAGACAAGCUCUGCAAACAAGGAAGCUCUCGCUCUCUCUCUCUCUCUUCAAGCAAGGAAGCUCUCGCUCUCUCUCUCUCUUCAAGCAAGGAAGCUCUCUCAAAGAGUUCUCAAGCCUCCUUCAUCUACGCUUGAAGUCUACAAAGAACGAAGCUUUGUUGGAUCAAGCAUAAACGCCCCAUAAGAGUUCUUCAACAACACUUUGAAGACAAAUCAAAGGUACUCUUCAAAGCAUCAAAUUACCAAAUCUCGCUAAGCUCUGUUGGAUCAAGCCUAAACGCCCCAUAAGAGUUCUUCAGCAACACUUUGAAGACGAAUCAAAGGUACUCUUCAAAGCAUCAAAUCACCAAAUCUCACUUCGUAAUACACGCCCAAAUUCGCGUUCUUGCAAAGCACAAAUCUUGGCUUGAUUACUCAAAUAAAUCAAGUCACCAUACAUCAAAUUCAAGGGAAGAAUCAGAGGAUUGUCUUGUUCUUUUGAAAGAAUAUAUUACGUAGAGAUUGUACCCAUUCAUAUAUUUAAUAAAAUCAUAUAUUUGUACACGCGUGCUUGUUUAAUUUCAGGUGCUCAAAAUUAUGUCUACAAAUUUCUGGUGACUCCACUGGGGAAAUCUCUACCUCUCAUCUCUUCCCUUCAAGAAAGAAUUUUCAACAAACUCUCAAUGGCAACUAGGAGGAACAUGAUCACCAUUGUCACUUCGAAAAGCAACAAGGCCACUGAUUCAAGUCACCAACAUACUAUUGAAGAUUCUUCAACCCCGCCAUUGAAAACAAAAUCCAUCGUCGAGUUGUAUGAACAAACUAAGCCGACUCUCAAGUUGACAUCAACUUCGAAUGCAAGAGGGGCACAAGAUCUCGCCUCAAAGAUGAAGCCACAAGCAACUCCACUACAAGAGUCAAGUGGGGCGCGCGAAAUUCUCUUCGGCACUCAAGGCGACUUCGACAAUUCACCCAUGGAAACUUCUCCAUGUCAAUCACCAAGUAAGGCUUCGGGUUUUGGCACCAUGUCAGUGAUGAUGACCGAGACAACAUCUUUAGAGGAUCAAGUGGCUACCUUGACAAAACUCGUCGAGGGGCUUUCGACUUCACUCAAGGCAAAAGACCACGAGAUAGCAAAGUUGAUGAACAAGCUUGAGAGCAUGAACGAAGGAGGCCAAACCUUGGCUACCAAGGCUUUACAAGUAGAUCAAUUAGAUGUCAUUGAGGAUUCUACAAUCGGAGCUGCAAGGAAUAUACACGGUAUUACUGAUGGUAUUUUUACCAUGAAUCAACUGAAAGAACUUAUCAAGGAAGUCAUCACGGACCAAGUAGAAAGCUCAGUUCAACCCUCGUAUUCUUAUGUGAAGCCGUACACCCAACGAAUUGACCUGCUAAGGAUGCCUCCGAACUAUCAACCACCAAAGUUUCAACAAUUCGAUGGCAAGGGANNNNNNNNNNNNNNNNNNNNNNNNNNNNNNNNNNNNNNNNNNNNNNNNNNNNNNNNNNNNNNNNNNNNNNNNNNNNNNNNNNNNNNNNNNNNNNNNNNNNNNNNNNNNNNNNNNNNCACUGACUUAGAGUCUGGCUUGAUCGAUACUUGGGAGCAACUAGAGCGCGAGUUUCUUAACCGCUUUUACAGCACUCGUCGUGUGGUUAGCAUGAUUGAACUCACUAAUGCACGUCAAUGGAAGGAAGAGCUUGUCAUCGACUACAUUCAUCGGUGGAGAAACCUUAGCCUCAACUGUAGAGAUCGGCUCACCGAAACUUCUGCACUAGACAUGUGUAUUCAAGGGAUGCAUUGGGGACUACGCUAUAUUUUACAAGGUAUCAAACCAAAGUCUUUUGAAGAAUUGGCUACUCGAGCACACGACAUGGAACUUAGCAUUGCGGCGGUUGAAAGCUCAUCAUUACCUAUGCAAGAGCCAAUGAGAAAUAAGCUUGAAGGUCAUAGAUUUGAAAAGAGCACUGCAAAGGUCGAGGGAAAGCAAUCUUUAGUAGUUAACUCGACUACCACAAGGGUACCAACUGGAGUUAAGAGGAAUGAUCGGGCGACACCAGUUACUUUUCAAAAAGGUGAAAGAAAGAAACCAUCCCUGAAAAAGCGACAAGAAAAGGUGUAUCCAUUCCCCGACUCAGACAUAUCUAGGAUGUUGGAUGAUUUGCUUGAGGCAAAUAUCAUUGAGUUACCGGAGGUGAAACGCCCCGAUGAAGCAAACCAAAUGGACAAUCCAAACUAUUGCAAAUACCAUCGCUUGAUCAGACAUCCCGUAGAGAAGUGCUUUGUGCUGAAAGAUAAGAUCAUGAGGCUACACGAGAAUGGGGAUAUCGUUUUCGAUGAUGAAGUAGCAACCUCUAAUAUCACAACCAUGGUCAAUUUAGGACCACGCCAGUCACUCCCUACAAUAAGUUUUGGCUCCUUUGAACCUAUAGAGCUUGGAAUCAUUUUGCCUACGAGCUUCAUUGCAUCCUCAAGUCAAACUCCAUGUAUAACCCUCACACCUCAUGUUGACAACUCGAAACCUGAUUCAUCUGAAAAUUAUGAUGACGAAGGAUGGACUUUAGUCAUGCAUAGAAGAGGAAGGAAGAGGCACAUGCAGAUGACAAAGCCAACUAGAAUGAGGAUCUCGACGGUGAGGAAGCUAAUGGAGCCGACACGCCGAAAGAUUCAACGAAAGUCCAUACCAGUCAGAAAUGAGGGCUUUUCAACUCAAAGUCUAAGAAAGCCCGUUACACUGAAUGAGUACAUGCCAAUAGAAAUGAGAAGAAUUGAAAAUGUACUUGUUGCUUGCUAUCAUGUUGAUGAAGAGAAAACUCAUACUAAACCUGUCAUGAAGGAAAAUCAUGAUGACUCUUCAAACUUGUCUCACGGUGUAGGCACAACAGAGAUAUCCUUCAACAAUGAAGACUCGUUGCUUGGAUCAAAACUCUAUAAUCAGUCAUUGUUCAUUAAAGGAUAUGUUGAUGAAAAGAUGAUGAAUCGUAUCUUGGUGGAUGAUGGCUCGGCGGUCAAUAUACUACCUCUUAAGACUAUGAAAGAGCUAGGGAUUCCUAUAGAUGAACUCUUCUCAAGUCAUCUGAUGAUUUAAAGUUUUAAUCAAGGACGGCAAAACACCAUAGGAAAGAUAAGGCUUGCGAUACACAUGGAAGAUAUGAAGUUCAAUGCAUUUUUCCAUGUCAUAGAUGCCAAAACUACUUAUAAUAUGCUACUUGGACGACCAUGGAUACAUGAAAAUGGUAUCAUCUCCUCAACGCUCCACCAAUGUUUUAAGUAUUGUCAAGAUGGGGGCAACAAAUUCCUCUCCAAAUGGGAUUACCCUUAUAUGGUUCAAGAAGUCUACACCAACGGAGCUUACAAAAUUGUUGAUGAGAAUGGAUUGAGGAUUGGGCCUAUCAACGGCAAAUUCUUGAAAAGAUACUAUGCUUGAAAUCUGAUGUAGCUUCUGGCCCGCACGAGCUAAAACUAUGAAAGGCACAAAAAAAAACAAAAUUGAACUACGUUAUGACUUGAUCCUUUAUCCACAAAGGUACGUAGGCAACUCGGAAUUCAUUCUGAGUACAGUCACGCAAAAAAAAAAAUCUUUUGAACUACGUUGUGACUUGAUCCUUUAUCCACAAAGGUACGUAGGCAACUUAGAAGUUAUUCUAAGUACAGUCGCACAUCAUCCUUUAAAGCUAUUCGAGCCGAUAUGAUUGUUCGCAUGGAAAAAGAGGGAUAAGUAAACCUCACAACACAAUCAUAACAUAGAAAAUCAGGUGAUAAGACACAAGCGAAGACAAAAUAUAAACUUUAUUAAUAGAAAGAAGAAUUCUAUUACAUAAAGAAUGUAUUCUUAACAUAGAGUCAAUAAGCCAGUGUCACCAAAACAAAAAAAAUCCAAAGCAUGAGAAAUCAUCAGCAUACUCCGGCUAUGACCUUCUAAGCUCCUUUUGUUUGGUCUCCAAUAGUCCUUUUAAUUUUUGAAAAAUGAUUGCGUUGGCUUCAUUUACCACAGGAGAAAUAAAUAUUGUAUUGAUCUCUGCUCGAAUACUGGAGGUGGUGACUUUUCUCUUAGAAAACUCGACUGUCAACAGUUGAAUAGCCACAUAGGAGUGAAUUGGAUUUUGAUGACCCGGUUGGCUUUGUUGUGUCUGGGUGGAUGGCCGUUGCUGUCACCAAAGCUGUGAAGGAUGAGGCAUUCAAGGAGAAUAAAAUUGAUCCAUUAAACAAAGGCAUAGCCUGAGGAUGAGUUCCUCUGUAAGUUAUUCUGCCCCCAACAUGUGCAGGGAUUGGAAUCCGAUACGCGCCAUUUUGCAAAAUUGCCAAGUAUUUGAGUUUCAUUUCCUGGGAAGUUUGGGUAGUUGAAGUUCAUUGUUGUAGCGCCAGUUAUUGCUAAUGUCGUGGUGUUCAUUGAAGCAGAACUUUAGCUAUUUGAAGAAGCAACAUUGUCGNNNNNNNNNNNNNNNNNNNNNNNNNNNNNNNNNNNNNNNNNNNNNNNNNNNNNNNNNNNNNNNNNNNNNNNNNNNNNNNNNNNNNNNNNNNNNNNNNNNNNNNNNNNNNNNNNNNNNNNNNNNNNNNNNNNNNNNNNNNNNNNNNNNNNNNNNNNNNNNNNNNNNNNNNNNNNNNNNNNNNNNNNNNNNNNNNNNNNNNNNNNNNNNNNNNNNNNNNNNNNNNNNNNNNNNNNNNNNNNNNNNNNNNNNNNNNNNNNNNNNNNNNNNNNNNNNNNNNNNNNNNNNNNNNNNNNNNNNNNNNNNNNNNNNNNNNNNNNNNNNNNNNNNNNNNNNNNNNNNNNNNNNNNNNNNNNNNNNNNNNNNNNNNNNNNNNNNNNNNNNNNNNNNNNNNNNNNNNNNNNNNNNNNNNNNNNNNNNNNNNNNNNNNNNNNNNNNNNNNNNNNNNNNNNNNNNNNNNNNNNNNNNNNNNNNNNNNNNNNNNNNNNNNNNNNNNNNNNNNNNNNNNNNNNNNNNNNNNNNNNNNNNNNNNNNNNNNNNNNNNNNNNNNNNNNNNNNNNNNNNNNNNNNNNNNNNNNNNNNNNNNNNNNNNNNNNNNNNNNNNNNNNNNNNNNNNNNNNNNNNNNNNNNNNNNNNNNNNNNNNNNNNNNNNNNNNNNNNNNNNNNNNNNNNNNNNNNNNNNNNNNNNNNNNNNNNNNNNNNNNNNNNNNNNNNNNNNNNNNNNNNNNNNNNNNNNNNNNNNNNNNNNNNNNNNNNNNNNNNNNNNNNNNNNNNNNNNNNNNNNNNNNNNNNNNNNNNNNNNNNNNNNNNNNNNNNNNNNNNNNNNNNNNNNNNNNNNNNNNNNNNNNNNNNNNNNNNNNNNNNNNNNNNNNNNNNNNNNNNNNNNNNNNNNNNNNNNNNNNNNNNNNNNNNNNNNNNNNNNNNNNNNNNNNNNNNNNNNNNNNNNNNNNNNNNNNNNNNNNNNNNNNNNNNNNNNNNNNNNNNNNNNNNNNNNNNNNNNNNNNNNNNNNNNNNNNNNNNNNNNNNNNNNNNNNNNNNNNNNNNNNNNNNNNNNNNNNNNNNNNNNNNNNNNNNNNNNNNNNNNNNNNNNNNNNNNNNNNNNNNNNNNNNNNNNNNNNNNNNNNNNNNNNNNNNNNNNNNNNNNNNNNNNNNNNNNNNNNNNNNNNNNNNNNNNNNNNNNNNNNNNNNNNNNNNNNNNNNNNNNNNNNNNNNNNNNNNNNNNNNNNNNNNNNNNNNNNNNNNNNNNNNNNNNNNNNNNNNNNNNNNNNNNNNNNNNNNNNNNNNNNNNNNNNNNNNNNNNNNNNNNNNNNNNNNNNNNNNNNNNNNNNNNNNNNNNNNNNNNNNNNNNNNNNNNNNNNNNNNNNNNNNNNNNNNNNNNNNNNNNNNNNNNNNNNNNNNNNNNNNNNNNNNNNNNNNNNNNNNNNNNNNNNNNNNNNNNNNNNNNNNNNNNNNNNNNNNNNNNNNNNNNNNNNNNNNNNNNNNNNNNNNNNNNNNNNNNNNNNNNNNNNNNNNNNNNNNNNNNNNNNNNNNNNNNNNNNNNNNNNNNNNNNNNNNNNNNNNNNNNNNNNNNNNNNNNNNNNNNNNNNNNNNNNNNNNNNNNNNNNNNNNNNNNNNNNNNNNNNNNNNNNNNNNNNNNNNNNNNNNNNNNNNNNNNNNNNNNNNNNNNNNNNNNNNNNNNNNNNNNNNNNNNNNNNNNNNNNNNNNNNNNNNNNNNNNNNNNNNNNNNNNNNNNNNNNNNNNNNNNNNNNNNNNNNNNNNNNNNNNNNNNNNNNNNNNNNNNNNNNNNNNNNNNNNNNNNNNNNNNNNNNNNNNNNNNNNNNNNNNNNNNNNNNNNNNNNNNNNNNNNNNNNNNNNNNNNNNNNNNNNNNNNNNNNNNNNNNNNNNNNNNNNNNNNNNNNNNNNNNNNNNNNNNNNNNNNNNNNNNNNNNNNNNNNNNNNNNNNNNNNNNNNNNNNNNNNNNNNNNNNNNNNNNNNNNNNNNNNNNNNNNNNNNNNNNNNNNNNNNNNNNNNNNNNNNNNNNNNNNNNNNNNNNNNNNNNNNNNNNNNNNNNNNNNNNNNNNNNNNNNNNNNNNNNNNNNNNNNNNNNNNNNNNNNNNNNNNNNNNNNNNNNNNNNNNNNNNNNNNNNNNNNNNNNNNNNNNNNNNNNNNNNNNNNNNNNNNNNNNNNNNNNNNNNNNNNNNNNNNNNNNNNNNNNNNNNNNNNNNNNNNNNNNNNNNNNNNNNNNNNNNNNNNNNNNNNNNNNNNNNNNNNNNNNNNNNNNNNNNNNNNNNNNNNNNNNNNNNNNNNNNNNNNNNNNNNNNNNNNNNNNNNNNNNNNNNNNNNNNNNNNNNNNNNNNNNNNNNNNNNNNNNNNNNNNNNNNNNNNNNNNNNNNNNNNNNNNNNNNNNNNNNNNNNNNNNNNNNNNNNNNNNNNNNNNNNNNNNNNNNNNNNNNNNNNNNNNNNNNNNNNNNNNNNNNNNNNNNNNNNNNNNNNNNNNNNNNNNNNNNNNNNNNNNNNNNNNNNNNNNNNNNNNNNNNNNNNNNNNNNNNNNNNNNNNNNNNNNNNNNNNNNNNNNNNNNNNNNNNNNNNNNNNNNNNNNNNNNNNNNNNNNNNNNNNNNNNNNNNNNNNNNNNNNNNNNNNNNNNNNNNNNNNNNNNNNNNNNNNNNNNNNNNNNNNNNNNNNNNNNNNNNNNNNNNNNNNNNNNNNNNNNNNNNNNNNNNNNNNNNNNNNNNNNNNNNNNNNNNNNNNNNNNNNNNNNNNNNNNNNNNNNNNNNNNNNNNNNNNNNNNNNNNNNNNNNNNNNNNNNNNNNNNNNNNNNNNNNNNNNNNNNNNNNNNNNNNNNNNNNNNNNNNNNNNNNNNNNNNNNNNNNNNNNNNNNNNNNNNNNNNNNNNNNNNNNNNNNNNNNNNNNNNNNNNNNNNNNNNNNNNNNNNNNNNNNNNNNNNNNNNNNNNNNNNNNNNNNNNNNNNNNNNNNNNNNNNNNNNNNNNNNNNNNNNNNNNNNNNNNNNNNNNNNNNNNNNNNNNNNNNNNNNNNNNNNNNNNNNNNNNNNNNNNNNNNNNNNNNNNNNNNNNNNNNNNNNNNNNNNNNNNNNNNNNNNNNNNNNNNNNNNNNNNNNNNNNNNNNNNNNNNNNNNNNNNNNNNNNNNNNNNNNNNNNNNNNNNNNNNNNNNNNNNNNNNNNNNNNNNNNNNNNNNNNNNNNNNNNNNNNNNNNNNNNNNNNNNNNNNNNNNNNNNNNNNNNNNNNNNNNNNNNNNNNNNNNNNNNNNNNNNNNNNNNNNNNNNNNNNNNNNNNNNNNNNNNNNNNNNNNNNNNNNNNNNNNNNNNNNNNNNNNNNNNNNNNNNNNNNNNNNNNNNNNNNNNNNNNNNNNNNNNNNNNNNNNNNNNNNNNNNNNNNNNNNNNNNNNNNNNNNNNNNNNNNNNNNNNNNNNNNNNNNNNNNNNNNNNNNNNNNNNNNNNNNNNNNNNNNNNNNNNNNNNNNNNNNNNNNNNNNNNNNNNNNNNNNNNNNNNNNNNNNNNNNNNNNNNNNNNNNNNNNNNNNNNNNNNNNNNNNNNNNNNNNNNNNNNNNNNNNNNNNNNNNNNNNNNNNNNNNNNNNNNNNNNNNNNNNNNNNNNNNNNNNNNNNNNNNNNNNNNNNNNNNNNNNNNNNNNNNNNNNNNNNNNNNNNNNNNNNNNNNNNNNNNNNNNNNNNNNNNNNNNNNNNNNNNNNNNNNNNNNNNNNNNNNNNNNNNNNNNNNNNNNNNNNNNNNNNNNNNNNNNNNNNNNNNNNNNNNNNNNNNNNNNNNNNNNNNNNNNNNNNNNNUAGCAUAUCAGGAAGACAAGUGGAAGAAAGCAAUGAAGGAGGAGAUCAAUUCCAUUCAGAAGAACAAUACAUGGGAACUGACAACACUUCCUGAAGGUCACAAUGCAAUCGGAGUAAAAUGGAUCUUCAAGACAAAGAAGAAUGCUGAAGGAGAAAUUGAAAAACAUAAAGCCAGAUUAGUUGCAAAAGGGUACAAGCAACAAUAUGGAGUAGAUUAUGAAGAUGUUUUUGCUCCAGUAGCAAGAAUUGAAACUGUGAGAUUGGUGAUUUCAUUGGCUGCUCAGAAACAAUGGAAGAUAUUUCAGAUGGACGUAAAAUCAGCAUUCUUGAAUGGCAAUCUUGAAGAGGAAGUAUAUGUUGAGCAACCAGCUGGCUUUGUAGUACAAGGAGAAGAAGAAAAGGUGUGCAGAUUGAAGAAAGCCCUUUACGGACUCAAACAAGCACCAAGAGCAUGGAACUCAAGAAUUGAUGGCUAUCUUUCUCAGAAGGGGUUUACAAAAUGCCCGUAUGAACAUGCAUUAUAUGUGAAGAAAAACUUGCAUGGUAGAAUAAUGUUUGUUUGUUUAUACGUGGAUGAUAUUCUGUUCACAGGGGAUGAUCCUACAAUGAUUCAAGAUUUCAAGCAAUCCAUGGUAAAGGAAUUUGAGAUGACAAACUUAGGUCUUCUAGCAUAUUUUCUGGGAUUAGAAGUGAAGCAAUGCAGUAAUGGAAUUUUCGUUUCUCAAGCCAAGUAUGCAACAGAAGUGUUAAAGAAAUUUGCUAUGGAAGAUUGUGAUCCAGCAGACAAUCCAGUUGAGUAUGGAACGAGGUUAACUAAAGAAGGAGAAGGAGAUUUAGUUAAUCCUACAUAUUACAAAAGUAUUGUGGGGUGUUUGCGUUAUCUAACUUGUACCAGACCAGACAUUCUGUUUGGAGUUGGUUUAGUUAGCAGAUACAUGGAGAGACCAAGGAGUUCACAUUUGAAGGCAGCAAAGAGGAUCCUUCGGUUUAUUAAAGGAACAUUAAACUAUGGAUUAUGUUAUUCAUCAUCACAGAAUUUCCAAAUCACAGGUUAUAGUGAUAGUGAUUGGGCAGGAAGCUUGGAAGACAGGAAAAGCACAACUGGAUUCAUAUUUUUCAUGGGAGAAACAGCAUUCACAUGGACAUCCAAGAAACAAUCUAUUGUUGCAUUAUCCACAUGUGAAGCAGAAUACAUUGCUGCUGCAUCAUGUGUGUGUCAUGCAAUAUGGCUAAGGAAAUUGAUGGAAGAUCUGCAACAGAAACAGAGUGAAGCCACAAAAAUUUUCGUUGAUAACAAGUCUGCUAUAGCUCUUGCAAAGAAUCCAGUGCAUCAUGAACGUUCAAAGCAUAUUGAUACUCGAUUUCAUUUUAUUAGAGAGCACAUAAAAGAAGGCGAUGUGGAGUUAGUUCAUGUCAACACUCAUGAACAGAUUGCUGAUAUUUUUACAAAGCCAUUGAAGACUGAAGUUUUUUGUUAUCUGCAGAAGAAGCUUGGAAUCGUGAAGAUUGAUGAAACAAGUUUAAGAGGGGUGAAUGUUAGUUAUUAAACUUAUUUAUCAAGAUUAGUAUUGAAGAGUUGCAUCUAUUAGUAUUAAAGAGUCAUAACUAUUAGUAUUGAAGAGUUGCAUCUAUUAGUAUUAAAGAGUCAUAACUAUUAGUAUUGAAGAGUUACAUGUAUUAGUAUUGAAGAGUCACAACUAUUAAUGUUUAUAUAUUGUAUGAAUCUCAUAAUGAAAAAGUGUGAGAGUACCAUUUUCAUAUGUAUUGUAUUCUACCAAAUUAGAGAGUGUGCAACCUAAAUCCUUUUCAAUUCUAUUCUCUAUUUCUGCCAAAUUUCCAACAUGAUGUUCACGUUACAAGCGUCCCAAGUUCUCCGGCAGCAAAUUUUCAAUAGUGCAGCUGUUAAGAGCAACGUCAUUACAAAGAAUAAUUGUAUGCUAGGCAUGGGAAACGAGCAGUCAAAUCGCUUAGAAAGCUUGAGAAUAUCCAUGAGGAAAGCAGGAGAUGAGGUCAAGGGAGCUUCUUUGGCUAGCGAUGCAUUCUUUCUUAUUGCUUGGAACGAUACAGUGGAGAAGGUAUGUGAAGUUAGCAUUGGUGUUGUUGCAGAGCAUGGUGGUAGCAUCAGGAAUAAGGACACCAUAAAAUGCUGCAACAAUAUACGAAAAAAAAAAGAAAAAAAAAAAGAGGGAGAGAGAGACCCCCAUGCAUACCUGCUAAGACUGGUGGAGGCUGUGCUGAUAGUAAAAGGAGAGGGAGGAGUCGUGCCAGUUAUAACAGAAAGAAAGGAAAUGCAGUGUUCUUUUAGUCGGAAAAACUGCAAAAGGUGAUGAAUAGAUACUAGUCUCGUGGUGAACUGCAGAAACCGCGAUGUUGAUUAUAAAGUUCUCAAUAUUCUUGAAGUCACGCAACAAAUCAUCUCGAUACUUCAAUAGGAGUGGUUAAUACAACUAAAUGUGGCGUGAUAUCAGCUGCUUUGAACCAGAUUUUGAGGAAAUGCAGAAAAUACAUUAGGGAACUCGGUGGCCAUAGAUGAUGAUGAUGAAAUGUGGUCUGAAUAAACACUUCCUUUACUAGUUGCUGGUGUUUUACUACGAGUGGAAGCUGCAACUAUAACUGCAAAUUGUCACUGCUUUUAAAGCUGAAGGAUUUGUUGACUCUGCGGCUACUGUUACAACAACUCCGUGGUAAUUCAAUGAGAAGAUGAAAGUGAGCCCAUACAAAAUAUUACGAUGAUCAUCAGGGGGGGCAGGUCUUGCUGAAGCAAAAUCUGCAAAGACACAAAUAAAAAAAAAGAUUAUUAGCAUCGUUUGAUCCUUGGAGGUUUGUGCCGGAUGGGACCAAGGAGAAGUUUGAUGGCAAUGGAUCUGAUGCAAUUGGAAUUAAGGGUCACAGCUCUGCUCCAGUCGACAUUGAUGGUCAAUAAAUCUGAUGCUAUUGACAUUGAUAAAGACUUGGUUGGUGAUGAAAAGGACAUUGAAAUAGCUGCAGUAAUGGUUUGGUUUCCAAUAAAGAAGAUCCCUUGAUGGAACAGUCCACCAUGGGAGUAUACUUGGCCAAUCACUUCAGACCUUCAAUGAGCUUUGGGAGGUUGGAUACCACCUAGCAGUGAACAGCCACACGCAUAAUCGAAGAUAUAUAGAGAUAGCAGCAAGAAUAGGGUGGGCACCUUCCUUCUCGUUUUUGCAGUUGUAAUAAAACAAAAAAUAAAUAAAUAAAGGGAGAUAUGCAUACCUGGACUGCUGGUGGAGGCUGCGUUGAAGGAACCAGGAUUAUUAAAACAACACAGAACGACCGCAACUUAUUGAAUGGAAAUAAUAUGGCUGAUUCCUUUGAGAAGUAGCAACCUGUUGGUGCUAAAGAAGAAGAGAAUGACGAACGCCUCCUAAGAUUGAUUGCCUGGCUUAUUGGAGGCCGAACUGUCUGUAAAAAAAUAGAAGGGACAGUAUGGUUUUUAUAGCCGCUUACUCUGAUGAGAGUACUCUUGCUUAAUUAACAUAAUCAAAAGCUAGCGAACUUUUCCUAGUUGAAGAAAAUUUUCCUAGUUCAAUUAAGCGAAGUCGGCUACCAGUACUGGAAAUUCUUUUGCUGCCUUAAUAAUUCAUUCACGUUGGACAAUUCAUUCAGGAAACAAAGGAUGCACAUGGUAAAGCCAAAAGAAAAGGAAACAACAAAUUUCCUAUACUGUUGAGAAGGAAUUAUAUAGGAAAGAGCAUUUGAACGGGAAUGAAGCAAAUAAUUCAUCAAACAAUGAGUGCACACAUAUCAAGAGAAGAAAGAGAAUAUGAAUCAAAAUCUUUAAUAUGUGAUAAUUCAUUAACCGCUACUCGGAAUCAUAAACGGAUUGCAUCAUUGGAUUCAGAACAACGAGAUCUUUAAAACAAGAUGUUACAGUGACCACGUCCAGUUAAAAACAAAAAAAAUUUCUGCAGCCUGGUCAAAGUGUUAGUUGCUAUUCGGGUAUAAAGAUAAAUUUUGUUUGUUCCUGAAUAUGCAACAGUUUGAAAUGAGGUAUUAGACCUGAAUAUUCUAUCAUUUGAUUUGAUAAAUCUCAAUCAAGAUUGAUCCAUAAAUUUUCAAUUUUGAUUAUCAUAUUUUAUUUUUACAAUAAAAUUUAUCUGCUUGUUGCGAAAAUCUAAUAUGAUCAAAUCAAAUUUUAGUCGNNNNNNNNNNNNNNNNNNNNNNNNNNNNNNNNNNNNNNNNNNNNNNNNNNNNNNNNNNNNNNNNNNNNNNNNNNNNNNNNNNNNNNNNNNNNNNNNNNNNGAUCAAUCAAUUUUAGUCGAAAUAUAAAACUUUCUCAGCUAUUUUUUUCGAGACAUGCCCACUUGUUUCUAAAGUAAGUGAACUUGUCUCGAGGGGGCAUCUGUAGAAACACAAAUUUUCUACCAGUCAAAUUUCGCCAUGUGUUAUUUUAUUCUUUAAAAGAAAGGAUAAAAUAAAAUUGAAAUAAAUGACAUGGAAAAUAAAUGAGCCUUCAUAUAUUUCUUGGCCAAUGAAAAGUUGACACUUGGGAUGAGAUAUUCAAGAUAUCUUGUCAUAAAUACAAGAUCCCAUCAGAUAUCUUGUCAUAAAUGCAAGAUCCCGUCAAUAAAUAUCAACCAAUAAAAUUAUGCCAUGUGGCAUUGGAAAAGGACCUGAGAGCCCUUACAGAUCUCUAUAAAUAGAGGGCCUCAACCUAAAGGAAGGGGGAUUCCGGGAGAUACAAAUUUCCUUCAAGACAAGCUCUGCAAACAAGGAAGCUCUCGCUCUCUCUCUCUCUUCAAGCAAGGAAGCUCUCUCAAAGAGUUCUCAAGCCUCCUUCAUCUACGCUUGAAGUCUACAAAGAACGAAGCUCUGUUGGAUCAAGCCUAAACGCCCCAUAAGAGUUCUUCAACAACACUUUGAAGACAAAUCAAAGGUACUCUUCAAAGCAUCAAAUUACCAAAUCUCGCUAAGCUCUGUUGGAUCAAGCCUAAACGCCCCAUAAGAGUUCUUCAGCAACACUUUGAAGACGAAUCAAAGGUACUCUUCAAAGCAUCAAAUCACCAAAUCUCGCUUCGUAAUACACGCCCAAAUUCGCGUUCUUGCAAAGCACAAAUCUUGGCUUGAUUACUCAAAUAAAUCAAGUCACCAUACAUCAAAUCCAAGGGAAGAAUCAGAGGAUUGUCUUGUUCUUUUGAAAGAAUAUAUUACGUAGAGAUUGUACCCAUUCAUAUAUUUAAUAAAAUCAUAUAUUUGUACACGCGUGCUUGUUUAAUUUCAGGUGCUCAAAAUUGUGUCUACACUAGGUAUCAUUUCAUUACAAUAAUUAAUCUCUUACUUCUUAAGCCCUGCAUCAAGAGACAGGGAAUGACACAGUUAGACAACUCCUUUUAAAUUUAGUGGAUGGCUAAAGGAUUUAUCUCCACUUAUCAAUUACUUCAGUUUCAGAAAUGUGGAGGAAGAAAUCACAAUGUAUUGAAGUUGACAACCAGAAGCCCAAAAGAAAACAAUUUUGACGAAUACCCACCAAACAGUUGAAGUGCUGCUGUAACUGAGAUUUUUUAUUAUAUGUAUUUUUUGUGGUCCAAUGGAAAAAUAUUUUUAUUUUCUUUUAUUUUAUCAGCUUAAUUUCGCAUGUGGAAUAUUGAGUUUUCUGUUGUUUUUUCAGACACAGAAUUGAAUCCUUUAUACAUUCUUAAAACCAAAUUUGAAUUCUAAGUUCCUAAAUGAAGGAAUAAUAAAGAUUGUUGCAUGUACAAAUUCUCCUUAAAAAAUUAAAAAAUAAUAAAGUAUUUAUUAAAAUUAAUUAUAACUUAGCCCUGUAAUUUAUUAAAAUUAAUUAUUUAGUCUUUAAGUAUCAUGGAUAAUUAAAAAAUCUAUUAACUAGUGUUGACCACCCUCCAUUUACUAUAUUUUUCUCUUAAAAUGCCUUCCUUCCUAAUGAAAUUUCCCCAAUGCUUUCUUUUCUUAUCUAUUUUUUCAGAUGAGAAAACUUAAAUGCAUAGGUUUUUUUGCAAUGAANNNNNNNNNNNNNNNNNNNNNNNNNNNNNNNNNNNNNNNNNNNNNNNNNNNNNNNNNNNNNNNNNNNNNNNNNNNNNNNNNNNNNNNNNNNNNNNNNNNNNNNNNNNNNNNNNNNNNNNNNNNNNNNNNNNNNNNNNNNNNNNNNNNNNNNNNNNNNNNNNNNNNNNNNNNNNNNNNNNNNNNNNNNNNNNNNNNNNNNNNNNNNNNNNNNNNNNNNNNNNNNNNNNNNNNNNNNNNNNNNNNNNNNNNNNNNNNNNNNNNNNNNNNNNNNNNNNNNNNNNNNNNNNNNNNNNNNNNNNNNNNNNNNNNNNNNNNNNNNNNNNNNNNNNNNNNNNNNNNNNNNNNNNNNNNNNNNNNNNNNNNNNNNNNNNNNNNNNNNNNNNNNNNNNNNNNNNNNNNNNNNNNNNNNNNNNNNNNNNNNNNNNNNNNNNNNNNNNNNNNNNNNNNNNNNNNNNNNNNNNNNNNNNNNNNNNNNNNNNNNNNNNNNNNNNNNNNNNNNNNNNNNNNNNNNNNNNNNNNNNNNNNNNNNNNNNNNNNNNNNNNNNNNNNNNNNNNNNNNNNNNNNNNNNNNNNNNNNNNNNNNNNNNNNNNNNNNNNNNNNNNNNNNNNNNNNNNNNNNNNNNNNNNNNNNNNNNNNNNNNNNNNNNNNNNNNNNNNNNNNNNNNNNNNNNNNNNNNNNNNNNNNNNNNNNNNNNNNNNNNNNNNNNNNNNNNNNNNNNNNNNNNNNNNNNNNNNNNNNNNNNNNNNNNNNNNNNNNNNNNNNNNNNNNNNNNNNNNNNNNNNNNNNNNNNNNNNNNNNNNNNNNNNNNNNNNNNNNNNNNNNNNNNNNNNNNNNNNNNNNNNNNNNNNNNNNNNNNNNNNNNNNNNNNNNNNNNNNNNNNNNNNNNNNNNNNNNNNNNNNNNNNNNNNNNNNNNNNNNNNNNNNNNNNNNNNNNNNNNNNNNNNNNNNNNNNNNNNNNNNNNNNNNNNNNNNNNNNNNNNNNNNNNNNNNNNNNNNNNNNNNNNNNNNNNNNNNNNNNNNNNNNNNNNNNNNNNNNNNNNNNNNNNNNNNNNNNNNNNNNNNNNNNNNNNNNNNNNNNNNNNNNNNNNNNNNNNNNNNNNNNNNNNNNNNNNNNNNNNNNNNNNNNNNNNNNNNNNNNNNNNNNNNNNNNNNNNNNNNNNNNNNNNNNNNNNNNNNNNNNNNNNNNNNNNNNNNNNNNNNNNNNNNNNNNNNNNNNNNNNNNNNNNNNNNNNNNNNNNNNNNNNNNNNNNNNNNNNNNNNNNNNNNNNNNNNNNNNNNNNNNNNNNNNNNNNNNNNNNNNNNNNNNNNNNNNNNNNNNNNNNAUUAUAGUUCAAAGCUACCAGAUUAGGCAUAUAGCUUAUGAAGGGUUUGUAAGCAGCAAACAAUUAAAAUUAGAAAUCAGAGGAACAUUUAGAGGAUAGAAUAUUUAGAAUCUCUAGCAAUAGCCAGCAAUGUAUCUGCUCGAAAAAACCAUUAAACAUGAGAUUGUUCUGCUAGAAAAACAUGAGAUUGCUCUGCUAUUUGAUAUCAGUUUCAAACUUCUGAACAAAUAAUACAGCAUCAAGUCUCAGUCAUCACAUGCCCAUACAAAAACAUUUAUUCCAGAUCUCAAGCUGCAUUGCCAAGCCCGUUUCCAAAACCACAUAAGCAUAUGCAAUAGAAACAGAGCAUCAAACUGACUGAGAAAGCAUGAGAAUGAAAAUCCACACAUUAAACAAGAGUAAACAUUAUGCCUUUAUUUUUGAAAGGUUCACACACUUCAAAACAAACACGAAUGGGCAAGCAACAUUCGCCCUUACUUCUGGAGGCUUGUACGAUAAUGGGCAAGCAACAUUAUUUUUUUGAGGUUCGCACAGUAAUGACUAAACACACAACAUUACAUUACAUGGGUAAACAAGCAGAUAACCUUAUUCACACAUAUAUAGAUAAGUCGUUAUCUUCUUUUGAAAUCACACAUAGCAGAUAACCAAACGAGGGAAUAAGAAAUCACAGCAUCCGAAACUGAAGCAGACAAUACUUGAUAAUUGUUUUAGCGACAGCUUCUUUAGAUUAGGAAGCACCAUCUCCUUCUCAACGUUGACAGGUGAUACAUGAUCAUCCUGCCCAAACACUCCCAAUAAUUGAGAGGCUUUUGUUACUCUAAGUAUUUGGAGCUAUGAGAGACCUGAAGCCAUGGUAACUGGGAAGAGGCUCUUCAACAUGUUACAUUCUCCAAUCUCAAUUUCACACAAAUUGGGAAUGCAUAAAGAUUGGAGAUGAUCUCCUAACAAUAUCUGGUCGUUUUCAUCAUCAUCCUUAGCAAUGAUUCGCUUGAAUUCCUCACAGGACAGUAUCUUUAGAACUUUCAGUUGAACUAGACUGACAAUCAUGCUGCAUGUGAAUACCAGUGUCAGUCUCUUACACUCAACCACCUCCAAAGUAGUCAAUUUGCUCAGCACGAGACCCUUCCAUAUACACCUCAUGUCAGGCAGGGAUUCCAAGCAUAAUUUUUCCAAAUUUGUCAACCCCUGCAUCAAAAGAAAACAAGGAUACCAAUUUGUUAGAUAUAAUUCCUAAUAAAUUUUGUGCACUUUGGAACUAUAUAAUUUUGGUAAAUAGAUGAACGAAUUGUCCCCACUAGUUAAGCCAAAAACUUAUCAACAACAGGAUAUGAGUAGACAUGGCAAUAGGGCAUGAAAAGUUGCAGGACUGAAACAAACAUUGGAGAAAUAUAAAGGACGUACUUGGAGCUGCGCAAACAAAUUUCCCAAUUCUUUGUGGCCAUCAAUGUUUAGAAUUUGCAAAGAAGGCAAUUGAGCAGCAAAAUUCUUUGGACCAAAAAAGCUGCAAUUUGAAAGAGACAAUCCUCUUAGCUUAGGGAACUUGAUGAUUCCAUCUCUGGUGAGUGCAUCUCCUUCUCCAGUGUAAAAUUACAUUGUCAGCAAAAUCAAUCUCCAUCUCUUCCAGGUUCAGAAGACUUCGAGACACAGAGACAGGGAAGGCAUAUUCCAGUUUACCACAGUAACUUAUAGAGAGACUUCUUAAUUUUGGGAAGCAAAGUCACUCUGUAGUUAUUUCCCUUGCAUCAUCCUUUUCUCUGAUAAGAUGCUUCAAUUCACCGCAACUACCUAUGUUAAGGCUUUCUAGCUUUGGCAGACUUUGAGCGAGGGACAGUGUGAAGAUAAAUAUCAGUUUGUUGAGAGAAAUCAAAUUCAGAUCAGCAAGAUUUUGGAGGCUGACAUGAUUGGCGGGCCCCUUCCAUAUACAUUUGAGCUCAGGUAACUUGAUCAGCUCUAACUCUGUUAAAGAUGACAACUCCUUCUCCUCACUGCUUCCUUCAUCAACGUCACCCAAUUCAAAUACCUCUUCCAAUGAUUUGCAGUCGCAAAUGUGCACACUCCUUAGAAUACUUGUCUCAUAUUUGUCUCAUAGGUGAGUUAGUUAAUGUACGUUGAUUGAGCAGAACGUAGUGGGUUCAAACUAUACUAGGAAUAAUAUUAUGUUUUUUCAAAUUACUAGCAAAGGCGUGUGGGCUUGUUUAAGGCUCACAUGCACGUGCCUGAGUUUUGUUGUCAUAGGACGAGUCAUUAGUUCGGUUUUUUUUUUUUUAUUAGUCAUUUUAGUUUUUAUUUUUAAUUUUUUUAAUAUAUUUUUUGAAUUUUAUUCUUUAGCAUUGAGUUUUUUUAUUAAAUUAUAUUUUUUAAUAUUGAGUUAAUGAUAAAUUAGUUUUUAUAUUUUUUAUCAUGUAAUAAAAUAAAAAAAAUUAAUUUAACUCAAUAUAAUUUAUAAUUCGAGUGGGUUGAGUAGAGUUAACGUGAACUAUUUUAUUUUUUUUAUUUUUAGAUAAGUAAAAGGCAAAUUAAAAAAACAAAGUAAUCUCAUCUUUUAGUACGGUGGUCCAAGAUGCACCAUGAUAUGGUUGUAGUUUAUUUGCCUUUUCCUUUUAAAAAUGUUGUCUCCUUUGUAAGGAAUCCUUGGUUCCCAACAGCAAUUGUAGCAGAGUUGAAGGUUGCGUAAAACAAUUCUCUAAACUCCACCAAAAGUAGUGGAGCGUUAGAAUUUUUAAAAGACAAAACGGGGACAAGUGGGAGACGAAGAAAAAGACAAAAGUAAUUUAAUCUUGAUGUGGUGAUCCAAGAUACACCAUGAUAUGGUGUUCUUCCAAGAAGUCUAAGAUACACCGUCGUAUUGUUUCAUAUAUAUUUAUAUAUAUGACAAUAAUAAAAAAAACCGUUUAAACAACUCUGAAAACAAAAAAUUUUAUAAUUUAUAAUUUAUAAAACAUGCGAUAAAAUAAGUCAUAGUGAAUGUUUUCAUUUGGCAUUUAAUUCCAUGAACAUGACCUUAUUCUUUGAUCAAAUUGCUGCGAUUCUCGAAACUAAAUUGAAUGUUACUGACUAGCUAUUGUUUCUCAUUGGCAAGAAUCAUUGCCAAUUAUCAUAACAUGUUAGUGAUUUAUUAGAACUAGUUCUAGUAUCUCCUAUCUCACUCACCAAAUAUCAUUAUUUUAUUCAUAGCCAUAUGAGAGUUAUUAUCCAACCAUUUUCAAAUCCAUUCAAAACCUUGGUAAAUCAAUUUAUAAAACAUUCUUACUUAUAAAAACUUGUAGGUCUAGUGUUACCAAUCCUUACCAAUCCUUAUCUUGAGCUUAUACCUAUUCCAUUGAUCCAUAAAUAUAUUUACUAAGCCAUCAACAUAAUUUGUUUGGGGCAAAUCCUCGUCUAGUUAUAACAGACUUAUACCUAACUGCUUAGAAUCACUAGUUAUUGUAGGAUUGACUACAUCAAAAUUGAUUAGUUUUUUGUUUUCAAAGAGAUUUAAACUUUUGAUGCAAACGAAAGCUAAAAACACAAUAAUCAAAGAAAACAAAAAAAAAAAUAUAAGCAAAAGGGACUAUAGAUGUAAACCCUCAAAUUCACAACUUUAUUUUCUCUAAAAUAAUAAUAAUGAAGUUUGUUUUCUUAGAAGGUUUACAAAUCCUUAAAUAUGUUAGGAACCUUACCUCCACUAGGAAACAAAAAAAAAAUACAAAAUUACAAAGAAAAGAAGCAUAAAAUCCAAAACAAGCAAGAAAUAAAAAAAAUAACAAGGAAAAUCACAGAAACUAUCAAAACUAUAGGCCUAAACAAGAUUUUUGAUAUCUAAAGAUUUGAUGGUCCACGUAAAAAUUUGAGCAUGAUCCAAUAGUCGAAUAAGAAAUUAUAACUCUUUUGAGCUGUUAUUCUAGUCUGACGUAUCUUUUUCUCUUUUUUUCACUAUAAAUGGAGUUUGACCAUCAUUGUCAUAUAGUUUGACUUAGUUGUAUCGUUUUUAAUCAGAUCAACUUUAUAUAUUAUGAGUUUACAUUUACUAAUUUUAAAAAAAUGCUCACAAGUCCAUUGUUCACACCUCAAAUUCAUAACAGCAGCGAUUCGUAGGCAACGAAACCAGUUAGAGACUAGAGAGUAAACAUGCUAUUAAAGUUAGCAAGUAAGGGUUUAGAUUAGAUUAUUUGUUGUCUUGUUUCAAAUAUUAGAGCAGUCUCAACUCAUUAAAUAAACAAGUGGUGCAUUGAUCCUUGGACUCAAAUCAUAUAUACACGGUGAGCUCAUUUGUGUUUUUAUUUUUUGUCCCUCCCUGUACUUGUAGCAGAAGAGAAGCUGCUCUCAUCUUUGAAGGAAUGCAAACAAUUGUUAAUAUGAAACAUAUUAUGUACAAAUUAUAAUAUUUGUAAGAAGCCGUUUUGCUGCCCACCGGCGGCCAUCUGAUCAGAGAACAAUAUUAUAUUUUUUAAACCCUUCACUCUCAUAAAAACAAUUUAUAUGAUUUUAAAUAGGAAAAAAUAGAAAAAAUAGGAUUAAAUAUUUUUUAGAAAUUACAUAUUACUGUUUUAGUUUUUUUUCUUAAUUAGAGGCAAGUUCAAUAAAAGUAGUAAUAAUUAUAUUUUUGUGAAAAAAGGUUACUACAACUCCUAAUAAUUAGUUUCGUGUAAAAAAUAAAAAUAAAAAUAGUAAUAGGUUAACAAAAUUUUAAAGAUAUUUUAAUUCAAUUAAGUAUUUCAACACAAAAUUUAUGUUCUUAUACAGUUAUAUAUUAAUUCUAAUAAAAUAAAUAUGAUUUCUAUGUUUAAAUUUUGGUAUUAAUAACGCAUACAACAAUGAGGCAGUUAAGUUUCUUAGAUAAAAUAAAAUCAUUUUAAAAAUAAAAAUAAGCUAGUAUGUUUGUUACAUAAUGAAGAAAAUUUAAUUUUUCUUCAAAUUAAUUUUUUUAAAUCGUUUUAAUAUGGUGGUAUCGAAACUAAAUUUAAAAAAAAAAUAUUAUGAAAAGCAAUUGUUAAUAUUUGUUAAAACAUUAUUGUUAAUAUUUCUAGUCGGUUGCUAUAUAUAUAAUGGCAUGUAAUUGGAAUAAUAUAUGUUAACUUGUACACAACUUAAUAAAUUAAUGAGAAAACUAAAGUAGCCGGUCAUGUCGGCGCAAUGGACCUCAAUACAAGUUGACAACAUUUUAAGUGGAGUUUUGCAUAUUUUUGAAAGUUUUUUUAUGCAUUUUAAUUUAGCCAAACCUUAAAAUAGAAUCACACCCUAAUCCAAAACAAUACACACUCCAACAAUGUCACAUGUUUCUAUUACAAAGUUUCCAUAUGUACAAGUAAUCCCCUGAAAUUAUGAAGAUGGUUCAACAAGAUGAUUCAAUACCGCAAUUGUGAUUUUUGAUGCAUAGCCGUAAUGCCUCAUAUUUUUAACGAACCAUAUAUAACACCUCAUUUUAAAAAGGGGAUUAUUAUUAUUAUUAUUAUUAUUAUAAUAAUGUUGUCUGCAUAUAUAUAAUUAACUGCCUUAAAAAGGGGAUUAGUAUUACAUCACUUUACGUGCAUUAUAGCUUUUAACUCUUAUAUUCAAAUUAUUAGAUCAGUGUAUGCGCACAACAUUUGAUAUUUUUAACCACACGCAUACAUGAAAUAAAACCAAUGGAAACAUGACACAAAUGUCAACUGCAACUACAACCUGAUCAAAUAUUUUAUGUUUUUUUUUUGAAAUAUUGUUAUAGACAUAGAAUCAACGAGAUUAUGUGACAUUCUAUAUUGAUUUUGUGAUAUUUUAAUCACUAAAAGUAUGGGUUUCAGAAAAAUAAAAACCAAACAAAAAAUUAAAAAAAAUUAAAAUUUUUCAAACCAACCCAAUCCAGCAUAUCGAUCGGUUUUGUUCUAGUUUGGUUCAGAUAUUUUUUAGCUGAAACAAUUAAUAACCAUUUUCAAAAAGUAACUAACUAUUGACAAGUCUUUCAUCGAAACCAUGUUCAAAUCAGGUUCAGGUUGCUAACUCAAACUAACACAAUCCAAAUAUGAAUGCACAUAGACUCUGGGUUGGUUCUUUAUUGAUUUUCAGAAAUGUCAAACUGAAACCGAACCGAAAUAAAUGAAUAUUUCUAACUGAAACGCUUCAAAUACUGAAAAAAUGAUCGGUUUUGUUCAUGUUUAGUUUGGUUUGGUUUGGUUAUAGAGAUACCCCUGACAAUCCGCUUCUUCACUCAACCUCAAACAAUAAGCACUAUUAUUGUGUCUUUAAGUGAAUUACUAUAAAUAUAAAAAUAUAUGUGGAUAAUUGAAAAUUUGCUUAGAGUUGCUAAUAAUUCACAACUGCAACAACCAACACGACCAGGUAAUGCCCGGGAAUGGGUCUUUGGUGCACAAUCAUGACUGUAACCAUGAUUUAAAAUCAUUUCCACACCAUCCAAGACAAUUGGUAUUGGAUUGUUAGCAACAAUUCAGUUUAUAAUAAUAAUAAUAAUAAUGUUGAUUCUUUUAUCUCCUACUUAAUGCAAGUGUCCAUCGUGUGCUGAAAUUGAUUGUUUACCUCAUAUUUCUUUUAAAGGUAGAGAUUUCUUGGUUGACAAUGGGAAAAGGUAAUCGCAUGGUUAUUUUCCAUAAGAUUCAUUUGAGUAAAUAUUCUCUAUUAGAGGUCAAUUUCAUCGAAGCAAUUACUUCAAUGAACACUUCCUAAUUACCAACCUCUAAGUAGUCAUCUCCCUUAUCCUAACUUUUUAUUUCCUAAUAAAAUCUCACGGUUUUUCAUCAUGUUCAAAGGAAAAGUUGACCUUGCAAAUGGUGCUCUAAGGAACCAAGUAAUCCUAGAACUAAUCUCAUCAACUCCUUGUUGCACAAACAGCUUGUCUCACUUAAAGGGGAUUUUAAUGAUGAACAAACACCAACUCCUUGUUGCUCAAAUACAUAUGCUCAUUUAAACACAAUUUUGCAUUACCUAGAACUGACAAGGCCUAAAAUUCCUGACAUAGAAUUUUGUUUUAAAGGAACUUCAGGAUUUCUAUAUAGGAUGCUUGGCCUCAUUAAAGACAAACUGAGGACAUCCAUAACAUAAAUUAUCUUCCUUGCCCCAAAGUCAGCACAGAAAAACCCUGUUCACUAUAAAGGUUCUGAAUGUUUUUCCUAAAUUUCAUGAGCUGGCAUUCAACACAUCAAACUCCCAAUUUAGCAUUCUUAUACAAACUACAACUGCAGAAGGCUUGUACAUGUAGGGGAGGUAGGAAGAGCUGCAAAGUUGUCGCAUCUAUUGUUAUGCUGUUCAGAGUUUCUAUCUCUAUCAUCCAAUCUGCCAAAAAUAUAAAAGAUCAUGUGCAUGAAUUUGAUCUCAUCAUAUGCCUACGGGAGAUACAUGACCAGUGAUGGUUGUUCUAUGCACAAAAUUAGCUAACAUAUGACUAUUUUAUUCAACUACCAUUUCACGAUAUGAGUUCUCCUAGCCACACUCAAAAGCCCUAGCCGCUAUAUGAACAAAGCACCUAAAAAAUUAAUCACCUACCUAAUCUAAUUCAGGAAAAUUUGGUCAAAAUCUCCUACAAUGAAACGAGUUAUUUGAAUGCAUAGACAGGAAAUUCAGGUAAACACACACCCACACACACACACACACACACACCUGAUCAUAAAUUUCCUAAAGAAAUUCUGAAUUGUAACAUUGGUAAACAAAGAGUGACAAUAUCAUCACAUUAAAAAUGCAUUUCACUCAAAACAAUUAAUAGCUCAAGAAAAAAUUUUGCAAGAAGCCAAUAGAGAAUAAAGUAAGCAGUCCAUAAACAAGAGACAGAGAGACAUUGUUCCAAUAGAGAAAAGUAAUUAAAACCCAACAACUAAAACUGAGAAAGAAUCAAACCAGUGAGUAACUAAUCCUUUUAAAGCAUUCCAAGAAUGGCAACCAAAUAUAACAUAAUCAACCUGCAAAAACAAACACAAAAAGAAUUAGAAGAAGAAACCCCAUUAGUUAAUAAGUUAAAACAGCAGCAGCAGCAAAAAGACUCAAAUUUUAGUUAUUUGGACUUGAGAAAAAGCACUGAACCCUCUGUGAAAAUGCCAUGAAAGGGGUGCUAAGAAACCAGGAAAAUAAAAACUUUUAAAAGGGUGUUUUUACAAAGCAAGAAAGAAGCUAGGAAGCAAGCCAGCCUACGCUCACGAACUCUGUUUGUUAAUUGUUUUUUCUCCUGUGAAGUGAAAACAAAAAAAGAAAAAGAGAAACAAAAACAAAGAGCACCCAGAAAAUCUAGUCAGAAAUAUUUUAUGUUGUUGUCUUGGAUAGACGCAGAUACCGAGGAACAGUGUGGGGCCACCUUUGGUGAGCAGUGAUACAGUGGCAAGUAUGUGAAAUAACGCAUAUUACAGUGCGCAAUGAUAGAGUGAGUCUGGGUGGACAAACUUUUGGUGGUACACGUGGUGCUUAAUGAUUAGAAGUUACAUGAGGGAAAUAAGAUGGAAAAGGUGGCCUCUCUAGAUUUUGGAAAUGUUCUCUGAAGAAAGAAAGAAAAUAAUUUCAAAGGUGGACAAAAAUGGGGUAAUAUCAGAUUUGGAACAUAAUCUUGGUUGGUGAAGAAUAACAUAAUCUAAGGAGAAAUCUAGGGCAAGCCCAGUGAGAUUUGAGCUUAGAUUUUGGAUCAAUUUAUAGGUGGAUGAUACCAUCAUGAAUAAUGUCCAGCUGAUAAAGGUUUAGUUACUUGCAAUUCUAUCAUAAAGUUAUCAGAUUCUGUGUGUGUGAGGCUGCCAUAUGUUUCUUUCUUCUAUGAUGGAUAAAAAACGCUAAGCAAUGAACUAUUUUGUCCACCUAGUAAAAAAGGUAUUAUGGUUAUGAUGAGAACUCUACAACCUGCCAUUUUAUUUUUGAAGGUAUUCUUAUUAUAUUUAUAAUUAUAAGAAUCUUUAAAAGAUACACGGAUAAAAUAUUAUUCUCACGUUAUUAUUCACUGGUGUUAUAAGCUUAAAUUAAUAGAUAAUUAAGUAAAUUUGUUGAGGAAAAGCAAAAUUUAAAUAUAGAUAACCAAAGUGGAAAAAAAAAAGCACAAAAAAAGGUGGUAGUUACAAGAUUGAAGUAAAAAAUUCACUUUGAUUCUCAUACUUUUCAAAUAAUGACUUUUUGGUCUCUUAAGUUUUUCUACAUUUUAUUUUUUAUCCACAACUUCAUUUUUCUAUUUUCUCAUUCCCUAAUUUGAUAGAGGAGACAAAAAGUCAUUGAAUUACAAUGUUAGAGAGAAUCUCUAUGACAACCUCAACAUUUGUAUUAAAACAAAGAGCAAGGACAUGACGAUUCAAAUAAGAUUAGAGAUUUUUUUUUUGUAAUUAAUAAAAAAUUUGGCAGAAUUUCCUCCAUAUUUUUAGGUAUUUAGUUAUCGACUUUUCAUCCACAAUCCCCAAUUAUCAAAUUUCUUAUCCUAUCAUCCAGGACUUCCUCCUCUCAUUAUAUCACAACUUCUCAAUAAUCAAAUUCACAUCUGUCUAAACAAUUCAAUAUCCCACAUUUACAUGGAUGUAAUCCAAAGAAUUAUUCUACAAAUUAUAACUGAAAUACAUUACACAAUUCAAAAAUUAACAAAUAAGGACCAUUAACUAAAUUAUAAUCGAAAUAAGUACAUAAUUAAAGAAGAAAUUCAUAAUUAAGAUUAUACUACACAAAAAGGCUUUCGAUAAACUGUUGACGCAUUAUAUUACAUAACAAAAUGAUAAAUUCAUUCAUUACAAAAAGAUACCAAACAAAAUAUAAGAAAACUAAUCUAUUAUUCAGUAUGAUAGGGGGAUAUACCUGAAAAUUGAUUUAAUACAAUAAUUUGAUUAGAUAGAUGAAGAAAAGAUAUCCAUAAAAUUCUUUCUACUUUCUUUUUUUUUUCCUUUUUUUUUAAAAAAAAUUUAGUUAAAAGAUCUUUAAAUUAACUUGCUCAUCUAGUAUUAUAUAUAAAAUAAUUUGAUUAGACAAGUGAAGGCUUGUACACGCAGGGGAGAGGUAGGAAAAGCUGCAAAAGUUGUCGCAUCUAUUGUUAUGCUGUUUAGAGUUUCUAUCUCAGCAUCCAAUCUACCAAAAAUAUAAAAGAUCAUGUGGAGGAAUUUGAUCUCAACGGGGCAGCACCUCAUAUGCCUACGGGAGAUACAUGACCAGUGAUGGUUGUUCUAUCCACAAAAUUAGCUAACAUAUGACUAUUUUAUUCAACUACCAUUUCAGAAUAUGAGUUCUCCUAGCCACACUCAAAAGCCCUAGCCGUUAUAUGAACAAAGCACCUAGAAAAUUAAUCACCUACCUAAUCCAAUUCAGGAAAAUUUGGUCGAAAUCUCCUAUAAUGAAACGAGUUAAUUGAAUGUGAGAGUUCGAUAAAAGAUUGGUUCUGCAAGGAAAAAAAACAUUACUCUUAAUACACCUUACUUAAGGUAUGUUACAUUAGUAUUUAAUUAUAUUUUUAGGUCAUGUUUCUAUUCUCUGGUCAUUUCUAAGGUCUAAAGUAGAUCUUCUUUCAUGAUAGAGUCUCUAUUUUAUUGGGUGAAAUCCUAACCAUUCUAAAGUCUAAAUUAUAGCAUCACAUUUAUUUCCAAAAUACAACUAAUUCCUAACAUUUCGAACAUAAGGAUUGUUAUGGUUUUUUUGUAUUUUGAUCAAACCCUAAUAGAUAAUCAUAAACUGAUUAUGAUAUUUAUUUUUGCAUUUUUAAAAUAUGAGAAAGAUAUAAUUUUUAUUUUUAUAUGAAAAUACAUGUGAAAAACUUUUUAAGAUUUGAUCGUAUGUAAAACAAAACAUUUUUUGAAGUGAAAAUUUAUUUUUUGAAUUUUCAAUUUAUUUUUUAUUUUUUAAUCUUUUUAAGAUUUCAGAGAAAACCGGCUAUUUUGAUCAAGUUUAAUUUAGUUCUUUGAUUUUUUUAAUUCUCUCAAUUACACCUUGAUUGAUUUCAAACUUUUAAUUUUAUGCAAUUUCAUCCUUGAAAAACUUCAAUAUCAACCAUAGAUUUCAACCUAUUUUUCACAUUAAUCCUUGGUUUCAGAUUUAUACAAGUUGACCCUCAAGAGACCAUUAAACUUUAAAUUUUCUUUAAUUUUAUCCCUGAUUUUAAUCAAUUGGGUUCUUAUAGUUCGUUGUCAUUUACAAAUUGGUCAUUGGUUGUGAAUUUCUUCAACUUAACCAUUAACUGACCACAAAACUUUGAUUUUCUUGCGAUUUUACCAACGAUUUCAAUCAAUUGACUUGGUAAAAAUUAAAUUUAGUCUCCUAAUAUUUCAACCUUGUCAAUUAAGCUGAAAUUGGGCUCCAAAACUUAAUGUUUCACCAAUUAAGCCCCUAAUAAAAUUAAUUUGACUCAUUUAAAGUAUAAUUAAGUCCUUGCACCUAAUUAAAUCCAUUAAUUGGACCCAAAUUAACUCUUAAACAUAAUUAAAUCUCAAUUUGGCCUAUUAAAAUCUUAUGUCUUUAGGCUUGAUUUUUAAGUAGAUUCGUCUAAUAAUCAUUUAAUUUGUCCUUGAAUCUACAUUGUCUCCUUAGUUUUGGGUGUAAUGGGGUACAUUUAGGCUCCUAAUCCCAUCCAAAGUUGUAGCUUAAUUUGAAAUCCUCACAACUUGCUUUUGUUAAAAUGUCAGUCCUUAUUUUAUUUAUUCUAUUUUUUUAUUUUGAAAAGAAAAGAGAUGAAUUUGAGGAAUAACCCAGAAUUGAGUUAUGACAAUGAGAACUCUACAUUCUGUGAUUUUAUUUUUGAAGAUAUUUUUAUUCAUUUAUAAUUAUAACUUUAAAAGGUGUGGGUAAAAUAUUAUUCUCACACCACUGUUCACUUGGCGUUGUGGAUUGCCACAAUGUUUUUUUUCAUCCUGUUUUUAUAGAUCUAAAUUGAUAGAUAAUUUGAGUAAAUUUGUUAAGGAAGAGCAAAAUUUAAACACAAAUAACCAAAGUGAAAGAAAAAAGCAUAAAAAAGGGUGGUAGUUUUAAGAUUGAAGUCAAAAGUUCACUUUAGUCCUCCUACUUUGUAAAUAAUGACUUCUUGGUCCCUUAAGUUUUUCCACAUUUUAUUUUUGGUCCACAACUUUGUUUCUUGAUUUUUUUUUCGUUCCUUAGUUUGAGAGAGGAGACAGAAAGUCAUUGGAUUAUAAUGUUAGAGAGAGUCUCGGUUGACACUGAUUUUCACAACAAAAACAGUCGAUUUUGGUCUUAAUAGGUUCCAUUUGAUAAAGAGAGUUCUAUUGAGGUGUUUUUUGCUCUUGAAAUUCCCAAAACUUUUAUGAUUUUUUGGGCAAAUUUAUUGGUUUAUUUACAUCAUAAGGACCAUUUUUAGAUGUUUUGGUGUGAACUUUGUUUAAAUUUGCAUUUUUAGGUAAAAAAACACCCUACAUGAUUUUCAUGCCACCCCUCUAAUAGUCGAGAACUUAAAAGUCCCAGUAGGUGACAUGUUUCCCUUUAUCUUUUUUCAAAAACAUUUGGCAUUUUCAAAUAACAAAAUAAGGCUCACGUGAGCUAGCCCUUUUUAAAAUGGGCUUGAUGUGCGAGCUUGACUUGAUAGACCUAAAAACACCUAACCUAUUUCUUUAUUUUUUCUAAUUAUGUUUUUUAAUUGAUAUUUUUAUAUGUACUUUUUAAUGAAUUUUUGAAUUUAUCUUUCUAAAUUUUUUGAUAGUUUAUUUAGUCUUUUUUAAAUAGUGGUUAUCUUUUACUUAUCUUUUAUGUGUUUAAUAUCUCGAAGAAAUUAUUCCAAUUCAUUUAUAAUUUUUUUAUGUUUUAUAUAAAUAAACUUUAUUUUCAUGAUGUGUUUAUAAAUAUAAGAAUUAUUUGUUCUUGGUAAGAAAAAAUGAUCUUUAAGAAAAAGAAGAAGAAGAAGAAGAAGAAAAGUGUGCAUUAAGGGAAAAGUUGAGGUUAAAUAUUAUAUUUAUCUAUCUUUUACUUUUUUAUGAAAAUGAUUAUCAUUUUAUUUUAUAAUUUUAUUGGCAUUAAUAACUCUUUAUUUGUUUAUUAGUUCAUAUUUUUUUAAGAUUUAUUUUGUUUCACAUUUCUCAAUGAAGAGAAUCAUGAUACAAUGAAAUGCAUUUGAAACACUGUCCUAUUUUUCUACUACAUUAAAAAUUAACUUCCUACAUGUGGCGCGUUGCAUUGACGAUUGUUUUUGUAUUUAUUAAUAUAUAUGAUCCCCAGUUUAUUUUAUUAUAUGUAAAUAUCAAUUUUUUUAUUCACAAUUAUAUUUUUUUCUCUCAAUAUCAAAAAAUACAUUAACAACACUUAUACAUCCAUUCUUUUGUGUUGGAAAAUGUUAUCUGACCCAUAGCAAAGCGAGUUAAAUAAACACGUCAAUACCUUUUUUUGUAUUUAUGAUUAGGGUUUUUUUUUGUUGUUAAAAAUACAUUUGAAAAGCAUUCAUAUUUAUUUAUUUUGCUAAAAAAACAUUUCUAACCCAUAGUAAAGUGCGAGUCAAAUAACUACUAAUAUGGCUAUAGUAAGUGUCUUUUUAGUACAUGUGGAUGUAGGAAGUAAUGUGUUAUAUUAUUAGUUAGAUAUUACUUACCUAUUCAUUAUAAAAAAAAACAUAAAAUAAAUAAAUAUAUUAAUAGAAACCUAAAAGAGAUCGGCUGAAAUAAUAUAGUCUCCGAGAGAAAAUAUGUGAAUUCACACAAUGUUUACUUUCUCUUUUUUUGUUCUUUUUUUAUUCAGUGAUUUUUUAUGAUGAAUUAAUUAAGAUUUAAGAUGGGUAAUGUAUUUUUAUUUGCCUUUUUUAUGGUUAUCUUGUUCUCAAUAAAACAUCUUGAUAUUAGAGCGAUGCUCAAUUUAAAUAAAAAAAAAUUUGUUGUUUGUAAGAAAUUAAAAAUGAAAAGAUCAAAAUUGAAACAAAUAAAAAACCAAUUUUUUUUAAAAAAAUAUGGUGUCAAUUUUGCCUUUUGUUUUUUGCUUGCGAUCAUCUACUUUUUUUUAAAAAUAAAUUGAUCUUUCAACGCUGUUUUAGUUGAAAUUUGAAGUUGGUAAUAUUAUAUGAGCAUCUAGAACUAAAUAAAAAGCCGCGAAAAAAAAUCGAUUAUAUUGUUUGAGAAAAAAUGAAAAUAAAAAAACCAAAAUUGAAACAUGAAAAAAAAUUAAAAAUAGGAGUCCUUAAAAAAACAAAAAAUUGUGUCAACGCCUCCAUGCCUUGUAAUUUUGACAAAUUUUCUUUUUGGCCCUUUUAGUUUAGAAAUGAAACUUUUUGAUAUAAAACUUUAUUUUACUUGUAUUUUAGUUCUUGAGUUUGACAAAAGAAAAAGAAAUUUAUCGAAAAUUUACAAAACGAAAGCCAGCAAGGUAUCUGCUCGAAAAAACCAUUCAACAUAAGAUUGCUCUGCUAGGAAAACAUGAUAUCAGUAUCAAACUUUUGAACAAAGAGUUCAGCAUCAAGUCUCAGUCAUCUUGAGAUUUGAAUGCCCAAACAUAUUCAGAUGCUCAUAAAAUGACAUUUUUAAUAAUGCAUUAUGCAUUAGAAACAGAAGAUCAAACAAAGAGUUCAGCAUCAAGCAAACAUACGCCCUUACUUCUGGAGGCUUGUACGAUAAUGACUACACACACAACAUUACAUUACUUCUAACUUCUUCAACAAACAUAUAGAUAGAUAAGUCAAAAUCUUCUAUGGUAAAUAAGACUGUUACAUUGCCAAUGAAACAGUUGGAAUUACUUCCCACCAAUCUAAAACAUAUUCGCAGCACCAACCUUGAAAUCAUGUAACAGCUAACCAACCUUGCCUGAUGCAAACAUGAAGAAAAAAGACAAUCCAUGAUUUAACUCAACCAUUAAAAUUUGAGGGUAAAGGAGAGGAUAAAUAAUUGCAGCUAUAUCACCUGGCUUGGGCAAGAAAGAAUUAUUAGACUAGCAAUCAUCAUCACCACCAUCUUCCUCUUCCCCUUCCUAUUCUGACCCAUCAUCAUCAUCAUCAUCUUCUUCUUCUUCUUCUUCUUCUUCUUCUUCUUCUUUCCACCCAUUAUUUCUGGUCCACUCUCUAUUAAUGCUUGAAUCUUCAGCUACUUCAGAUACCUGUAAACCAAUUCAUGCAUGGCAUGCUCAUUUUAACUUGUAAAUCAUAUUAUUGAGCGAAACAAGAGACAAACACACUAAAAGAGAGGCAAGAAAUCAAGUCAAAUCAGCAGCACCUCUGAUUGAGCACUCAUUGAACCAUCUGGUGUAAUAGCAAAUUUUGUGGUCAACUUUGAGCAUUCAUACACCUUCAACUUCUUCAAACGAGGGAAUAAGAAAUCACAGCAUCCGAAACUGAAGCAGACAAUACUUGGUAAUUGUUUUAGCGACAGCUUCUUUAGAUUAGGGAGCACCAUCUCCUUCUCAACGUUGACAAGUGAAACAUGAUCUUCCUGCCCAAAUACUCCCAAUAAAUGAGAGGAUUUUGUUACUCUAAGUAUUCGGAGAUUUGGGAGACCUGAAGCCAUGGCUACUGGGAAGAGGCUCUUCAACUUGUUGCAUUCUCUAAUCUCAAUUUGACGUAAUUUGGGAAAGCAUAAAGAUCGGAGAUGAUCACCUAACAAUAUCUGGUCGUUUUCAUCAUCAUCCUUAGCAAUGAUUUGUUCCAAUUCCUCACAGGACAAUAUCUUUAGGACUUUUAGUUGAACUAGACUGACAAUCAUACUGCAUGUGAAUACAUGUGUCAGUCUCUUACACUCAACCACCUCCAAAGUAGUCAAUUUGCUCAACUCGAGACCCUUCCAUAUACACCUAAUGUCAGGCACCAGCAGGAAGCGCAAGUGUAAUUUCUUAAAAUUUGUCAACCCCUGCAUCGAAAGAAAACGAUGAUUGGAGCCUUUGUUAGAUAUAAUUCCUAAUAAAUUUUGUGCACUUUGGAACUAUAUAAUUUCGGUAAAUAGAUGAACGAAUUGUCCCCAAUACUUCAGCCAAAAACUUAUCAACAAAAGGAUAUAAGUAGACAUGGCAAUAGGGCAUGGGAAUAUGAAAUCAGAAGUUGCAGGACUGAAAGAGACUCAAUAUUAGCAAAUGGAGGUUUAUCUUCCUCUUCAAAUACUUCCAUUAAUUGGGGGAAGAGCCUCAAUUUCACUCAAACUGGGAAAGCAUAAAGAUUGAAAAAUCUCGAUAUCAUUUCAUUACAAUAAUUAAUUUCUUACUUCUUAAGCCCUGCAUCAAGAGACAAGGAAUGAUACAGUUAGACAACUCCUUUUAAAUUUAGUGGAUGGCUAAAGGAUUUAUCUCCACUUAUCAAUUGCUUCAGUUUCAGAAAUUUAAAGGAAGAAAUCAAACAUGUAUUGAAGUUGACAAUUUAAAUUAAAAAGGAAAAAGAUUAUUAGAGAAAUAUAAAGGACGUACUUGGAGCUGUGCAAACAAAUUUCCCAAUUCUUUGUGGCCAUCAAUUUCUAGAAUUUGCAAGGAAGGCAAUUGGGCAGCAAAAUUCUUUGGACCAAAGAAGCUGCAAUUUGAAAGAGACAAUUCUCUUAGUUGAGGGAACUUGAUGAUGGCAUCUCUGGUGAGUGCAUCUCCUUCUCCACUGUAAAAUAUUUGCUUUAAAUUAUGAGCAUUAAAAAUCCCCAUCUCUUCCAGGUUCAGAAGGCUUGGAGACACAGAGACAGGGAGGACAUAUUCCAGUUUACCACAGUCUUGUAUGAAGAGAGCUUCUAAUUUUGGAAAGCAAGGAGACUCUGGAAUUAUCUCCCUUUCACCAUCCUCUUUUCUGAUAAUAUGCUUCAAUUCACUGCAUUUACUUAUGUGAAGGUCUUGUAGCUUUGGCAGACUUUGAGCGAGAGACGGUGUGAAGAUAAAUAUCAGUUUGUCGAGAGAAGUCAAAAACAGACGAGCAAGACUUUGGAGGCUGACAUGUCUGGUGGGCCCCUUCCAUAUACAUUUGAGCUCAGGUAACUCUGACAGUAUUAAAGAUGACAGCAGCGGCAUCUCCUUCUCCUCAGUGCUUCCUUCAUAAGGCUCACCCAAUUCAAAUACCUCUUCCAAUGAUUUACAGCGGCGAACAGUCAACUCCUUUAGAUUUUUCAGAGCUCGCAGCAAUUUUGCUGGAAACGGAGCGCGAACAUCCCCACAUUUGUCCACAUGUACAAAUUCUAAUCUUUGUACGAAGCCGUUUUGCUGUUCAUGGGCGGCCAUCUUAUCAGAGAACAAUAUUAUAUUUUUUCACUCUCAUAAAAACAAUUUAUAUGAUGUAUAAAUAGGAGAAACAAAAUAGAAAAAAACAGGAUUAAGUACUUCUUAGAGAUUACAUAUUAUUGUUUCAGUUUUUUACUUAAUUAGAGAUGAGCUGAAUAAUAAUUAGAUUUUUGCGAAAAAAGGUUAAUUCAACUCCUAAUAAUUAGUUUCAUGUAAAAUAAAAAUAAAAAUAGUAACUAAUAUUUUUAUUUUAGUUAUAAAGUUAAUAAAUUUUUAAAGAUAUUUUAAUAGAAUUAAAUAUUUGAACACAAAAUUUAAGUUCUUAUAUAUAUUAAAUCUAACAGCUAAUAUGAUUUCUAUGAUUAAUUUUUGGUAUUAAUAACGCAAACAACAAUGAGGCGCGCUGUUAAGUUUCUUAUAUUUAUAUAUGUUUAGAUAAAAAAAAAAUCAUAAAAAAUAAAAAUAAGCUAAUAUGUUUGUUAUAUAAUUAAAAAAAAAUCAAACUUGGAUUUCCUAGCAUUUAUCAAUUACUUUACUUUAAGAAAUUUGUAGGAAGAAAGAAUAAAUUGACAAUUUAAAUUAGUGGAGAAAUAUAAAUUACGUACUUGUAGCUGUGCCAACCAAUUACCCACUUCUUCGUGGCCUUCAAUGGUUAAGUCUAUGAUGCCAUCUCUGUUAUGAGACAAAGAGACUGGGAAGACAUAUUCCAGUUUACCACAGUGAGAUAUGCGGAGAGUUUUUAAUUUUGGGAAGCGAGGAGACUCUGGAAUUAUUUCCCUUUCACCAUCCUCUUCUCUGAUAAUAUGCUUCAAUUCACCACAAUCACUUACCUGAAGUCUUUUUAGCUGUGGUAGACUUUGAAGAGUUAGAGACACGGAGACACGGAAGACAUAUUCCAGUUUACCACAGCCUUCUAUGAUGAUAGUUUUUAAUUUUGGGAAGCAAGGAGACUCUGGAAUUAUUUCCCUUUCACCAUCCUCUUCUCUGAUAAUAUGCUUCAAUUCACCGGAUUUACUUAUGCAAAGGGUUUCUAGCUUUGACAGACUUUGAGCAAGGGACGCCNNNNNNNNNNNNNNNNNNNNNNNNNNNNNNNNNNNNNNNNNNNNNNNNNNNNNNNNNNNNNNNNNNNNNNNNNNNNNNNNNNNNNNNNNNNNNNNNNNNNNNNNNNNNNNNNNNNNNNNNNNNNNNNNNNNNNNNNNNNNNNNNNNNNNNNNNCUUCUCCUCACCCAAUUCAAUACCUCUUCCACUGAUUUGCAGUCCUCAAUUUCCACCCUCCUUAGAUUUUUUAAACCUUGCUGCAAUCUUGCUGGAAACAGAGUGAAAACAUCCCCACAAUCCCUCACUUCUACAAAUUCUAAUUUAUGUAAAAACAAUUGCUCAAAUGUCUUCGCAUUUAAGGAUGUACCACCCAAAAUUAAUCUUGUGGAGGUUGGGUAUCCAUUAGAAUAAUAUUUAGUAGUAUUCCCUAACAUUAAAUCAUAUUUGAGCAAGCUGGGAAAAACAAAAUCUCUGGGAAUGCAUUCAACCUUCGGUAUCCUCAAUGAUAAUACGGCUAACUGAGACAACGAAUUUAGUUCUGUCAGGCUUGCAUUCAUUCCUCCUGUGCUGUCACAUCCAUCAACAUCCCAUCCAUCAAAGCUGCGAUGCCCGAUCAACAGCUCUUCUAACUUCUUCAACCUUCCAAUCAAAUUCACAGGAAUCCUUCUUAGCCUUUCACAACCUGUCACUUCCAACAACCUUAACUCCUUGAGCUCUCCUAUUUCAUCAGGUAAUUCUUCAAUGGAUGAGCACCACUGAAAAACAAGUAUCUUAAGUCUCUGCAUCUUUUUCAACCAAAUGAGGUCCUUGCAUCCACAACUGAUCAACACCAACGAUUGAAGUUUCGUUGAGAGUUCAAGUGAUUGCAAUGACAAACGCCCUCCCUUCAGAGACAAAACUUCAAUUUCUUUCAUCCCUUCAAAAAACCUCUGAGGAACAUUCAUACCAUAAUCCACUUCUAAUAAUAGAACUUUGAGCCGUGGACAUACCAAUCCUUCAGGAAGUUCUGCUAGUUUAUUGCCCAUUAACGAAAUUGUUGUGCAACCUUCAAAGCUUUCAAUACUCGUUGGCCACUUCUCCAAUACCAUGAAUCCAUAUUCUUUUGAUGAUGCUAUCUGAAUAGCAAAGUCACGAACCAAGUCAUGCAUUCUCACAUGUUCUUCAGUUUCAGUGCCCAACAGCAUGCAGCAAUCUUUGAGGUUUUCGAUUGCCACGGAAACUCGUUUCCUUGCAUCUUCAAUAGGCUCCGCAUCUUGAUGUAACCCAUAGCCAACUGCAUAUCUCGUCAAGUCCUCGAUUGGAAUGUCAUAAUCUUCUGGAAAUAAACAGCAUAGCACGAAACAUGACUUGGUUUCCUCGUACUUCAAAUAAUCAUAGCUCAACUUAAGACAUGUGUAAGCAUUAUUUUGUUCGUCAAUUUGUUCCAUGCGCACAAAUUGAGAUUCUUUGAGCUGUUUAGACGCUACUUCCCACUGAACUCGUGAUUUACCUCUUAGAGCCCUUCCCACUGUCACAAGUGCUAUAGGCAAGCCUUGGCAUUCUCUCGCAACCUCCCUUGUCACUGUGUUCAAGGUAGAGUCCCCAUCACGUAAACCUGCAUUGAUUCUGAAUAAAUCCCAUGCUUCAUCGUCAGGUAAGACUCUUAAAAGCACUUUUUGCUGGCACUCCAUAGAAAAACAUAUGCCUUGAAGACGUGUUGUUAGAAGAAUUUUACAACCCCUGUGAUCAUCACCAAAUGGGAUCCCUAUCUCUUUCAAGUCAAUAUGUUUCCAAACAUCAUCUAGGAUUAUAAGCAUCUUCUUUCCCAGCAGUCUCUGCCAUAAUUCACUUGCUCUACCUUCUUUACUCGUUUUUUCAAAUUUCAGAUGUAAACUAUCUGCCAUUCGAUCCUGGAUGCCUAUGAAAUUUGGAUUCUGGGACACCGUAGCCAUCAAAACUUCAGGAAAAAGCUGCGACUCUAUGGCUCUCCUGCCUACUUCUUUCACCAGGGUUGUUUUACCCACCCCUCCCCAUGCCGUACAGUCCGAUCAUAUUGACGUUGUCAUCUUUGAGAGCUUUCAUGAUCUGUUCCAAAGCUUCUUUUGACGAUUCUGAGGUCGUGAAUUCCUUUGAUGUUAGAAAUUCUAUGGGCUGAGGAGGAGCUUUUUGGGCCACUGUUUUCAACUUUUCGCUACUUUCUCCAAGUUUUCUGAAAGUCUCCGACUUCUUGGCCAGUGCCUUGCUUAACUUGAAUUGCCGGAUGCAGUUUGGACAGCAAGUAAAGCGGUUGUCAUUUUUUCGUAUUUCAUUUUCCAAAUGCUUCACAUCUUCAUGAUCAAUUGCUUUGGUUGCAUCUUCCAGCCACUUUUUGACAUCUUUGUAAAUUUCUUCAGCAUUCCUUUCAGCAGCUUCGACACCUUUUUGCAGACGUUCUUUUGCCGAAACCAGGUUCUGUUUUCGUUCAUUGAAUUCUUGAGCAAAACUUUCUAAACAGAACAUGUAACGGAACUGCCUUCCUACUGGUUCCACCAAGACUCCCGCUAUCUUAGAUAUAAUGGAUACACCAGCACUUUCGAGAGCCAUUUUCCACAGGCCUGAAAAUCAGAGAAAUAAGGAUGCAGAACGUGAUAGUGAGUCACUACGAGUAAAACAGGCGCAGAGAGAAUGGGAAUAGGAAUUUCAUUACCUUAACUUGGGAAAAUAUGUGCGAAAGGCACUGGUACUGAGUGCUCAAUGAAAUAGCGGGAGGAAGAAGAGGAGAAGGCCUUUAGCUCUGUAUGGAAUCCAGCAUCAAAAGCAACAAGGCAAGGACUUAGACGUCUAACUGACUAUUGUGAGUUAAAGCAGUAGUUCCCAUUAAAAAUGCAUUUUGAUGACAUAAUUAAGAUAAUAUAGAGAAAGUCACAAACAAAUAAAAAAAAAAUAAUGAAUAAAAGUACUUAGACGUCUAAUUAGCAAAGAAAGAAACGAAUGAAAGGUUCGGAUAAUCACUUAGACGUCUCCAUGGAUGAUACCAGCUCGCUUCCAACAACAAAUAUAAUUAACCUAAGCCGUGAUAGGUCAAAGUUCUUUUUAGUUUUCUUUUUUUAAGGAAAUAGAAGGAGAGGUUGAGGGAGGCAGAAACGGAAGAAGACAUUGAAAGAUCGGAGGAGAGUAAAGAUAAAAAUAUGAAUAUUUGAUGCUCGUUUAUCUCUUUGAUUGGGAUUUUUUUGUCUCUCUUUUAUUUGGAAUUUCUUUGGACACUUUAAUAAUAUAAUAACAAAAAAAAAAUUAUCUACUUUGGACUACGAUAGUAUUUUUCUCUAUAUUUUGACUUUUAGUUUUUAAUAGCCAUGCACGUUUGAUUUUUUUAUUUUUUUUUUAUGCUUUUACAAAUAAUAUAGAAGAUGAGGACCUGAAAUCACGGCAGCAAAUAAAGAGAGAAAUAACAUGUUUGUUCUUGUUUCUUCUAAAGUAUUUAAAAAAAAUUAAAUUAAAUUUUAUUUUAUUUUUAUUUCAAAUUAAUUUUUAAAAAAACUAAUUUAAAAAUUAGUAUGAAAAAAGAGGAUAAUAGAGUAGGUGUCCAAAUCAAAACACAUAAAUAUAGGAUAAAAACAGGGAGAGAGGCUCUUUGUUUUCUUAACUGUAUUGGUUUAAUAAUGUUUAUAGAGUGUUUUAUAAAUAUUUUAGAUAAAAAAUAGGUUAAAAGCAAGUUUUUAAAUAAAAAAUCAAGCUUAUUUUUUAAUAUAAUUCAAAUAAAAUCAAUUUAUUUAGUUGUUUAGAAUUAUAACUCAAGUUAUUUAACGUCUUUUUUAAAAAAAAAUAAAACACUUGUAACAUAGUGCAGUACAAACAGAAGAGACAUCUGCUUUUUCUUGAGAAAAAGAAAGAAAGACAAUAUAUAUAUAUAUACUCUCUCUUCCAAUUUCUUCUUCCAGUUGAAUUUUGGCGACCGCCCACAUAACGGCCAGCCAUGCCACUUUUCAAGACCCCAUUUCUCAAUCUCAAAACCAAAAACAACCCUUUCUCCAUUUAUCCGAACCUCAUAACUCCAGGAAAGUGAAGGACUAAACCAUAGUGGCAAAAAUCUUAAAGGGUUCUAAAUUGUCUCUGUUACUUUCCCUUAAUUUUCUAGACAAGCAAAAGGAGCUUAACUUAUUCCCGACCAAAACGUCAAGAAUUUCAGUAGAACAAAAGAAGAGAUCAUUACCUGUCCAAAAACAACUAGUCAGCACCCAAAGAAACCGAGUGAAUGAGAGAAAAAAGACUAAUAGCUGGAAAACAAUCAACAGAUCCAAGAAUUUUCUGUAUGGUUUCCAAGAAAAUGAAACGAAAUGAGCAGCACAACCCUCUUUAUCCUCCAAGAAAAGAAAGAAAAAGAAAGGCAAGAAACAAAGCAAGUCAAACUUGGCUCCUCUUUUAGUGUUAAAAAAAAAAAACAAAGAAGUUCGAGGAAGUGGGCUGCCUUUUUUUCUGCUGUUCAUGUGGUGUUCAGCUGUUCACGCAUCGUAAAAUCAUAUAAUUAAAACACAACAAUAAAAAAGUAAUAAGCAGCUAAUUAUGUGCGAAAAUCAGAGAAAUAAGGAUACAAACGUGAGAGUAAGUCAUUGCAAGUAAAAGAGGCGCAGAGAGGAUGGGAAUAGGAAUUUCAUUACCUCAACUUGAGAAAAUAUGUGCGACAAGCACUGGUACUGAUUGCUCAAUGAAAUGGAGAAGGCCUUUAGCUCUGUAAGGAAUCCAGCUUCAAAAGCAACAAGGCAAGGUAUAAGCAUUUUGAUGACAUAAUUAAGAAUUAAAGAAAAAUAAUGUGUACAAGUACUCACCAAGCAAAGAAAGAAACGAAUGAAAGGUUCGGGAUAAUCACUUAGACGCCUCCAUGGAUGAUACCAGCUCGCUUCCAACAACAAAUAUAAUUAACCUAAGCUAUGAUCGGUCAAAGUGUUUUUUAGUUUUCUUCUUUUUUAAAAAGAAAAAACAGAUCAUCAAGGGAAAAGACUUGCAAAGAAGUAGAAUUAAUGGAACGAACACAACAAAGGAUCAAACUCAAGCAAUUAAAAGUAAUUCUCUAUGAGUACCAUCUGUGUCACACACUCAAGUGAGGAGAGAAAAGAAGGAGAAAGAAAGGAAAGGGACAAGGAAGGAAGAAAGUAAGGUCACGUAGGGCCAGUCUUGUAGAAAAUUUGAAAAGUAGCAUGAAAGAAGAGGAUAAUAGAGUAGUUGUCAGAAUCAAAACACGUAAGUUUUUUUUUUUUAACUGUGUCUGAGUGCUUUUUAUAAUUAUAUUUAAUUUAAAAAAUAUUAAAUUAAUAUAUUUUUUUUAUAUUUCUCGUUAUUAUAUAUAUAUAUAUAUAUAUAUAUAUAUAUAUAUAUAUUUAAUAUUUAAUAUUUAAUAUUUAAUAAAUUUUUAAAUAAAAAUAUUUUUAAACAGUAUGUGUCACAAUACAAAAUUAUAAUAUAAAUUAAAAGAAAAAGGAGUUUUAUGCUCAUUACUAUUCAGUAGAGAUGUAGAUAUUAAUAAUAAAGUUUUUGAGAGUCUUCGAUCUAGUAUUUGAACUUAUUUUUUUAGCAUAAUUGAAUUUUUUUAAGCUUAAUUGCAUAUUUUGUUUUUAAGGAAAUUGAGAGAGAGAAACUCGGCAAAAAUAUGUGGUUAAAAUCAAUCCAUUUUUUUUUAAAAAAAAACUCCUUAGUUGUUAAGGAAAGAUUGGUAGUGGGAACAAAUCACCAAAGUCAGCAGCAAGGAAGUUCUAGGGAGUGGGCAGCCUGUUUCAGGGCUACCUGUUUUUGAGAAUUAUGGAAAGUUAUCCCUAACUCAAAAACGGCACCAAUUAUAAGUUCAUUAAUAAAAAUCUGGAACACAACAGAUGGAACAAACUCGAAACAACUCGUCUAGAAUUUAGGCAAGAAGAAUGAGCCAAGAUUUUAAUUGCAAUGAAAUUUGUCUCACUUUGUUCUUUUUUUUUUAAAUGAUACAAGAUAUACUGCCUAUUUCAAGGGUAAAAUAGAAUGGAAUCAACAACCCAGCAUAUACCACAUAUGUGUAGCUGGAAUUCGAUAGCCUUUCUCCGAUGCUGAUAUGUGCUUUACAUGCACCAACAUUUCUUUCUCUUUUAUUCUGUAAUAUUUCACAUCGGCGAGUGAGGAUUUGGUAGCUGACCUUAUUAGUAGUGUUGAUUAAUGACUUAUCAGACGUGUUUUGAGGCCAUGCGUGGUCACCAAAAACAAAUUCGUGAGGGCAGUAAGGCCCAAAAUGAACAAUAUCUGACAAGGUGGAUCGGAUUGUGACAUUUGGUAUCAAAACUGGUCUCACUGACUAUCCAGUUGUGCUAACGGGGUCAUUGAGCUCCUUAAAGGGGGUGAAUUGUAAUAUCUCACAUCGGUGGGUGAGGAUUUGAAAGCUGGCCUUAUUAGUAGUGCUGGUUGCUGACUUGUCAGAUGCGUUUUAGGGCCAUGCGUGGUCACCAAGAACAAAUCCGUGAGGACGAUAAGGCCUAAAACGGACAAUAUUUCGCUGAGUUCUUAGACUGAUAAUGAUUGGUACACAUGUCAUCUCAUUACCUACUAAGCUCUUAUAUUGCCUUUACGAGGGUGAUCACUGGGACAAUAAGAGACCCUUUUGAGACUAGGUAGAAAUCCACCCAUCAUGUAAUGGCCCAAAACCUAUCCUUAGAGUAUGAGCUCCCUAAUACGCAUGUACAUAUAUUUGCAUCCAUAUAUACAUCAAUUCAUUGUAAAUAACAUACAUGCAUCAGAUUGAAAUAUAGGUCCCUAAAAAGUUUACAACACCCAACUUUGAGCAAGAAAUAUAGAAGAUGGAGAGCGUGCUCACCGUGAUACCCAUUUUCAAGAAGAGCUGAAGUCUCUGAAGACAAGCGUGGCUCGCCUCACUAGCUUACUCGAGCAAACACUGAGAAAUACCUCUGGUGAAAGCCCUUCUAACUGACCGGUCACCGUUAAUUAGGCUUCGAUUACAGUUUAGCCUAAAGAAAGAAUGAGCGAACAUGGUCAAGAGCCUCAGUAAAAUCCAACAUUUGUGCAGUCAGCGACACUUGCACUAGCCCCGACAGUCAUGGAGGUAUUUGCUAAUGAGUCCCAUAAGGCCAAUUCAUUUGAUAGCAUUGAUCAAGAUAAAAUACAGGCGUUGGAAGCCAGAAUCAAAGUCAUUGAAGGGGUAGACUUAUAUGACCCAGUUCGGGCAGUAGAGACGUGUCUGGUCCCAAAUGUGGUUGUCCCGAAAAAGUUUCGUGUUUCAGAGUUCAUCAAAUAUAGUGGAAUAUAAUGCCCCAUGACUCACCUCAAGUCCUACUGCAAUAAAAUGACAGAGGUAGUACAUGAUGAAAAACUAUUGAUGCAUUUUUUUCAAGAUAGUUUAAGUGGGGCAACAUUGAGCUCGUACAUGAGAUUGGACAACAUAAAAAUCUAGAGAUUGAAGGAUAUGGUGGUUGCUUUUGUCAAGCAGUACAAGUACAACAUGGACAUCACUCCCGACAGAACCAGCUUGUCCAAUAUAGAGAAAAAAAGACAAAGAAAGCAUAAGAGAAUACAUUCAAAGAUGGUGGGAAUCAGCUGCUCAAGUACAUCCCCAACUUCUGGAUAAAAAGAUGGGCACUUUAUUUGCCGACACACUCAAGGCACCAUAAUAGGUAGUUUGACCCAGCAAUUCACUAAUGUUGUGGUAGUGUGUGAACGCAUAGAGCAAGGCGUCAAGAGUGGUAGAAUUUCUGCACCCAUUGAGAAUAGAGGUUUCGAAAGAAAAGAGAUUAACCAUGUUGAAGAUGGCUAUAAGGGUAGGAAAAACUCAUCCCAAAACUACCACACUCCAUCCCAAAUUGCCGACAUAAAAAAACCUGAGCCCUAAAACUUUCAAGCCAAAAGCCAAAUUAGAAAUUACCUAAGGGUCUAAGAACAACUACCUCCAUUACCGCUACCCCUAAAUGAGAUGUACCAGAAGUUAUUAAGCAUCAGACAUAUAACUCUCGAACCUCUAGCACCUUUGCAACCCCCUUACUUCGGCUGGUAUAAGCCAGAGCUCACUUGCGAGUACCAUGCUGGUGUUGCCAGACAUGACAUUCAUAUUUGCAACACCUUUAAGAGAAAGCUUCUGCAAUUAAUUAAGGCAGGGUGAAUAGCAUUUGAAGACACUCUGAAUGUGAACAUGAACCCUCUACCUAAUCAUGCUUAAAGCGGUGGAUUAGAAAUGCACGAGCAAUCGAAUGUUUGGGGAAUCUGAAAGCAUCAAUGGUCCAGGUAGGGUGCGAAAUGGUAGCAUAAAUUUUGAAGGACUCAAAUUCCAACCACAGUUUUUAUCCCCAUCAUCCCAAGAAUUAUUAUAGGGAGGCUAGCCUAAGAGGAGAUUUACCAAAAUGGAAGGAUGAGGCCUGCCAUAUUAUUGCCUUUUGUUUAAUCAUGUUGGUUUUAACUAUUUCAGUCUUGUCGGUAAUUUAGCUCAUAAUGCCACAAGACUUUCUUUGUCAAAUGAGCCUUCUUGUUAAUAAGAUCAUAUAUUUUCCUAUGCUUAUAACAUGUUUUCCUUUUUCCAAAACUAUGCAUGAUCUCACAUAUUUAUAAGAAUUUUAGGAAUUCAAAGUUUGGUACAAAAAUAUAAAUCAUAUUGGUGUUUCUCCAAAACAAAUGAAUUCUAGAAAUUCAAGUGAUUCCUUAGAAAGGUAACUAUACACUUAGAAAACUUGAAAAAAAAAACAAAAAAACAAACACAAAAAAAACCAUGAGGUGACUCCAAAGUUGAGUUUUAUUUGAAUAAAUAAUGAGAAAUCACUUUGCAUACUCGCAUGAAAGCAAGGCUUACCGAUCUUAAGUGCAUGUGUUUGAGAUGAGGAAAUGCCUCCUUUGCAAUCCCUUUUUGAGUCUAGUAACAUUUUUUAGAAAUAACCUUGGAUAGGAUCACACCCCAAACCGGAGUCAAGUGCGAGAGACACAGAAAAGACCUCGAUGAUUGAAGUGCCCAAGCAACAUUGGGGGGCAUAAAAGAAAAUUCUCAAUCAUCAAAGGUGCUCAAACAAAGCUAGGGGUAUGAAGAAAAAUCCAAAGGAUCCAAAAUUUUUGAGCAUAAAAAAAACAAUUAAAUGAUGCUCAAAACCAAAUGAAGAAAACAAAAAGAAAAAGAAAAAGCCCAACAUUGGGGGGCAUGAUAAACCAUUUUGAAAAGACAUUUCAAAGACAAAAGGUCAGGAAACAAACACUAGUGAUCCUUAGUCUUGAAAUCCCUUGAAACAUCUUUUGAGCCUACAAAUAUCCUUUUCUUCAUAACCAAGAGCCCAAGCCUACAUUACAUGCCUAAUCAAGCCUUUUCUGAUCAAAGGCAAGCAAUCUGGAUCGGUAGGCAGUGCUUUCUCAUGUGAACCAAAUUAUUAUUCAUGCAAAUAAAAUGAAUGCUUUGAAGGCUGGUUCUUUGUAACCCUCAAAUUAAAUCUUAAACCAUUUUUUACCAAACCCAAUGUCACUUCAUGUUUUUCACCAAAAGCAAAACAAAAGGUUUUCAUCACUUCUGAAACCUCUCCAUAGGAAUCACUUGAAUUUCUUCAGAACGAGUUUGCUUUGAAUCGAUGUCAAAAUGAUUUCUGUGUCUAGAAUAGCUUUGAAAUUCCAACAUUUUUGCAUCAAAACAACUCCUUGUCAAAACUUCCUUUACAUAGCCUUAUUCCCAAACCCGAAUUGAAUACUUGGGGGUAUGAUCAAGCUGGGAGGCAAUAAAAAAUACAUGGUAGGGCAGGCUUUAUAAUUCUUUUUCUAAGAAAAAUAUCGGGCAGAAUUGGCAACCCUUGAGAUAUAGGUUAAAGGGUAAAGAAGUAGGAUGAUAUGAAGCCCUUCUUAGAGGUCAAGAUCACAAGAUAUGACUCAAGUAAGCAAGAGCGAAAAAGUCAUCAAAAUUUACUACUUACACUCCAACUUUUGAGAAAAGAAAGACACCAUGAAGAAAUAAGGACCUAUAUUUCUCAGGUAAGUAUGCAUGCAUAUCAAUCAGAAUGCAUUAGUUUCAACAUUGUCAGAUCGGUGUUUCACCAUCACCUUUUGGGCAGGGCAUUUUAUAACCCUACCUCAUUUUGAGUGUGUCUUUGAGCCGUCACUUUCUUUUCGAGUAAGUCUUUGAGUCCUCAUCUCAUUUUGAGUGCGCCUUUGAGCCUUUACUUCGUUGUCAAGAUGCGCCUUUGAGCCUUCGCUUCCUUUGGAGUGCGCCUUUGAGCCCUCAUUUCCUUUUGAGUACGUCUCUGAGCAUCUCUUAGGUAGUGCAUUUUAUAACCCUACCUCAUUUUGAGUGCAUCUUUAAGCCCUCACUUCCUUUUGAGUGCGCCUUUGAGCCCUCACCUCAUUUCGAGGGUGGUAGUGUAUUUUCUAACCCUACCUCCUUUUGAGUGCGCCUUUGAGCCCUCACCAUCUUCCUGGGUAGGUCAUCCAUUACAAUAAGGUCAUUCUUCCACCUGGGUAGGUCACCCAUUAUAAUGAGACCACUCUUCCCUUUUCCACUUGGGUAGGUCACUCAUUACAAUGAGACCAAUUCUCCGUAUUUUUUUGCCUAGGUAGGUCCCUCAUUACAAUGAGACCAUUCUUCCACCUGGGUAGGUCACCUAUUAUAAUAAGACCACUCUUUUCUUUUUUUCCCCUUUGGGUAGGUCACCCAUUACAAUGAGACCAUUCUUUUUUCUAGGUAGGUCACCCAUUAUAAUGAGACAACUCUUUCCUUUUUUUCCCUUUAGGUGGGUCACCCAUUACAAUGAGACCAUCCUUUUUUCUAGGUAGGUCACCCAUUACAAUGAAACCAUUCUCCAUGUUUUUUUUUACCUGGGUAGGUCACCCAUUACAAUGAGACCACUCUUUCUUUUUUCCACUUUGGUAAGUCAACCAUUAUAAUAAGACCAUCAUUUUUCUGGGUAGGUCACCCAUUAUAAUGAGACCAAUUCUCCUUAUUUUUUUACCUGGGUAGGUCACCCUUUACAAUUAGACCAUUCUUCCACUUGGGUAGGUCAUCCAUUACAAUAAAACCAUUCUCCAUAUUUUUUCACUUGGGUAGGUCACCCAUAACAAUUCAACCAUUUCAAAAAUCUUUGAAUUUCACUAGGAAAAAAACCUUUUGACCAUUUGAGUGUGCUUUCUAGCCCUCAAAUGCUUUCCAAACAAUUCAUCAUAUGGUGAGUCCGUUAUCUUUUUUUUUUCUUCUUUACAAAGCUUACUAUCUAAAAUCUCUUACGAGACUUUCUAUAGUAAGUAUUGUAAAUAGAGGGCAAUAUAUAUAUAUAUAUAUAUAUAUAUAUAUAUAUAUAUAUAUAUAUAUAUAUAUAUAUUUGGACUAAAAAAUAAACAAUCAAAAAAAUCAAAAAAAUAAUAACAGUGAGAAGAGGAUGCCAAAGUGCCUGGAAAAUAACUAAAAAUUGGUUGAGGAGGUUUAAAAAUACAAGGAUUGAAAUUUGACAGUAUAUCAUUGACUGAUGAGAGCCUGACUGACAAAGAAAAUUCAAUUUGAGGAAGAAAUGUAUAAAAUCAGAUGUUUAUUGGACUCAAUUAAAUUUAUUAAAGGUUAAAUUGAGUUUAUGAAGGGUUUGAUUGCAAGAAAAAUUAAUUUUGGAGUCAAUUUGAGCUUUAAUUGGAAGAAAUUAAAGUUCUGGGGUCAAAAUAUAAUUUUUGAGAGUUAAUUUGGUCAAAUCAGGAGCAAAACUGCAUAAAUAUUGAAGUUUGAUGGCCAAUUAGGGACUUAAUUGAAGAAAUAUGAAACCAAUGACCAAACUGGAAAAGACGCGUAAAUAGAGGGGUUGUAAUUAACUGAAUCAGGGGCUAAAUUGAAGAAAUUAAAAGUUUAUUGAUCAAUUAAGGGUCAAAUUGCAUACAUCAGAGACUAAGGACUAAAGUGAAAAAGGCGGCUAACUUCAGGGCCGACGAUUGAAUUUGGCAGGGAAGCAAUUGAAUUGAUUUUUAAAAUUAAAGUUACAAUUUAGGACUUGAUUGAACAAAUCACAAAUUGAAGACUGAUUUGGACUUUGAUAUGAUUCUGCCGUUAUUUUUUUUAAAUGAAACAACGUGUUUUGUCCAAAACAGCGCCGUUUCAUCUAUUGUUAAAAAAAAAAACCUCAAACGAUGCCAUUUUAAAUGGCACUGUGGGUCUUCUUCUUCCCUGCAAACGCAGAGGCAAGGGAAGAAGAAGAUUUCUUUCCCCAGCAUUUCUCCUUUUCUCCUCUCUCCCCAUCAAAUUCACAUCCUACCAACCAUUAUGGCUGUCAUAGAAUAGCAAUGGCGAUCUUUUGGCCAUCAUGCCAUAAAAGCCUCCUUUGAGCCAAUUCCUCUCUCUUGCUCUUGCAAAUAAGGCACGAAAAGAGGACCUGAAAUCACGGUUGCAAAUAAGGAGAGAAAUAGUGUGUUUGUGUUUUUAUUUUUUAAAAUAUUAUUUUUAAAAAAUAAUUUUUUGUAUUCUAAAUAAAAACAUGAUAAAAGGAGUAUGAUAAAAGAAGAAAGAAAGGAAUGGGAUAAAGAAGAAAGAAUAAAAAAAAAACCCUAAAAUCACGGCAUGAUAAAAGGAGAAAGAAAAGGAUGGGACAAAGAAGGAAGAAAGUAAGGUCGCGUAGGGGCCAGUAUUGAAGAAAGGCUAAAAAAACUAUGUUUCUGAGAAAGGACCAGGUAAUCCAAGGAACCAAUAGAUUAUCGCCACAUGUUCAACCUUAGAUUCUACUGUGACAUGGAGAUAAAGGUAAUCUCAAAAGCUAAUAGAUGGUCGCCACGUGUUCAACUUUAUGUACCCACUAGGAAAGGAUAAAAAGGUUAAAAAGGCUUUAAAAAGAAAAGAAAAGGAAAGACAGAAAUAAAGGAAAGGACGUGGAAAUAGAAGGAGAGGUUGAGGGAGGCAGAAACGGAAGAAGACAUUGAAAGAUCGGAGGAGAGCAAAGAAAACAACAUGUUUGAGUGGGAUUUUUUUGUGCCUUCGAUAAAAAUACUCUGUUUUUUUUAUCUCUUUGAUUGGGAUUUUUUUGUGUCUCUUUUAUUUGGAAUUUCUUUGGACACUUUUAUAAUAUAAUAUCAAAAAAAAAAUUGAUUAAAUUAUUGUUCAUUCAAACACAGAUUUACUGUGGACUUCAAUAGUAUUUUUCUCUAUAUUUUGAAUUUUAGUUUUUGAUAGCCAUGCUCAUUUGAUUUUUUUAUUUUUUUUCAUAUUCUUCCAAAUAAUGCAGGAAAUGAGGACCUGAAAUGACAGCAACGAAUAAGGAGAGAAAUAACGUGUUUGUUCUUGUUUCUUAUAAAGUAUUUUAAAAAGCAUUAAAUUAAAUUAAAUUUUAUUUUUAUUUCAAAUUAAUUUUUUUAAAAACUAAUUUGAAAAUUAGUAUGAAAAAAGAGGAUAAUAGAGUAGUUGUCCAAAUCAAAACACAUAAAUAUAGGACAAAAACAGGGAUAGUAGAGUGCUCUUUCUUUUGAUUUCUUAACUGUAUUGGUUUAAUAAGGUAUAUAGAGUGUUUUAUAAAUAUUUUAGAUAAAAAAAAUAGGUUAAAAGCAAGCUUUUUAAAUAAAAAAUCAAGCUUUAUUUUUUUAUAUAAUUUAAAUAAAAUCAAUUUAUUUACUUGUUCAGAAUUAUAACUAGUUAUAACUCAGGAGAAAAGACUUGUAAAGAAGUAGAAUUACUGAUACGAACACAACAAAAGAUCAAACUCAAGCACUUAAAAGUAAUUGCUUAUGAUGAUCAUCUCACUAAGUAAGGAGAGAAAAGUAAGGAGAAACGGAAGGAGACAUAGACAGAUCGGAGGAGAGUAAGAAAAAAAUAUAUGAAUAUGUGAUGUCCUAUUUCUCAUAAAAAUACUCUGUUGUUUUUUGGUCUUUUAUUUGAAAUUUCUUUGGACACUUUAAUAAUAUAAUAACAAAAAAAAUUAAAAUAUUGAUGAAAUUAUUAUUCAUUCAAACACUAAUUUACUAUGGACUACGAUAGUAUUUUUUCUUUAUUUAUAUUUUGAGUUUUAGUUUUUAAUAGCCUUUGAUUUUUUAAAAUCUUCGAGGACCUGAAAUUACGGCAACGAAUAAGGAGAGAAAUAGCAUGUUUGUUUUUUAUUUUUUAAAGUAUUAAAAAAAAUAUAUUUUUUAUUUUUAUAUUGAUAUUAAAAAUAAUUUUUAAAAAUAAAAAAUAUUAUUUUAAUAUAUUUUAAAUAAAAAAUAUUAAAAAAAAACCCACUUUAAAAACCUUAAAAUCACGGCAUGAUAAAAGGAGAAAGAAAGUUCUCUCUUUUAUUUGGAAUUUCUUUGGACAAAGGAAGAAAGUGAGGUCACGUUGGGGGGCCAGUAUUGUAGAAAAUAGGAGAUGAAAAUUAGUAUGAAAAAGAGGAUGAUAGAGUGGUUGUCCCAAUCAUAGUGGUUUUUAUAAUUAUAUUUAAUUUAUAGAAAUAUUAAAUUAAUAUAUUCUUAGUGUUUUAUAUGAUUUAUAGAAAAAGACUAAUAGCUAGAAAACAAUCAACAGAUCCAAGAAUUUUCUGUAUGGUUUCGAAGAAAUUCUAACCCUUUUAUAAAACAAAAAAUUGUUUAUAGUUUUAUCCUUCAUUUCAACAUAAUGAUGUAUUUUUUCCCAACUUGCAAUUGAAGUUCGAGGAAGUGUGCAGCCUUUGUUCUGCUGUUCACACAGACUAAGAACUCCUACCAUUGUAAAAUCAUAUAAUUAAAACACAACAAUAAAAAUGUAAUAAUCAGAUCUUAUAGCGUUCAGCUGAUUGCUUUACUUGUUUAAAUAAUUCUCUUGUAAGCCUAAUGGUUCACGUCUUCCAUCAUUGCAACCUUUUUUUCUGUGAUUGAAAAAUCUAUAAUAGGAACCUGCACUUCAUCCCUUCUAUGCUGUUGUUCUUUCUUCUUGUUUUGCUAUUUUGAUUUUAUCAUAUUUUCUAUGAUGAAAGUUGAAGAAAACACCCCUUCUUUUGCAAUUAUUACCACUCCCCCCACGUGGCUACCCAUAAUUGGACUGUCAUCUCAGCUGUAUAAAUGUCUCGCUCAAGCCAAAAACAGAAACGCACAAAACCCCUCCCCCAACAGAGAAUCAAAUGAUAGCUAAAAUCAAAUAUUAUUAUUAUUAUUAUUAUUAUUGCCCCAACAACAAACAAUUAUUAUACAAUUAUUAUUAUUGCUGUUGUUAUUUUAGGUGCCACCUAGUCCUUUGCUAGGAACUUAACAUCCAAAAAUGCCUUCACUAAUCUUUUGCUCAUUUUGAAACCGAAGAGUCCUGUACUAACAAAAGCCUUUUUAUAGGAUGCUAUGUUUUCUUACCCACCUCACGAACAUGAUCAUGAACACGAGCCUAAGAUGACUCUCUUUUUACUUUCUUGAAUCAAUAAAAUAACCAGUGAGUCCUGUUCUUGCAUUCGACUAAAAAAGGUCUGCAAAAUUACAGUAAUCUCAAAACGUUCAUAAUGGCACUGAUAUAAGCCUAUUGUUACCAUCCUGCUAACAAAUACAAAUACGAACAAUGGCUUUACAAGUUGACUGAAUGAAAGCAGUACAAUGGCUUACACGGACCUGAAGUUAAACGACGAAUUGUAGCAGCAGGAAAAAAUUCCGAUGCUUCGGUCUUUCUUCACUUCUUCUUGUCACCAACCUCUUCUAUUCCACUCUUUGUCUCCGUCUUUUCCUUUCCCAAUCCCACCAGUUUUCUCUAGUCUCCUCCCUUCUUUUCUGCCCUUCCCCUCUUGUGCUUCCUCUGUUUUUUCUUUUAAUAAACGAAAACAAAUCACCGACUUUAUUUGCAUCCAAUCUUUGGAGGUAAUCUUGCAAAUCAACUUAGUUACUGACCAUUGAUUUCUCUUUGCUUGAUUCGUGGAGAUAGGAUCUGAUUUUGAAAGCUAAAUCUUGCAUCAAAAUGGAAAGGAUGGCUGCUGGUCUUGGAAGGAGGCUGAUUGAGUGAGCAUGUUUGGCAUAAAAUCUGUAAUGGAUUCUGAGAGUUAAAGCCUGAUUUUUUGUAUCAUGAUUGUAGCUAACAUAUCAUAGAACAUUCUUCUCUCAUUUUCUUGCCACCAAGAGAAUCAAUUGGGAUCAAAAUUAGGCCCUAAUAUUGCACGAAGAUCAGUCUUCCUUGCCCACAAAUCUGCAGAGCACAUGAACAAAACGACGUUGUUUCCUUUGAAUCUUCAUCUUUUAUUCUCCCCUCUUUCAAUCAAAAUGCAUCGUUUCAAUUAAUUUGAAACAACGCCGUUUUAGGCCUUAGGGUUUCUUUUCUAAUUAAAUCAGGCCCAUCUUCAUAUAAGUCCCUGUAUUUAAGUGUUUUUUUCAUUUCAGUCAUUCGUCUUUGAAUCUUUCUUAACUAGGUCAAUUUCAUCUUUUUCUUCUUACUUUCUUUCAGUUAUACCCCUGACAGAAUAUGUCCUCUAAAUUCUCUGCUUUAUCCAUUUCCGUGCUUCGGUACUUCAAUUCUUCAUUUUUUGAGCCAAAUUGCCUUCUAAUUUCAAUUUGAUUUUUCAAUUAAGCUCUUAAUUAAUUUUCUAACUUGAUUAUUUGUUCCAAACUCAUCUUUGAACCUCAAUUUCUUUCAAUUUUAGCUAAUUUAAGCCCAUUUCUCUUCAAUUCAGAUCUCAAAUAUGACUUCAAAAUUUACAAACUUCAUUUUUACUUGUGAUACUCAAAUGUUGGUCCAAUUGCAACCCUAUAUGAUCAAAGAACAAUAUUAUAUUUUUUAAACCCUUCACUCUUAUAAAAACAAUUUAUAUGAUUAUAAAUAGGAAAAAAUAGGAUUAAAUAUUUUUUAGAAAUUACAUAUUAUUGUUUAAGUUUUUUUUCUUAAUUAGAGAUAAGUAAAAGGUUAAUACAACUCCUAAUAAUUAGUUUCAUGUAAAAAAUAAAAAUAGUAACUAAAAUUUUAUUUUAGUUAUAAAGUUAAUAAAAUUUUAAAUAUAUUUUAAUUGAAUUAAAUAUUUCAACACAAAAUUUAUGUUCUUAUACAGUUAUAUAUUAAUUCUAACAAAUAAUAUGAUUUCUAUGUUUAAAUUUUGGUAUUAAUAACACAGACAACAAUGAGGCAGUUAAGAUUUUUAGAUAAAAAAAUUAUUAAAAAAUAAAAAUAAGCUAGUACAUUUGUUCCAUAACUAAAAAAAAUUGAUUUUUUUCUUUAAAUUAAUUAUUUUACAUCGUUUUAAUAUGUUAAUGUUAAAAAUAAAUUUUUUUUAAAUAAAAAAAUAUUAUCUUUAUAUAUUUUCAAAAAGUAUUUUGAAAAGUAAUUAUUAUUAUUUUUUUAAAAAAUUUGCAAGUAUUAACAAUCAUAGUUUCUACUUUAAAAUAUGAAUAUGUUACAGAAAACUAAGGUAGCCGGUCAUGUGGGCUCAAUGAACCUAGUACAGUUGGCCUAACCUAAAUUCCUCAGUACAAGUUGAUUAUGGAAAAGGCACCACAUUUAAUUAGGGGUUGUUCGCAUGCAUUUUAAUUGGAGUUUUGCAUAUAUUUUUGAAAAAAAAAAAUUGUACUUUAAAUUGAAUUUUUUUUUAUGUUUUUAGAUUAUUUUGAUAUUUUAAAGUUAAAAAUUAAUUUUAAAAAAUUAAAAAAUUAUUUUAAUCAUUUUCCAUAUAAAAAGCAUGUUGAAAAACAACGUGUACCACUCUUCUGUUGCUCUAAACACCCUUUGACGACAAAGGAAUGCAAGACAUGUAAACAUAGGAGGUUUGGUGAGCAUAUUGGAAUUUGAUCAUCAGAGGCUAUGAACUGAACUUGGAGCUCUUUGUGAGUUAUCAUAUUAGACAAAGUAAGGUCGAUUUCAACGUCCUCCAUGCAAGCAUGAAAAACCAAAUUCAUUAUGAGAUAUAUAUCCCCAAGAUUAUCACAUCAUAAAAAAGAGGAGUAGUGGUCGAAAUCCCUAAAUCUAUAAAAACAAAUGAAAAUAUACUUGAUAUGUGCAUGUUAUGAUGAUGAAAUGAAUAUGCAUAGAAAAUAUUAUAUGUGUAAUGAAUGAAUAUGGAUUGCCUAUAACAUUUUUCUUGAAGGAAUCAUGACCAAAGACUUCUUUGUGAUUCAGGAGGAGCGACCAUGAUUGGAUCUUCUAUUAGAGGAGGUCACGAGACAAGUGGAGCAGGUGCGUGGUUUCCUCUCUCCUUUACGCUUAUGCAAUUUAAAGUCUUCUUGAUGAAUGCAAUUACAAUAAUGUUAUGUUCAAUGUAAAUAAAGUAUGGCGUUAACAAAAUUAGCUUUGGCUAAUGACGUCCAUAAUAGGAUUGUCGGGGAAUGAAUUACAAGAGUAGUUUCAGCUAAUGACAUCCGUGAUAGGAUUGCCGGAAAUGAAUUACAAGAUUAGUUUCAGCUACUAACGUCAUUGUUGGGACGCCUGGGAACGAUCGAUAAGGCUCGAUUCUUAAAGGGUAUUUAUGUUUGGAUGACUUGGGAAAAUUGAAAAGUAUAAUUGUCUAAAAAUAUCCAGGUUGGAUUAUGCAAAGUCACUCGGUUCAUGCAAGAAAAUAAGAGUAUUAAAAUUAAGGAUAUGUAAAUGAUAUCUAAUUGGGUUUUAUAUGAUUCACAAGUAAAUUAUAAGUUUAUUAUUAAAAUUCUUAUAGAAUCGAUAGAAAAUUUAUGUUUUAUUUAUAUACAUUACAUGAUCAUUUAUAUUUUUUUUGUCAACAUAUUAGUAUGCUUAUUACGUUGGUAUUGUAACAGGUUCAUCUAAUAUCCAGGAGCUCAUUAGUUUGGGGGGUGUUUGCCCCGCACUUUAAUUUGAGUUUUGCAUAUUUUUUUUGAAAUUUCUUUUACUUUAAAUUGAUUUUUUAUGUGUUUUUGGAUCAUUUUAAUAUUCUAAAAUCAAAAAUAAAAUUUUAAAAAAAUAUAUAUAUAUAUUAUUUUAAUACAUUUCUAAACAAAAAAUAUUUUAAAAAAUAACAUUUAGCAGUGUUCCAACACCCGCUUAUAACAAAAGGAAUGCCAAAUGAGUAAACAAAAGAGGUUUGAUGAGCAUAUUGGGAUUCGAUCAUAAGAGGCAAAGUAUAGGUCGAUUUCAACAUGCUUCACGCAAGCAUGAAAAACCAAAUUCAUUAUGAGAUUAUCACAUCAUAAAAGAAGGAGAAGAGAUCGAAAUCCCUAAACCUAUAUAUAUGAAAAAGAACUAAGCAAUUUUAUCUCGGCAACAACAUUGACAAUAACUUUAUGUUCAGCCUUGGUACAAUUUUUUUUUGGUUUUUUUAGUUUAGAAAUAUAACGUUUUGGUACAAAACUUUAUUUUAUUUGUAUUUUAGUUUUUAAAUUUAAAAAAAGAUAGAGAGAGAGAGUUGUUGAAAAACUACAAAGAAGGAAGAAAGUUAGUGAAUGAUAACUUUUUGGUGAUGAAAGUUAUUGUUUUUAAUGUGAAUGGAUUUCAUUUAACGAUUAAAGUUUUAUUUUAGUUUUUUUUUUAUCUUAUUGAAAAAAAUAGAUCAUGACUCGAUAAUUAAUUUAGAUUUAGAUUGAUUUUUUAUUUUUAAAUUAAUUAAAUGUUUAUUUAAAAUCAUGAAUGAUUAAAUAAGAUCAUUUUAAUGAAACUCUCAUCUUUAAGAUGAAUCCAUUGAUAUUAAAAUAGGUCUUUUUAUGACAUUAGUCAAAUACUCUCUUUUCUCUAUUUUCUCACCACAUUCCCUGUCUCCUCUCAACAUUUAAUAACUAAAAAUAUAAUAAAAAAUAAAGUUUUAAGAUUGAAUCAUAAAAAUUUAAAACUACAUAAUUAAAUAAAUCUGAAAAACAAAAAUUCCAAGAACCAUGUUAAACUUUUAUGCUAUAAAAGGAUUGCAUAAUAAGAGAAUAGUUCAAUGCAUAAUAACUUGAGUCUCGCCCACAUUAAAAUUUGUUAUGGUAAGAAUAACAAAUGUUUUAAUUUAAAAUAUAAUAUGAAGCAUAUACGACUUUCGUAAAUUGAUUUAAUAUAUUUUAGAGUAUCUGCUCGAAAAAGCCAUUCAACAUGAGAUUGUUCUGCUAGGAAAACAUGAUAUCAAACUUUUGAACAAAUAGUACAGCAUCAAGUCUCAGUCACCUAUUGUCACCAUGAAUGCCCAAAUAUAUUCACAGCUCAAAGACACGAGUCUCCAUCUUCUUUCCACCCGUUAUAUCUGUUCCACUCUCUAUUAAUGCUUGAAUCUUCAGCUACUUCAGAUACCUGUAAACCAAUUCAAGCAUGGCAUGCUCAUUUUAACUUGUAAAUCUUAUUAUUGAGCGAAACAAGAAACAAACACACUAAAAGAGAGGCAAGAAAUAAAGUUAAAUCAGCAGUACCUCUGAUUGAGCACUCAUUGAACCAUCUGGUGUAGUAGCAAAUUUUGUGGUCAGCUUUGGACAUUGAUGGACCUUCAACUUCUCCAAACGAGGGAAUAAGAAAUCACAGCAUCCGAAACUAAAAUAGACAAUACUUGAUAAUUGUUCCAGCGACAGCUCAUUUAGAUUAGGAAGCACCAUCUCCUUCUCAACGUUGACAGGUGAAGCACGAUCAUCCUGCCCAAAUACUCCCCAUAAUUGAGAGGAUUUUUUAACUGUAAGUAUUCGGAGCUCUGGGAGACCUGAAGCCAUGGCUACUGGGAAGAGGCUCUUCAACUUGUUGCAUUCUCUAAUCUCAAUUUCACGCAAAUUUAAAUACCUCUUCCAAUGAUUUGCAGUCCUCAAUUUCCACCCUCCUUAGAUUUUUCAGAUCUCGCAGCAAUUUUGCUGGAAACGGAGUGCAAACAUCCCCACAAUCGUACACGUGUACAUAUUCUAAUCUUUGUAAGAAGUCGUUUUGCUGUUCAUGGGCGGCCAAUCUUAUCAGAGAACAAUAAUAUAUUUUUUCACUCUCAUGAAAACAAUUUAUAUGAUGUAUAAAUAGGAGGAAAAAAUAGAAAAAACAGGAUUAAAUACUUCUUAGAGAUUACAAUUACAAUUUAUAUGAAUAAUAAUUAGAUUUUUGCGAAAAAAGGUUAAUACAACUGCUAAUAAUAUUUUUAUUUUAGUUAUAAAGUUACUAAAUUUUUAAAGAUAUUUUAAUUGAAUUAAAUAUUUGAACACAAAAUUUAUAUUAAAUUGUUGGUAUUAAUAACGCAAAAUUACGUACUUGUAGCUGUGCCAACCAAUUACCCACUUCUUCGUGGCCUUGAAUGGUUAAUUCUUGCAAAGGCAAUUGAGCAUCAAAAUUCCUUGGACCUAAAAAGCUGUAAUUUGAUCGGAGCCAAAGAGACAAUUCUCUUAGUUGAGGGAACUUGAUGAUGCCAUCUCUGUUAUGUGACAAAGAGACUGGGAAGACAUAUUCCAGUUUAUCACAGAAAGAUAUGUUGAUAGUUUUUAAUUGUGGGAAGCAAGGAGACUCUGGAAUUAUUUUUUUUUCACCAUCCUCUUCUCUGAUAAUAUGCUUCAAUUCACCGCAUUCACUUAUACGAAGGCUUUCUAGCUUUGGCAGACUGUAAGCGAGGGACGGUGUGAAGAUAAAUAUGAGUUUGUCGAGAGAAUUCAAAUUCAGAUGAGCAAGACUUUGAAGGCUUACAUGCCUGGUGUGCCCCCUCCUCCUCACUGCUUCCUUCAUCAGCCUCACCCAAUUCAAAUACCUCUUCCAAUGAUUUACAGCUGUCAACAAUCACCUCCUUUAGAUUUUUUAAACCUUCCCGCAAUCUUGCUGGAAACAGAGUGGAAAGAUCCCCACAACCCUAGCUUUUACAAAUUCUAAUUUAUGUAAAAACAAUUGCUCAAAUGUCUUCGCAUUUAAGGAUGUACCAGCCAAAAUUAAUCUUGUCGAGGUUGGGUAUCCAUAAUUGGCUACCACAAACCAAUUCCCUAAUAUUAUAUCAUAUUUGCGCAAGCUAACUGGAAAAACAAAAUCUCUGGGAAUGCAUUCAACCUUCGGUAUCCUCAAUGAUAAUACGGCUAACUGAGACAACGAAUUUAGUUCUGUUAGGCUUGCAUUCAUUCCUCCUGUGACAUCCAACAACAUCCCAUCCAUCAAAGCUGCCAUCCCCGAUCAACAGCUCUUCUAACUUCUUCAACCUUCCAAUCAAAUUCACAGGGAUCCUUCUUAGCCUUUGACAACCUGUCACAUCCAACAACCUUAACUCCUUGAGCUCUCCUAUUUCAUCAGGUAAUUCUUCAAUGGAUAAGCACGACAUAAGACCAAGAAUCUUAAGUCCCUGCAGCUUUCUCAACGAAAUGAGGUCCUUGCAUUCGCACUCCGUCAACAGCGACAAUUGAAGUUUCGUUGAGAGUUCGAGUGAUUGCAAUGACAAACACCCUCCCUUCAGAGACAAAACUUCAAUUUCUUUCAUCCCUUCAAAAAACCUCUCUGGAACAUUCAAACCAUCAUCCAGUUCUAAUAAUAGAACUUUGAGCUGUGGACAUACCAAUCCUUCAGGAAGUUCUGCUAGUUUAUUGCCCAUUAACGAAAUUGUUGUGCAACCUUCAAAGCUUUCAAUACUCGUUGGCCACUUCUCCAAUACCAUGAAUCCAUAUUCUUUUGAUGAUGCUAUCUGAAUAGCAACAUCACGAACCAAGUCAUGCAUUCUCACAUGUUCUUCAGUUUCAGUGCCCAACAACAAACAACAAGCUUUGAGGUCUUUGAUUGCCACAUGAACUUGUUCCCUUGCAUCUUCAAUGGGCUCCCCAUCUUGAUGUAACCCAUAGCCAACUGCAUAUCUCGUCAAGUCCUCGACUGGAAUGUUGUAAUCUUCUGGAAAUAAACAGCAUAGCAAGAAACAUAACUUGGUUUCCUUGGACUUCAAAUAAUCGUAGCUCAACUUAAGACAUGCAUAUGCAUUUUUUUCUUCAAUUUGUUCCAUGUCCGGAAAUUGAGAGUUUUUGAGCUGUUUAGACACUCUUUUCCACUUAACUGCAGAUUCAUCUCUUAGAGCCCUUCCCAUUGUCACGAGUGCUAUAGGCAAGCCGUGGCAUUCUCUCGCAACAUCCCUUGCCACUUCGUUCAAGGUAGAGUCCCCAUCAUCUAAACCUGCAUUGAUUCUGAAUAAAUCGCAUGCUUCUUUUUCAGGUAAUACUCUUAAGAACACUUUUUGCUGGCACUUCAUAGAAGAACAUAUAUUUUUACGACGAGUUGUUAGAAGAAUUUUACAACCCCUGUGAUCAUCACCAAAUGGGAUCCCUAUCUCUUUCAAGUCAAUAUGUUUCCAAACAUCAUCCAGGGUUAUAAGCAUCUUCUCCACUUUCUUCAGUCUCUGCCGUAAUCGAUCUGCUCUCCCUUCUUUACUGUUUUCUUCAAUUUUCAAACCUAACAUAUCUGCCAUUCGGUUCUGAAUGUCUAUGACAUUUGGAUUCUGCGACACCGUAGCCAUCAAAACUUCAUCAAAAAGCUGCGACUCUGUGGCUAUCCUGCCUACUUCUUUCACCAAGGUGGUUUUACCCACCCCUCCCAUGCCGUACAGUCCGAUCAUAUUGACGUUGUCAUCUUUGAGAGCUUCCAUAAUCUGUUCCAAAGCUUCUUCUGACGAUUUUGAGGGCGUGAAUUCCUUUGAUGUUAGAAAUUCUAUGCGCUGAGGAGGACGUUUGUCGGCCACUUUUGUAAACUUUUCGCUACUUUCUCCAAGUUUUCUGAAAGUCUCCGACUUCUUGGCCAGUGCCUUGCUUAACUUGAAUUGUCGCAUGCAGUUUGGGCACCAAGUAAAGCAUUUGCCAUUUUUUCCUAUUUCAUUUUCCAACGGCUUCGCACCUUCAAUUUCGUUGUUUGCAUCUUCCAGCCACUUUUUGACAUCUUUGUAAAUUUCUUCAGCAUUCCUUUCAGGAGCUCUGACAACAUCUUGCAGACGAUCUUUUUCCGAAACCAGGUUCUCCUCUCUUUCUUUGAAUUCUUGAGCAAAAUUGUUGAAACAGAACAUGUAACGGAACUGCCUUCCUACUGGUUCCACCAUGAGUUCUGCUAGCAUAGCUAUAAUGGAUCCACCAGCACUUUCGAGAGCCAUUUUCCACGGGUCUGAAAAUCUAAGAAAUAAGGAUACAGAACGUGAGAGUGAGUCACUACAAGUAAAACAGGCGCAGAGAGAGUGGGAAUAGGAAUCCAUUACCUUAAUUUGGGAAAAUAUGUGCGCAAGAGCACUGGUACUGAGUGCUCAAUGAAAUAGCGGGAGGAAGAAAAGGAGAAGGCCUUUAGCUCUGUAUGGAUUCCAGCUUCAAAAGCAACAAGGCAAGGUAUAAGUACAACAAUAAAAUAGUUUACAUGGAUUCUAACUGACUCUUGUGAGUUAACUUAAAGCAGUAGUUCCCAUUAAAAAUGCAUUUUGAUGACAUAAUUAAGAUAAUAUAGAGACAGUGACAAACAAAUAAAAAAAUAAAAAUGUGUAAAAGUACUCACGCAAAGAAAGAAACGAUUGAAAGGUUCGGAUAAUCACUUAGACGUCUCCGUGGAUGAUACCAGCUCGCUUCCAUGGAUAGGUCAAAGUUUUUUUUAGUUUUCUUUUUUUAAAAAAAAAAACAGAUCAACAAGAGAAAAGACUUGCAAAGAAGUAGAAUUACUGAAAGAAACUCAACAAAAAAUCAAACUGAAGCAAUUAAAAAUAAUUGUCUAUGAUGACCAUCUCUGUAUCACAUAUUCAGGUAAUAUUCAGGUAACAAUAUUAAAAAAAAAAAAAAAAAAAAGCUAAAAGAACUACGUUUUUGAUAGCAUCCAGAGUGCGGUUACUCUUUUAAUCCCUUUUUUGUGGUUUUAUUUUAUUUCAGUCCUUCAAGUCUUUUUCUUUUGCUAUUUCAUCGAGUUGCUUUGCUCUUGAGUUGUUUUGUGGUUUUAUUUUGUUUCAGUCCUCGAACAUGCAACAUGCAUUAUGCUAGGAAUCAUAAUUACAUAUUAUAAUUACAAAUUUCAGUUUUUUUAAAAAAAAAUAUAUGAGAAAGGACCAAUAUUACAAUGUGAACAAAUGAAAGGAGAAUUUUAAAUUUUCUUGUGACAUGGUGACCAGGUAAUCCAAGGAACCAAUAGAUUAUCGCCACUUGUUCAACCUUAUCUGCACAUUAAGAUAGGGUUGAAAGUAGGAGAGAAAAGUCAUAACCCUAGAUUCUAUUGUGACAUGGAGAUAAAGGUAAUCUCAAAAGCUAAUAGAUGGUCGCCACGUGUUCAACUUUAUCUACCCUUAGGAAGGGAUAGAAAUGGGAGAGAGAGAGGUUAAAAGGCUUAAAAAAAAGAAAAAAGGAAAGACAGAAAUAAAAGAAAGGUUGAGAUAAGAGAGGGACGUGGAAAUAGAAGGAGAGGUUGAGGGAGGCUGCAGAAACGGAAGAAGACAUUGAAAGAUCGGAGGAGAGUAAGAUAAAAAUAUGAAAAUGAGAUGCUCGUUUAUCUUUUUGAUUGGGAUUUUUUUGUGCCUUUGAUAAAAAUACUCUGUUUUUUUUUUUUUUUUCUCUCUUUGAUUGGGAUUUUCUUGUCUCUUUUAUUUGGAAAUUUUUUGGACACUUAUAUAAUAUUGGUGAAAUUAUUGUUCAUUCAAACACAAAUUUACUUUGGACUACAAUAAUAUUUUUCUCUAAUUUUGAGUUUUAGUUUUUGAUAGCCAAGCUCGUUCGAUUUUUUUUAUUUUUUUUUUCAUGCUCUUGUAAAUAAUGUAGGAGAUGAGGACCUGAAAUCACGGCAGCGAACAAAGAGAGAAAUUUUAUUUUUAUUUGAAAUUAAUUUUUUAAAAACUAGUUUAACAAUUAAUAUAUAUAUAUAUAUAUAUAAAGAUAAUAGAGUAUUUGUCCAAAUCAAAACUCAUUAACAUAGGACACAAACACGGAGAGAGCUAUUUGUUUUUUUAACUGUAUCAGAGUGGUUUUUAAUUAAUAUUUUUAGUGUAUUUUUAUGAUUUAAAAAAAUGUUUUUUUGAUGAUAUAUAUAUAUAUAUAUAUAAUUUUUUUAAUAUAUUUUUAAAAUUAUAUGUCACGAAGGGGGUUUUAUAUUUUUUAAAAUUCACGUAGAUUUAUUUUACUGUAGAUAACAAUAAUGAAUAUUUUAAAAAUUUUAAAGAGAGAAACUUGUUAAAAUCAUUGUUUUUUGAGUUAAAUCAUUGUUUUUUUUACUUUAAAAACACCUCAAAAAUAAUCUGAACUCCAAAAAAUCUCAGAAAAUCUUUUAUUUUAGGUUGUUUUUAGAUUUUAGAGUGGUUUUUUGUAUUUUUGGAGAUUUUGUAUUAGUUUAAUAAGGUUAUAAGAGUGUUUCAUAUAUAUUUUGGAUAAAAAAAUAGGUUGAAAAUAAAUUUUUAAAUAAAAAAUCAAGCCUUGUUUUUAAAUAUAAUUCAAAUAAAACUAUUUAUUUAGUUGGUCAGAAUUAUAAUCUUAAUUAUUUAAUAUUUUUUUAGAGGAAAAAGAAACACGCUUACAAAUAGUGCAGUACAAACCGAAGAGACAUCUUGUUUCCCUAAAAAGAAAAAGAAAGGAAUAUAUAUAUAUAUAUAUAUAUAUAUAUAUAUAUAUAUAUCCUCUCUUUUUAUAUCUUCUCUCUUCUUAAUUUUAUCGACCACUUAUCCAACGAUAGCCUAAACAACCAUCAGUCAUGCCUCUUUUCAAGACACAAUCUAUCAAUCUCUAAACUAGAAACAUCCCCUUCUUCAUUUAACCUAAUCUCAUAACUCCAAGAAAGUGAAGGACUAAAUCAUAGUGACAAAUCUUAAAGAGUUCUAAAUUAUCUCUGUUACUUUCCCUCAAUUUUCUAGACAACCAAAAGGAGCUCUAAACUUAUUCCCAAAAAACAACCAAUCAGCACUGAAAGAAACCGAGUCAAUGAGAGAAAAAGACUAAUAGCUAGAAAACAAUCAACAAAAUGAAGAACUUUCUGUAUGGUUUCCAAGAAAAUGAAAAGAAACAAGCAGCACAACCCUUUUUCCCCUCCAAGAAAAGAAAGACAAGGUAAAAGGUAAAAGAAAGGAAAGAAACAAAGAUAGAAAGUCGAACUUGGCUAAGUCUAUAGCUUAUUAAAUUCAUAUAGAAAGGUGGGAUUUUAUAAGCCAUGUAAUAUCUCUUUUUUCUUAGCAACCAAACACAACUAGAAAGCCAAAAGAAAACAUUUUUGAUGAAUACCCACCAAACAGUUGAAGUGCUGUUGUAACUGAGAUUUACUGUUAUAUGUAAUUUUUGUGGUUCAAUGGAUAAAUAAUUUUCUUUUCUUUCAUUUUACCAGCUUUCGCACGUGGAAUAUUGAGUCUUCUGUUUUUUUCAGCCAUAUAAUUGAAUCCUUUAUAUAUUCUUAAAACCAGAUUUGAAUUCUAAGUUCCUAAAUGAAGGAAUAAUAAAGAUUGUUGCAUGUAUAAAUUUUCCUUCAAAAAAUUAACAAAUAAUAAAGUCUCAUAUGUUAAUGAAGAUUUAAUUAUAACUUAGCCCUGUAAUUUAUUGAAAUUAAUUAUUGUGUCCUUAAAGUAUCAUGGAUAAUUAAAAAGUCUAUUAACUAGUGUUGAUCACCCCCUAUUUACUAUAUUUUUCUCUAAAAAAUGCCUUCCUAAUGAAAUUUCCCCAACUGCAUACUUUUUUUUUCCUUAUUCUAUUUUUCAAAAAAGAAGAAAAACAAAUAUUACUUGGAAACAAACUAAACUAUAUGUAACUUUAAUAAUAUAAGAAUUAAGCAUAUAGUUAUUGAAACUAUAUGAUUAAUUAAUUAUUGUUAUCAAAUUAUACAGACUAAAUUAUAAUUGGUUAAGUGUUUGUGUGGAGGAGUGUUUGCAAAUACCAUGGGAGAUGCGAUUUGUAUUAUUUUAGUUGUUGGUAUAAUAGUCCAAAAUAUUAUGACCACUAUUUUAUCAUAGUUAUUACACUUGGUCCAGCUCAGCAAGUCAACCAGGACUCGGGUGACCUGGGGCCUUAACCAGGUCUGUUUUAUUGAAAACUCGAGCCUGCAAUUGUCUAAGAGAAAACUGGUCAACCCGAAACCUGGGUGACCCAACAAAACCCGGUAAAGACCCUUUUUUUUAGUUUGUUUUUUCUCCUAACCAGAGACCUCUCUUUUUAUGUAUAUAUAUUUUUCAAUUGGAUACCAACUCAUUUCAAAGUUCAACAACCCAGUUUCAUGGAAUUGGAUGUUUACACCUAAAUUCUUCCAUAGAAGUCUGCAACAUCUUGUCUCUGAUCAGUGAUCACUACAAUUGCAUAUUCUAGGCUGAUUGAGUUGACACCAUUAAACGAAUGAAUGUGAAUCUACAACCUCCAAAUUAAACACGGUUGGAUCUAAACAAAAUGUGUGCACCUCCUUUACCAACUUUAGGUGGUUUUCGAUAAUGUUUACAUCAGAGUUGCUCCAGCAAAACCUUGAAAAUGCUCAACCUAAUCAGCCUUGACUAUGUCACCCAUUUCACAAAAACCACCCAUUUUUUUCGUGUGUUCACAUUUAAAACCUUCUCAAAAGGUUCUUAUCAAUGACUUUAAAACCUACCUUUCAAAAUCAAAAGGCCAAAAAUAACUCAUUGCCUUCUAAGUCUAGCAAAACCAUCAAGCACCCUUCAAACCAAAACCACAAUUGCAAAACCAGUUAAGUAUAAGAGCUUCUAGUUGUUUGCUUUUUUUAGAACCCUCUGACUUUGAUCAAAAGGCUGAACUUUGAUCAAUCUUUGAUGGAAUCCACCAAAAAACCUAUAAAUACCAUAUAAAUACCCUUGGAAAUCAGAGUUGGAGAGAAGGAUAGGGAAAACAUGGAAAUAGUCUGUUAAUAGACCAUCCUAUGAAGGUUUAAGAGCAUAAUAUAGAAGGUUUAACAAGCUUUGUAAAGAAAGAGAGUGAAAAAUAACAGUUUAUAGUUAGCAAGCUUGAAGAAGAUAUAAUCAUGUAAAAACCCAAGGGUGGAGUCUAUGUGACUUGCCCAUUCAUGCUUUCUUAAUGUUUAAACAUCUUUUAAUGUUUUUUUUAAACUUGUUUUAGUGCUAUGAUGUUUUUUAGUUUUGUUUUGAUUAAUACAUAAAAAUAUUAUUUUUAUUGUUUAAAUUUUAUUUGGAAUUGUUGUUGAUGUUACAAAGACUUAUUUAUCAUAGAUCAAUUUGGUAAUGACUACUAGACUUUGUGAAAAGACCUCACUGUCUCUAAUAGCGAGUUCAAUGAUUUUUUAUGAUAUAAACAAAACAUCAUCAUAUGAACAAUAUUUUCACUUAUAGUGAAUAGUAUUUUCUAAGUGGUUUUAGAUUUGGUUUAUUAGAGUUUCUAAAAGACAAAAAAUGAAAAGUGAGAGACAAAUAAAAAAAGAGUAAUCUUAUCUUUUGAUAUGGUAGUCUAAAAUACACCAUGAUAUGGUGGCGAGGCCCUUUUUUCCUGCCUUUUCUUUUAAAAAAUGUUAUGCCUUUGAUUACAAAUCCUUAGUCCCCAACAACAAUUGUAACAGAGUUAAAGGUUAUGUAAAAGGAAUCUAAAAACUCUAUCAAAAGUAGUGGAGCACUAGCAUAUUGGCCGGUGCUCUGCAACAGGUCAAUAUCAAUUUUUUUAAAAUGUAAAAAAAUAUGAAGAGUAUAGAAAAUGUUUUAAGUGUCUUGGGUCUAGUACCCUUACCAGAACUAAGCAUGACUACCAGACUCAAGUUGCUUGGGUCUGGCAAGGCUGAAGACCCAAGGCUCUUCAGUGUAGUAUGGUUGCCAGACCCAAAGCAAUGGGGUCUGGCAUUGUUGCUAGACCCACAGAAACAAACAUAUCAGACCUACAUUACUUGGGUGUGAUAACAUUGCCAGCCCCGAUCGACCUAGUUCUGUUAGUCAUGCCAAAAUUGAUCACCUUCGGUCUUGCAGUCAUGCUAGACUUAUCGCUUUGGGUUUACCAUGUCUAAAAGAACCAAGGAUCUUGGGUCUGGCACGAUGCCAAACCUAAUGCUUUUUGGUGUGGCACCUUAUCAAACUCAAGGCGAUUGAGUUUGGCAUGACUGUCAGACUCAAGAUGAUUGUGUCUGGAUUGACUGUCAGACCUAAGGUGCUUAGGUCUCGCAAGGCUGUCAGACCCAAGAUUAUUCUGAGAAAUAAAGUUGAUGGACACAACUAAAGCCAUGCUCAUAUUGCGAGUUUAAAUAUCUUAAUUUUAGUUAUUUUUUAAUCAAAUAUCAAUUUAUUUAACUAGAUAUGUGUAUAAAUAUUUUGAUUUAUGAUUGGAAACUUUUUACAUAAAAAAAGUUGAAAAAACUUGUUCUUGAGAGAUCUAAAAGACCCUGCAACUAAGGUUUGUUUAUUUGAAACCAGACACAACAACUCUAGUUUUGCCUUUGAAAAUGAAUUUCUAAUACCUUUUUCCAUGAAAAAGUGUUUGACCUUCAUCAAAUCAAAUAGAAAUAGAAUUGAUCAAUUAUUUUGUUUGCAAAACAUAGAGAAAGCAAUGUCAAGAUAUAAACUUAAUUAAUAAAUAUAUAGUUGGUUUUGUCUUACAAGGAAGAAUUUUUUUGUCCUAAAAAAGAGUAAUUGAAUUCUAGUUGAAUAGAAACAUGAAAUUAUUUAUUCCCAUGCAAGAUGAAGUCAAGAUUAACCACUCAUUUGUGUGAGGCAAAACAAUGUUGUUGUUGUUGUUGUUGUUGUUGCUGCUGCUGCUGCUGCUCCAACAACAAACAAUUAUUAUUUUAUUGCUGUUAUUUUUUAUGCCACCUAGUCGUUUGCUAGAAACUUUACAUCUAAAAUUUCCUUCACUAAUCUUUUUCUCAUUUUCUAACCGAAAAGUCAUGUACUAACAAAAGCCUUUUAUAAGAUGUUUGUUUUCUUAGCUACCUCACGCAUGGUCAUACAAACAUGAUGAACACAAGCCUAAUAUGACUUUCUUUUUAUUUCUUGAAUCAAUAACAAACUCGUCCCAAGGAAACUAAUGUUUACUUUUACGUGUUGUGCAUCCUAGAUCAAAAGGAAACAUAAAAAAACACAUACAAGUAGAUUUAUGUGGUUCCCCAAAAUGAGUACGUCCAUGGAGGCAGCAAAUUGUAUAUUAUUGGAGGAAUGUUACAAACACUCUACUCAACCUCAGUAUAAUUCUAAAAAAACUCAGUAUUUCACUCUUACACUCAAUGUUUCUCUAAAAUCUGCCUUUUCUCACUCUCACAUUACAUUGUCUUCCUGUCUUUUUUUGCUUUUUUUUGCCUCCUUUUAUAAGAGAAAUGGAAGCCUUGACAACCUCAUUAAUUCCAAUUCCAGCAACCCAUAAAUAGCAAACAACUAUUAACUAUCAUAAUAAAUGUUACAACUGACUUUAGUGCAUCUAUCAUAAGUGUUGGUGGUUGAAAAAUGUUGAUAUAAAUUGCUAAAAAUCUCCACCUUGGCGAGAUUUUUCCAUCCAAUCAUAGUGAUCAAUCAAUGUUGCCUCUAAUGAGCCAUAUGGCGCUGCACCCUGAAAGUGCUUAACACCAAGAGAUGUUGACUAAGUCCAAACAAUGUUGGAACUUGAUCCUUGAGACAUAUUUUAUGAGCAUGUCAGUUGGAUUAUCUACAAUACCAAUCUUCUAUAGCAAAAUAUCCCCUUCAUCCAUAAUUUCUUGAACAAAAUGAAAUCGAACAUCAAUGUGCUUGGUGCGGGAAUGAUGAAACUAGUUCUUUGCAAGACAAAUUACACUUUGACUAUUACAAUGGACAUCCACGUGCUCUUGAACAAUUCUCAAGUCUGCAAUCAACCCAUAUAACCAAAUAGCUUCAUUGGAGGCUUGUAUUACUACCAUGUACUCUGCCUUAGUUGUUGAUAACACUAUCGUUGAUUAUAACAUUGACCUCCAACUUACAGGUCGUUUAGUAAGUGUAAACACAUAGCCUAUUGUGAAACGACACUUGUUUAAGUCAUCAGCAUAGUAUGAGUCCACAUAACCAACUAAAUUUUAUUCGAGGUUAUCAUCCCUUUCAAACUUCAAACCAAUAUCAGUUGUGCCAUGAAUGUACCAUAGAAUCCACUUAACUGCCUAUUAGUGACCCUUUUCUGAAUCAUGUAUAUACCUACUCACCAUAUUGACAGCAUAUGAAAUAUCUAGUCUCGUAUAAACCAUUGCAUAUAUUAAUGCACCAACAACAUUUGCAUACAGAAUUUGAGCCAUAUACUUGCACUCAUCCUCUAUGCAUGGAGACAUUGAAGCAUUUAGCUUAAAAUGAAGAGCUAAAGAUGUGCUUACAAGCUUGGUCUUACCAUCUACCCCAAAUCUCUGUAGAAUUUUCUUCAAGUAUUGGGUCUAUGUCAAACAUACUAUAUCUUUCCUUUUAUCUCUUUAAAUAUCUAUACCAAUUAUCUUUUUAGCUUCUUCAAGAUCUUUUAUUUCAAAUUUAUUUCUCAGUUGAGCUUUCAAUUUAUUAAUUUCCACCUUGCUUUUAGAUAUAAUUAGCAUAUCAUCCACAUAUAAGAGCAAAUAAAUAAAGGAACCAUCAAGAAGCUUGCGAAAAUAUACAAAAUGGUUAAACUGACUCUGUGUGUAUCCAUAUUCUAUCAUGAACUUAUCAAAUCGCCUAUACCACUAGCAAGAAGACUGUUUCAAUCCAUACAAUGAUAUCUUCAGUCUAUACGCUCAAUUCUCUUUUUUGGUGACUUUGAAACCAUCUAGUUGUUACAUAUAAAUUUCCCCUUCCAAAUCUCCAAGUAGGAAUCCGGUUUUCACAUCAAGUUGGGCUAACUUAAGAUCAAAAUAUGCAAUCAAGGCUAGCAAAAUAUGAAUUGAUGAAUGCUUAACAGCUAGAGAGAAUACCUCAUUAUAAUUUAUCCCCUAUUUCUGAGAGUAGCCUUUUGCUACUAAUCUUACCUUGAAUUGGAUGCUGUCUUUUCCAGGAUUACCUUCUUUCUUGGCAUAGACCCACUUGCAACCAAUUGUCUUCUUUCCUUUGGGGAGUUAUACCAAAUCCCAAGUCUGAUUUUUGUGGAGAGAUUUCUUCUCUUCAUUUAUUGUCUAUUUUUAUUUUACACUUUCUAUACUCUCAACAGAUUCUUUGUAGGUGUAGGGGAUUCCAUCAUCAAUCACUGGAAAUGCAUAAGCCACCAUGCUACAUUACCGAAAAGGUUUCUUGAUAACCCUUUUCAGUUUACUUAUUGCAAUGAAUUCUUGUUGUUAUAUGGUUGUUGGAGUUAUAACAUUCUCUUCAUUUGAACUUUCAUCUGAAUCUUCUUCAACAUGAAUUGUCUGAAUAGUCUUUAUAGGAAAGGUUGAAGUCUCAAACUCCAAAUGUUAUGCAUCACUUGGUUGUUUCUCCUUUUUCUUGCGACCUCUCUUGUUGUAGCAUGCUAAACUCGUCAAAAAUAACAUCUCUACUCAAAAUCACUUUAAUUGAUUCAGAACACCAGAGUCUAUAGCCCUUUACUUCUCCAUUAAAGCCUAAAAAUAUAGCUUUCCCGGCUCAAGGAUCUAGCUUGGACUCAGUAACAUGAUAAUAUGUUAAACAUCCAAAUACACACAUAUAGUCAUAAUCAUUUGCAGGAGAGCUUGACCAUACCUCCAAGGGAGUUCUUAUAUUUAAUGUUGUUGAAGGCAACCAAUUAACAAUAUGACGAGCAUAACUUAAUGUCUCGCCCCAUAACGCUUUGUUUAGUCUCGAAUGUGAUAGCAUACAUUAGAUUUUCUCCACCAAUAUACGGUUCAUACGUUCUACUACUCCAUUCUGUGUGUUUUCAAAUAGUAAAAUGUUGUUUUAUCCUUUCAUUUUAGCAAACUUCAAAGAAAGGAUCUGAAGUGUACUCACCACCAUUAUCUGAUCGAAGAGUCUUAAUUCUUUUUUCUAGUUUGAUUCUCCACCAUUUUUCUUCCAUUUCAGAAAGAUAUCAAGGACCUCAUCUUUGUGUUUCAUCAUAUAGACUCAUACUCGUCUUGAGAAAUCAUUAAUAAAAGUAAUAAACCAACGAUUACCUCCAAUAGAUUCAUUCUUUGAAUGUCCCUAUAUGUCUAUGUGAACAUAAUCUAGAAUCUAUUUUAUGUUGUGUACUACAGUGCCAAACUUAACCCUUGUCUGUUUUCCAAGAAUAUGAUGCUCACAGAACCCAUACUUUCUAGUCUUGGUGCCUUUUAAUAGACCUUUCUUGACCAAUCCUCACAAAGCCUUUUCACCAGCAUGUCUUAAACGCACAUGCCAAAGUCUGGAAUUAUCUGCUUCAUCAUCUUUAAAACUCUUGGAGACGACUACUCUACCAGUAACUGUAGACCUAUCCAGGAAAUAUAAGUUUCCUUUCCUUGUGCAUUUUAAAGCAUCUAAUACACCACAAAUUGCUUUUAAGACUUCAAACGAGAAGAGAUUUUUCUUUAAGUCAGGUACAUACCGUACUUCUGUUAGUGUCUUGACUAUCCCAUUAUGCAUCUUCAGAUGAAUAAUCCCUAUCCUUUUUAUGUCACAAACAUCAUCAUUACCCAUAAACAUAACUCCUCCAUCGAACUCUUUAAGUCUCAAGAAUAAGUGCUUGUUGGGGCACAUGUGAUAGGAACAUCCAGAAUUAAAAACCUAUUCACUGGAAUGGUUUUUUGAUGAUAAGACCAUGAAUGAAGAGUCUUGUUCAUCUUCAUCUCGUGCAAUGUUCAUAGUUGGUUCAUCCUUGUCCUUGUUGCCUUUAUUUGGACAAUCUUUCUUCCAGUGUGGGUAUCUUAAAUAAAUAUCAGACAUGCUUGGGUCUUCUUCUUUUUUUUCUUUGUGAGCGUACAAUGCACAAUGGUAGGCAACCUAUAUUUCUUUUAUUAUUAAGCAAACAAUAAUUCACCUAAUGGUUUGAUCAUCUAAAAUCUUGCCAUUAUAAUGAUAGCUGAAAAAAUAAAGGGUUGGUAUAAUAAUUUAAUUUUUAAUUCAUUGACAUCUAAAAAUACUAUAAAAAACUUUUAUAAACCACUUAUCAACUCCAAAACAUCCUUAAGAACAACUUGAACAAAAAAAAAAAACAACUAAAUCGAAAAAAUCUAAAAGAACUUGAAUCUAUUUUUUCAGGUAAGAUGAAUGACAAAGAACACUUAAAUGUAACUUUUCUCAUCGAAAGAAACCCGUUUAUAUCAAGAAUGAUUUUUUCAUGGUCAUAAUCUUGGCAAUCAGAAACUUUUUUAUUUUAUCAUUAUUUUUCAAUGUUUCUCUUUCUCUUAUCUCUCAAACCAGAGAUCAAGAUGAAAAAAAAAUUAUUGGACCAUAACUUCCAAUCCCUAAAUUAGAGGGAUCAAAAAGUAACUUUGACAAAACCAAAAGGCAAAAUUUAACAAAAAAACCAAGACUCUUUUAUUCUUCUUCCAUUUUGGUUUCUUAACUUUUAAUCUUGUGAAACUAAUAAAAUCACAUAAAUUCCAAUAAAAUUAAAAAUCAAUUUAAUGACAAGAAGUUUUGUCAAGAAUAUAAUAGUCUCGUGAAAAAGUAAGAAAGAAUAAGUUAUAAAGAUUGAUUCCAAUAAACGCAGUGUGAAACAAUUAAAUAAAAAAUUGAAGAGCAUUAAAAAAAAACAUUUAUUAGCCCAAAUCACAAAUUCCACUAAAACAUUCACCUUUCUCACCUUUGAUUUCUGGGUCGCCGGUCCUCGUCUUAUUUGGUUUUGGUAUCUGUCAUUGUUUUUUCUUUUUUCUUUGUUUUUUUUUUUAGGGGGGGGAUUUAUAGCGUGGGUUAAACGAGAAUUAUUUGCUGCUUAUUACUUUGUAAUAAAUUAAUUAAUUCUCAAAAAAUAGUAAAUUAAACUUGCCUUCAAUUAGGAUUUGUGUUCUUCAAUUUUGAACCUUUUCUUUUAAUCCCACAAGUAGUAUUUACUAUUUAGUUUACUACUACAUUAUAUUUAUAUUUAGUAUCAAGUUUUUCUUUAAAAAAUCUUAAUAUAUUUUUAUGUUCUUUUCUAUAUUCUACUUUUUACAACUUUUUCUUUAAAAAACAUUAUUUUCUACUUUUUUAAGUUUUUCUUUAAAAAAAUAAUUACUUUUUUUUAUCCAAUCUUAAACAAUUCAUUCAUAAUUGAAUUCAUAUAUUUAUAAGAAUUUAAUUUUUGUAAUUGAUUUUUAAAUCUCAUUCCAAAUUUAUAGUGUAAAGAUUAAACUGAAUUAUUAAAAAAAAUCAAUAGUAGGUCUUGCUUGUAGGAAUUAACUAGUUAGGUGGUCCGCUCUACGCCGAGCGGGCUCAUCUUUAACUUCCAAAAAAAAUUAAGAGCAGAACUCAAGUCUAUUUGGGUCCUGCCAAGCUAGGUUCAAAGCAUAUUUGGAUCCUGCUGCGGCCAGGAUCCAAAGCUAUUUUGGGUCCUGCCCAACCUGGUCUAAGUCUAGUCUUGGGCCAGGCCAUGCAGGACCCAAGGUUAUUUGGGUCGUGUAAUGGUAAGAUCCAAGUUUAUUUUUGGGUCCUGCAACUAAUAAUUUGUAUGUAAUUUGUAAAUGAAAUUAAAUGUAAUUUGAUAAAAUUAUUAUUACAAUACAUUUGGUAAAAUUAGUAAAUAAUAUAACAUUUUCUUUCAAAUUCAUCAAUUAUUUUAUUAAUAAUAUUAAUUACAAAAAAAUAUACUCUUAUAAAUUUUACUGAAAAUAAUAAUAUUUAUAAUACAAAUCAUAAUGUUUUUAGUAUUAAUAUUAUUAAUUAUUAUAAAAAUAAUAUUAUUUAUAACUCCAAAAAUAAUAAUAUUUUUGAGAUUAAUACUAUUAAUUAUACUAAAAAAAUAUAUUAAGAAAAAAUAUAAUAAUAAUAUAAUAUUAAUUAUACCAAAAAAUAAUAUUAAAAGAACAAUUAAUAAUAGUUUUGAGAUCAACACUAUUAAUUAGACUAAAAAAAUAAUAAUUUUUUUAACACCAAUACUAUCAAUUAUACCAAAAAAAUGUAUUAAGAAAAAAUAUAAUAAUUCUUUUAAUAUUAAUUAUACUAAAAAAAUAAUAUCAACAAAACAAACAAUAAUAUUUUUACUAUUAAUACUCUAAAAAUUAAUUAUACCAAAAAAAGAAUAUUAAGAAAACUAAUAUGAUAUUUUUAAUAUUAAUACUUGUAAUUAUACUAAAAGUGUAGGUAGCCCAAGAACCACGUGGCGCUUGGGCUGCACCUAAGAGGACCUGCCUUUGUGCGUGGCAGCGCUUGGGGUGCCUGCGGCCAGGACCCAAUGCUAUUUUGGGUCCUGCCCUGCCUGGCCCAAGGCUAGCCUUGGGCCAUGCCUUGCAGUGCCCACGCCAUAGCGCCACCUGGCACGUGGACUGCAGCGCAGAGGAAGCAGGCCAGGUGCCACAUGGUGCUUGAGUUGUCCGCCCUCAAGAGAGAACUCAAAUGCCACGUGUCCCAACGUGGUUUUUUUUUUUAUAGUAAUAACAGUUUUUUAAAUUUUAUUAAUGAUGAUAAUAAUAUUUAUACUCUUAUAAAUUUUAAUGAAAAUAAUAAUAUGUAUAAUACAAAUAAUAAUAUUUUUAGUAGCAAUAAUAUGAAUUAUUAUAAAAAUAAUAUUAUUUAUAACACCAAAUAUAAUAAUAUUUUAGAGAUAAAUACUAUUAAUUAUACUAAAAAAUAAUAGUAAUAGAACAAAUAAUAAUAGUUUUGAGAACAAUACUAUUAAUUAGACUAAAAAAAAUAAUAUUUUUAAUACCAACUCUAUCAAUUAUACUAAAAAAGUAUAUUAAGAAAUAAUAUAAUAAUUCUUUUAAUAUUAAUUAUACUAAAAAAAUAAUAUCAACAAAACAAACAAUAAUAUUUUUACCAUUAAUACUCUAAACAUUAAUUAUGCUAAAAAAAGAAUAUUUUUAAUACAAUUAUACUAAAAGUAUAGGCAGCCCAAGCGCCACGUGACGCUUAGACUGCACUCAAGAGAAAGGAAAGCUACUGCCACGCGGCGCUGAGGCGGCUUGCCUGGGGGCGUGGCAGCACUUGGUCUGCCCGCGGCCAGGACCCAAUGCUAUUUUGGAUCCUGCCCUGCCAGGCCCAAGGCUAGCCUUAGGCCAUGCCUGACAGUGCCCACGCCAAAGCACCACUUGGCGCUUGGACUGCAGCGCAGAGGAAGCAGGCCAAGUGCCACGUGUACCAACGUGGUUUUUUUCAUAGUAAUAACAAUUUUUUAAAAUUUAUUAAUGAUGAUAAUAAUAUUUAUACUUUUAUAAAUUUUAAUGAAAAUAAUAAUAUUUGUAAUACAAAUAAUAAUAUUUUUCGUAGGAAUAAUAUGAAUUAUUAUAAAAAUAAUAUUAUUUAUAACACCAAAUAUAAUAAUAUUUUAGAGAUUAAUACUAUUAAUUAUACUAAAAAAUAAUAUUAAUAGAACAAAUAAUAAAAGUUUUGAAAUCAAUACUAUUAAUUAGACUAAAAAAAUAAUAAUAUUUUUAAUACAAAUACUAUCAAUUAUACUAAAAAAAUUUAUUAAGAAAUAAUAUAAUAAUACUUUUAAUAUUAAUUAUACUAAAUAAAUAAUAUUAACAAAACAAACAAUAAUAUGUUUGGUUAGUGAACAGACCAAGAGAAAGGAAAUCAAGCACCACGUGCGCUCUUGGUCUGCCCCAGUGCCUAAGGCCGGGCCAACCAAACGUCAAGUGGCGACGCGCUUGGCGCCCUGGUCUGCCCCCAGCCCCAAGGCCGGGCAGACCGAGCGCCAGGGGACAGCAACCCCGGAGGCUUGCCUCUAGGCUGGCGCCCCUGCCCUCCAGCCCAACCACACCCCUGCCAAACAGUGCGGUUCACAGUGAAAUCUAUCACAGUCCACAAUAAAAGCACUCACAAUGCAUCCACAGUGUAGCGAGUGCAAUCCACAGUGAAUUCACUCACAGUGAACAGUAUUCCACGCUACAGUGAAACACUGAUAAGUUUUAGUUAUAAUUAAUAGUGUUUUUAUUUUUGUGCAGCAUAUUCAAUAUGAUUUUAUCUAAUUGCUUUGGUUAGUUUAUAAAUUUAUUUUGUUGGUUUCAGCAUUAAUUUAUUUAAAAUCAAUUUUCUUAUCUGAGACUAAAUUUAUUUUGAGAGUUUUAAAUAAUAAAUUCUAUGAUGUUGAAUUUAUAAUCAUAAUAUUUACCAUGUAAAAAAAUAUAAGAAUUAGAGAUAAAUAUUAAAGAGGGAAUUUUUUAAAAUAAUAUUAUCAUUUUUUAUAGAAAUGAAUUUUUUUUUUGUUUUUUUUAUAUAUCUAUUUCUCUUCUAUACUAUAAAUAUUAAUAGAUAUAAUAACUUGAACUUUUACUAGGAAAUGCAAAUCUAGAAUAUAAAAAAAAUUAAUUAUUAGUAAUAUUAUUAUUAUUAUUAUGGACCUGUUGAUAAACUAGCACGAAAUCCAGAAAUGGAUAAUGCUCGUAAGCCCAACACAAAGCAAUACCCAAUGGAGUCCACAGUCCAGCUAAAGAAGUAGAAAGGGCCGAAGGGAAUCUUUUUAUAAGGAAGCUGCUACAUUUUCAAACAAGAAGUAGAACCCUUCGGUUAUAGUCGUCAAGAAACAGAAGGACAACAAUGGACGAAGUUCAAGAAAGAGAGAAAAAAGAAGAAUUCGAUGCAUCAGAGAUUGAAUACGUUAGCUAUGGUGGUGAGCAUCACCUACCAUUAAUCAUGAAUCUUGUCGAUCAAGAACUUAGUGAGCCUUACUCCAUCUUCACCUACCGUUACUUUGUUUAUCUUUGGCCACAACUUUCUUUCUUGGUAAGUGUGAUUCUUUUCUUCUUUUAUGUUGUUGGGAUUUUUUUUUUGUGUUGUAACUGUGUUUUUGUUGGUGGGUUUCAAUUUCAGGCGUUUCACAAAGGCAAAUGUGUAGGGACUGUUGUUUGUAAGAUGGGGGAUCAUCGGAAUUCAACUUUUAGAGGUUACAUUGCUAUGUUAGUUGUCAUCAAACCUUAUCGAGGAAGAGGCAUUGGUAAUGGCUUCUUUUUUUUCAUUUUGGGAUUUUGUGCACAGUUUUAGGUUGUGUUGGAUUAUAUAUGUGUAUCUUGGAUUGGUUUUUAAUGUACUAUUAUUGGAAACAAGAAAGGAAAGGGGGUGAGGGUUUUCAAGAAAUUGGACAUGCAUUGUUAACAUUAAUGGUAGAAAUAUGGAUGUUUGGAAUGAUUAUGUGUAUAAACUGGCUGCAUUUGAUUUGAACUCAAGGUCCAUUCUUUGUUUUCCUACACUUGGGAUGGCAUUUACAAAGGAUUGGAUGUGGGCUUUGAUAGUUUUUAGGCUUUGUGUUGAUAUAUCAUGUUUUUCUCGUUAAUUGUAUUGUGUAUGGGUACGUUGUAAUUUCCAGUGAAAUUCUCUCCGCACUGCAGCUACUGAACUUGUUACCAGAUCUAUUCAAGUGAUGAUGGAAUCUGGAUGCGAAGAGGUUUGUCAAGUUUUAGUUGGUGUACCUUUUGGUUUGUACUCAUCUAAAUGUAGCAUUAUUCAUACAACUAUAUCACAAAGGAAGUAUGGAUUUUUUAUCCUCAAGCUUUAUUUGUACUUUCCAUGGUACCGAAUGAGCAUAUAGGAGAGUAGAAAUAACUACAUUUCCUAAGCAUUACCACCAAACGUUGGAGCUCUGUUUGGGGCUUGGAACAGCAUGGGAAACAAAGGAGAAUUAUGAAACUGCUUAAGUGGUUACCUUCACUGCCAAUUAUAGGAGAGUAGAAAUAGUUUUCCUUUCUACUCCACUGUGCUCUUUGAUCUCAAACCAAAGGGAAAAAUAAGCUUUCCUCUCGAGUUUGGCUGGCAACUUGGCAUGUGUAUAAAUGGUGAUGCUGUAUCUUGUAUUCACACCUCCAAAAACCUUUUCUUCUGAAAUUUCUUGGUGUUUGUGCAUUAUUCUGUAGUAACACCAUGUCUCUUAGACACUUCAUGCUUCAUUUGUUAUUUCAAUUCCAUCUCUCCUCUUAGUUACCUGAUGCUGCAUGGCUUCUUCUUCUUCUUUUUAGAGGUUAAUAUAUGUUACUGAGAAAAGUACACUUGGCACCCAAAAAGUAGUGAAAGAUUGGUUUUAAAAAUAUAAAAUUUAAAAUUUAACAAUAUAUAUUUGAUUAUUGGCACAAAAAAUUCAAUAUAAGAAAUAAAAAUUUAAAAUUGGAUGUUUAAGGACUCAUUUAGAUUUUUUUAAAAAGUUCAAUUAAAUUUAUAAAGGUUUUAAUUGCAGGAAAUUUGAUUUUUUAAGUCAAUUUGGGCUUUAAUUGAAAGAAAUUAAAGUUUAGGGGUCAAAUUACAAUUUAUAAGAGUUAAUUUGGUCAAAUUAGGGGUUUAAUUACAUAAAUAUUAAAGUUUGAUGGGUAAUUAGAGACUUGAUUUAAGUAAUCUAAAACAAAAAACCAAACUGAAAAUGUACGUUAAUAUAGGGUCUAAAAUGACCGAAUUGAAAAAAUUAAAAGUUUGUUGAUUAAUUAUGGGUCAAAAUACAUAAAUUCAAAAUUAAUGAAAAAUACAGCUAAUUUUAAGGAUAACAUUUGAAUUUAACAGGGAUAAUUGAAUUGAAAAAAAAAAGAAGGUUAAAAAUGAUGUUGUUUCAAUAGCACUGUACAUCUUUUUCUUUCCCUAAUUGUGCUGUAGACAGGGGAAUUAGAAAUUUGGAGGAAGAAAGAAUAAAUUAUCACAAUUUAAAUUAAAAAUAUAAAGUACGUAAAGGCUUUCUAGCUUUGUGAUAAUUUAAAUUAAAUUAUCACAAUUUAAUUAUUAUAAUUUAAUUAAAAUAUAAAUUAUGAAUUUUAUUUACUUUUUCUAGCAUGGUUAAAGAACAAAAUCAUUUUUAUUGAAUUUGUUUUUAAUUAAAUUCUUUAAUAUUAAAAUCAGUCUUUUUUAUGACCUAAAUAUUAUCAGCCAAAUCCUUUUUUUCCUCCCUUGACCACGUUGUCUCCCUCCUCUCAACAUUCAAUAAUUAAAAACUUCAAGGAUCAUAUUAAACUUUUCUACACCACAAAAAAAUAUAUCAAUUAAGAAAAAUAGCUUAAUGCAUAAUAACUUGAGUCACGCUACACAAUAAAAUUUGUUACGGUAAGAAUAACAAAUGUUUUAAUUUAGAAUAUAAUACGAGGCAUGCGCAAUUAAGAUUACAAAAACGAGAUUUCAAGUAGUGGUUAAAUUAGUGGAGAAAUAUAAAUUACGUACUUGUAGCUGUGUCAACCAAUUACCCACUUCUUCGUGGCCUUCAAUGGUUAAGUUUUGCAAAGGCAAUUGAGCAUCAAAAUUCCUUGGACCUUAAAAGCUGAAGAGACAAUUCUCUUAGUUGAGGGAAUUUGAUCCGUUGGAGGUUCGGAAGACAUGGAGACACAGAGACGUAUUCCAGUUUACCACAAUCAUAUAUACGGAGAGUUUUAAAUUUUGGGAAGCAAAGUGACUCUGGAAUUACUUCCCUUUCACCAUCAUUUUCUCUGAUAAUAUGCUCCAAUUCACGACAAUGUCUUAUCUCAAGUGUUUGCAGUUGUGGUAGACUUUCAGCGAGGGACGGUGCGAAGAUAAAUGUCAGUUUGUCGAGAGCCAAACCGUCAGAUGAGCAAGACUUUGCAGGCUGACAUGUCUGGUGGGCCCCUUCCAUAUGCAUUUGAGCUCAGGUAACCUUUGCAGCUCUAACUUAGUUAAAGAUGAUAGCAGCGGCAUCUCUUUCUCCUCAUUGCUUUCAUCAGCCUCACCCAAUUCAAAUACCUCUUCCACUGAUUUGCAGUCCUCAAUUUUCACACUCUUUAGAUUUUUCAAAACUUGCCGCAAUUUUGCUGGAAACAGAGUGAAAACAUCCCCACAAUCCCUCACUUCUACAAAUUCUAAUCUUUGUGAGAAGCCCUUUUGGGGCUCAUGGCCAUGGGUGGUCAUCUGAUCGGAGUGCAAUUCUAUAUUUUUUAAACCCUCUAAACUCGUAAAAACAAUUUGAGACACUGUAGGAAACAACAGCUCAAAUGUCAUCGCAUUUAAGGAUGUGGCGCUUGUACCAGCCAAAUUUAAUCUUGUCGAGGUUGGGUAUCCUCCUGCCAAAAACCGAUUCCCUAACUUUAUAUCAUAUUUGAGCAAGCUGGGAAAAACAAAAUCUCUGGGAAUGCAUUCAACCUUCGCUAUCUUCAACGCGAAUUAAGGAUGAGACAACGAAUUUAGUUCUUUUAGGCUUGCAUUCAUUCCGCCUGUGCUGUCAAUCCAACAACAUCCCAUCCCUCAAAGCUGCGACCCCGAUCAAUAGCUCUUCUAACUUCUUCAACCUUCCAAUCAAAUUCACAGGGAUCCUUCUUAGCCUUUGACAACCUGUCACAUCCAACAACCUUAACUCCUUGAGCUCUCCUAUUUCAUCAGGUAAUUCUUCAAUGGAUAAGCACCACUUAAAAACAAGAAUCUUAAGUCUCUGCAUCUUUCUCAACCAAAUGAGGUCCUUGCAUCCACACCUGAUCAACACCAAGUGAUUGCAAUGACAAACACCCUCCCAUCAGAGACAGAACUUCAAUUUCUCUCAUCCCUUCAAAAAACUUAUCUGGAACAUUCAAACCAUCAUCCAGUUCUAAUAAUAGAACUUUGAGCUGUGGACAUACCAAUCCUUCAGGAACUUCUGCUAGUUUAUUGCCCAUUAACGAAAUUGUUGUACAACCUUUAAAGCUUUUAUUGCCCAUUGGCAACUUCUUCAAUCCAAUGCCAGCCUUUACCAUGAAUCCAUAUUCUUCUGAUGAUGCUAUCUGAAUAGCAAAGUCAUGAACCAAGUCAUGCAUUCUCACAUGCUCUUCAGUUUCAGUGCCCAACAGCAUGCAACAAUCUUUGAGGUGUUCGAUUGCUACAGAAACUUGUCCCCUUGCAUCUUCAAUGGGCUCCGUAUCUUGAUGUAACCCAUAGCCAACAGCAUAUCUCGUCAAGCCCUCGAUUGGAAUGUUGUAAUCUUCUGGAAAUAAACAGCAUAGCACGAAACAUGACUUGGUUUCCUUGGACUUCAAAUUAUCAUAGCUCAACUUAAGACAUGUAUAGGCAUUUUUUUGUUUGUCAAUUUGUUCCAUGCGCGGAAAUUGUGAGUCUUUGAGCUGUUUUGACGCUACUUCCCCCUUUUUUUGGGAGUGGCCCGAACAAUGACCCACUCCUUCCUUUCUUCAAAGGAGGAUUCCUUCCCAUAGAAGGUAUGAAAUCCCUUCUUUUGAAUCCCGUAGUCUGACUCUGCUCACUUGUUAACCUUGGGGUGUCAUUCAUUACUCUUUCCAUACCCUGAGUAGCUCGCACUAAAUCUUGGACCGAUAAAAACUGCAUAGCCACCAAAAUUAAUUUCAGCUCCUGCCUGAGCCCUUCCCAAAAUCGUUCCACCCGAUGAUGCUCAGUGGGAAGAUAGGUGUUGGCAAAGAUAGAUAAGUCCUGAAACCUCCUCUCAUACUCCAGGACGGUCAUAUUCCCCUGUUUCAGAUCCAGGAACUUCUGUUCUCUCUUUCCAGUACUGUCAGGAGUAUUACCGCUCCUCAAAUUCUUCUUGAAAGUGUUUCCACCUUAAUUCUUCUCCUGCCCUUCUUUCUCUAAUAGUCUCCCACCAGGAGUGGGCACUCUCCGUUAACAACUGGGUCACACAGUCUACUCGAGUUUCCUUUGGCACAUGCAUCUGAUCUAUGACCCUUUCUACCUUUCUCAACCAAUGUCCUGCUAUUUCAGCAUCUUCUUCCCCUGAAUAGGUCAUGCAACCCAUUUCCCGCAUGCCCUCCACCCAUUGAACCAGGGUGACUACUCUUUCUACCUGAGGAGUGGAAUUGGAUGCACCUGCGGCCAUCCCUGCUGCUACUGCCUUGACCAAUUGCUCCAGAAAUGUAGGGUCCGAAUAUGGAUUCGCGGUGACCGUCAGUGCCACUAGUGGUGGCCUGUCUUCUGGUCCUUGACCACCCGCUGCUCUAGGUAGUAACACUUCUUCCCGAUGAGAGACAGGGUCAAUCUGAUGCCCCCCCUGAUUCUCCCCUCUUUGAAUGGGCCUACUCUAUAGGUUGGUGGGAGGUUGUGUCCAUCAAUGGGUCCCCUUCAUUUUUGUUCCCAUAUAGUGAGCCAUACUCUCUCCCCUGCAUAGGGGACGAGUUUGCUCUUGCUUCCUGUCGUGUACGAGCCAUCCUGCAACAUGUUUUCAAAUUCACAUAAGUAUUUCAAUCCCUGAAACUUCAACCAGUGGCUCUGAUACCAACUGUAACAACUUCAAAAGUUCAAUCAAUAUAUUCGUUUAACUUCCACAUAAAGGGUAAGUGGAGCAAUUUGUUUUUUAUUAAGUUCACUGAAAUUUCGGCAGAGUCUCCCCUAUACCGGGAGAUCCCAAGUUAUCGACAAUUUACCUUGCACACAAUUAUAAUCACAUCCCACCCAUAAUCACAUCCAUAAUUGGUACAAACCAACCAUUUAAUUCAUUCAAGAAUAUACUCAGGACAAAUCUUCAUUCUCAAUCUCCAUCUCAUAUCACAUGCAUAAGUUAGUAAUUAAGAGAACCAUCCAAGCACUGAAAUUUCAUAUAUAAGCACAACAUAGUUUAGCAUUCUAAACAUAAGCUAAUGCACUAUAAUUUCCCAAGCAUAGAUUAAUACAUUAAUAUUCCAAAAACAAAAUAAUAUAAGGAGCCUACUAUUCUAUUCAGGUUACAUGUUUACUGCGUAACAAAAUUACAUGAAAAUCCCUAAGUUCCUAACUUCUACUCCUGACGUGAAUGGGAGGGACCUAUAAAACAUAAAUUUUCCAUGUAAUUAAAAAUAACUAAAAUACAAACAAUUCACUGAAGAAAAUUUAUAUAGCACAUCUACCUACUUAAGUCAUAUGCAAUUCAAUACACCACCACCAACCCCUUUUGAGGACUAUCCAUUUUAUUUCCUUUAACUACUUCUCCCCAUAUUAGGAAGACUACUACCGACUCUAAUGACCUCCAUUAGAGUCUUUAGUUGCCCAUCCUGAGGUCAACUAAUCAAAUUCAUGAAAAUGUCGACACAAACACGACUGUUGGUGUCAUUAACUAUUUUUGGACCGAAAUAGUUAAUCAAUGUUCUAUGUUACCUUAGGAGGUCCUCGGGUAUGCCGAUGUCAAGGAUUCUUGACAUCAUUGGCUUUCACCUCGAAAAGCUAAUCAAGUCUAUAAAUUUUGCCAAUAUCGACGUCACUCGCCGAUAUCAUUAACUAUUCUGAACCCGAAUAGUUAAUUUAGUUUAUAAAUUUUUCAAAUAUCGACGUCACCCGCCGAUAUCAUUAACUAUUCUGAACCCGAAUAGUUAAUCAAGUUUUAUAUUUAUCCUUUCCUCCCACGUACCGGUAAUGCCAAUGUUAACCAGCUUGGCUAACAUCAUUACCCUCCCAUAUCAGGGAUAGGCUAAUCAAAUUCAAGAAACAAUCAUUACCAAAAUUCAUUGUUACUGUUCAUUUCCUCAAAAAGAACCUAAAAAUUAAAUCUGGUCCUUCAUUUCUAUUUUCCCAUCAUUUAACCUUUCCUUUCUCCCUUUUCUUUUCCUCAUCAAUAAGCACCAAUUUUUUAUAGUUCAAUGGUUAGUUAAAAUAAUUAUUAAUUAGAGAAGAUAGAGGUACCGAGUACCUACCUACUGUAGACGCUCAACUUGCGUUCCCCUGUUGUUGCUGUACUCCUCCCGCGCCACAUUUCCCCAAAUUUUACUUAGGACCCUAAUUUUUCAAACUUCAAAUUAAUGCACAAUUCUUGCAUGAAUUUAAUUUGGCUUUCCUAAUUGGCUUAGAACUUCAUACCUGGAGGAAAUUUAGGUUUGAUUUCUGGUUUGAUUAAAUUUUCCUAACCCCUUUCUCCUCUACAAGCAGCUGGCCUCCCUCUCCCUCUUCUCUUAACAAUUCCGUCACUUCUUGCAAAUCUCCUGCCCAAGUUUGUCAUCCCACUUAGUAAUUCUAAGGUAUAGAAAUUUAGGUGUUUUCUCUUAGGCUUGAUGAAGGAAAAUCUGAAAAUUUUCUCUUAGGCUGGUCAUGGAUGAGAGAAGGAAUGGGUAUUUAUAGUCCCAUCUCUUCUUAAUUCCAUUUUGGCCGAAUCUUUCUCCUUUUUUCUUAUUUUAGCCGUUUUUUUUUUGUAUUAUAACAAAAAUUUUGAAUUAUUAUAAACCUCCCCCUUUUUUGUAUAUUUUAUUCUCAGGCUUCACAAAACAUUAUGGUCCUUUUGAGUUAUUAUUUUGGUUUGACACGACUAAACCUUUUCUAUUGGUCCAUAAAUUUAAUGCCCCUACAUAUAAAAAGAAAUAGAUAGCUGUUUAACUGAGUUAACACGUUUUGGUCCUUUUUCCAUGAUUCAAGUCGCAAAUUUAGCAUUUUCCUAGGUUGAUUGUGUGUGUGAUCUUAUAUAUAAAUUCUCCCGUCCUUCUGCGUCCGAGUUGGACUUCUCNNNNNNNNNNNNNNNNNNNNNNNNNNNNNNNNNNNNNNNNNNNNNNNNNNNNNNNNNNNNNNNNNNNNNNNNNNNNNNNNNNNNNNNNNNNNNNNNNNNNCAGGAAGGACGUGUCUUGUGCAUAUCCGCAUGAGAAGUGGAAGGUUCCACCCUCUUGGAUUCUCUAGCAUUAGCCAACAAGGUAUCUACUUGGAAUUACUUCCACCAAUCAAAAACAUAUUCGCAGCACCACAGCUCAAAGACAUGAAUCUUCGUGAAAUCGCCUAAGGCCGAGUUGAUCAUGUAAUAGGUAACCAACCUUGCCUGAUGCAAACAUGAAGAACAAAGACCAUCCAUGCAUAUCGCAUACGUUGAUUUAAUUGAACCAUUAAAAGAAGAUGGAAAAGGAGAGCAGACAAAUAAUUGCAGCCAUAUCACCUGGUUUGGGCAAGAAAGAAUUAUUAGACUAAACACCUUCAACUUCUCUAAAUGAGGGAAUAAGAAAUCAUAACAACAAGCACACACUCUCUUAUUUUUUUGAGGUUCGCACAGUAAUGACUAAACACGAAACAUUACAUUACAUGGGUAUACAAGCAGAUAACCUUAUUCACACAGCAUAUGCAUUAUUUUGGUCGUCAAUUUGUUCCAUGCGCGUAAAUUGAGAUUCUUUGAGCUGUCUAGACGCUACUUCCCACUGAACUGGAGAUUUAUGGCCGAUUGACAUGCCAAAGCAGUUGUGGCACUACCAUAAAGUAGCCAACCCGACCAGCCUUUCUGUAGUAACUUGUCAGGCCAUGAUUGCAACUUUAAGUCAAUGGUUGGGAUCCUUCAGAGUUGAAUUAAGGGCCAAGGGCACCAUUAAAGACAAAAUGCCCCUCUUCCACCCCUAUAAAUAGAGGUGAAUUUCAUGGCCUAUGAGAGGAAACAAUCGGGUCCAAAGUGUUGGGUUUGUUGCCAUUAAUGUGCAACAAAUGGACGACACCGUCCAUUGACUUUGGUAGCCACCAUUGUUGAAGAUAAGCUGGAGUUGGCAGCCACCAUUGUUGAAGAAGAGCUGGAGCUGGUGGCACCAUUCUUGUCUAUAAAUAGGCACCGAGAGAGCAGAGCAGAGUGAGAGAACAAAGAGAGAGUGAGACCAAGAGAGAAAGAGGGGCUGCCAAGGGCAGCAGCCCUGUUGCCUUGUGCAGUAGUGUGAGAGUAGAGUUGAGUGAAGUGAUCCUCCUUCUCCAUGUGUGUUGUAACCCUUUCUCUAUCUAUCUCUAAUAAUAUGGACUUCUCCCGUGGAUGUAGGCGAUUUGCCGAACCACAUUAAAUAUUGUGUCCCAGUGUGCUAAGCCUCCAAUAGACAACUAUUAGAACACCACCGGUCCAUACAUAAGGGGUCGGAAUCCCCAACAUAAAGUUGAUAAAAAAACCAGCCUUACCCCUAGUAUUUAUCCACCAUUAUCGUUUUUUUCUUCUUCUCUGUCGUCGUACGUGACCUUUGGUGGCCUAGCACCCUUGCCACUCCAUCUCCUUGCCAGCAACAGGAGUAGCCAUCAUUGGCUCCUCCCUUCUCCCCUAAACAAUAACCCUUGCAUGCUUCUUCCUCUUCCUCCUAAACCAACAAUGACUCCUGCACCUUCAACUUCCACUCACUAGUGACAACACCAGUAACUCCAGCAGACCAAUAAUUGCCACCAUUUUAGUUUUGUUCUCCUUCAGCACCGGUAGCAGCAACAACUCCAACCAUGCCAAUGUUUUCUUCUUUUUCUCCCUUCAACAGCCAACACCGCCCACCACCGUCUCCACCAACAGCUUUGACAGUAGUCGACAAAAAGGCCAUGCGGCCACUCCUUCUGUAAUAACCCAAUUUUUUAUUCUCCAAAAUUUUCUUGAAUGUUGUUUUUAUUUCUAUUUUGAUUCAUAAAAAUCCAAAAAAAAAGUUAAGAAAAGAAUAUUAAAAUUCAAAAAUAUAUUUUUCUCGGGUCAAUCGUAUUUUACCAUGAAAAAUGAGCUCAUCGGGUCAAUACGGGUCAAACCAUGUUGACUGGGGUAAAAAUUGAAUUUCAAGCUAUUUUGGGUCAAAACUAUUAUUUUUUGUCAAAACUCGGUCAACUGGGUUGACACUAGUUGAAAAAUAUUUAUUGAUGUUUGAAAUUAAUUUUUUAAUAAUUAAAAUUGAUUUUUAGCAGUUGAAAUGGGAUAGGUAAAAAAUUUUCUUCAGGACAAUGUCGUGUCCCCAUAAACGUUUCUUCAGGACAACAUUAACUAUAAAAGGUAGUGAAAAUUUGCUAAAACAAAGAAGAAGAAAAAAAAAGUGAAUAUGAAUGAUAAUACUAUUCAUGUUUUUUUAGUUUUUUCUUCACACGAGUAAGUUAAUGAUUAAAAAAAAAACAAUUCAAAAGGUAUCAAAACUAUCUUGACCGUUAGAUCUAAUAGUAUUUUAGUUCUUGACCCUUAAUUAGAUUUGAUCUAAUACGGCUUACCAUACUAGAUGAAAACUCAAAUUCAUCUCAGCCAUUAACCAAAUCUGACCUUGGAUCUAAUUUUGCCACAUCACUAAGCUGCACAAGAUUUUUGGUACACCUGGUGACGUCAUAAAAUUAGAUCCAAGGUCAGAUUUGGUUAAGCAUCCAUAUGGAUUUGGGUUUUCAUCCAGUGUGGUAAGCUCUAUUAAAUUUUAAAAUUUAUAGCUGGACGAUACCAAUUUAUUUAGAUUUUGGACCAAUUUUCAAAAAACCAACUUGAUAAGGAAUCUGAAACUAUUCCUUGAUUAUAGAUGAUUUGUUAUUAUAUACAUAUCUUGUAGGAUUUAUAUUGACUACGUUUUAUUUGUUUCCUAUUAUAUAGGAUUUGUUAACUGCUGUACAUUGUAUAUAUAAUGAGAAUCAAUCACCUCUGCAUGAUAGGGUGAAUUACAGCUAUUCUUAAACCUUGUUAUGGUAUCAGAGCUCCUUUAGGUUUUUCUUUUACUCUAUCUCUUUAUCAUGGCUGCGCCGUUCCGCUGAACACGAUGGUGCAUAUGCUUACCAUCAAACUGACCUCCUCAAAUUAUUUGUUAUGGAGAAAUUAGUUUAUACCAUUGUUAACAAGCCAUGAUCUUCUUGGAUUUCUGGAUAGUAGCAUCGCAGUUCCUUCUCCACAGAUAACUGGUACUGAUGGCUCUACUCAGGUGAAUCCAACAUACUCUUCUUGGCUAAACACAGAUCAGACCCUAUUAAGUCUCCUUUAUUCUUCCCUUACAGAGGAAUCUAUGAGUGAGGUGCUUGGUUUGAAACAUGCUCAUGAGGCCUGGACUGCUCUUGAAGCCUCCUUCUCCCACAGAUCAAAGACUCGUGAACUGCAACUCAAGGACGAGCUCCAACUGAUGCAGCGAGGCUCCAAAUCAGUGGCUGAAUUCUCUCGCCUUUUCAAAGGCCUCUGCGAUCAACUGGCAGCAAUUGGUCGACCCAUCGAUGACCUGGACAAAGUUCAUUGGUUCUUGAGAGCUUUGGGUCCUGAAUAUAAAAUCUUCUCAACAACAAUGCUUUCCCAGUCUCCGUUACCUUCUUUUGCAGAUAUAAUCCCGAAAGCUUUAAGCCAUGAGAUUUUUGAACGAUCAGUGUAUCAACAAUCUGCCAACUCGGCGUUUUAUGCUCAGCAACGUCAUUCUUCAACCACUAGAUCAAAAUACAUCAACAGAGGAAAACCCAAACCUCCCUCUGCCUCUGUCACAAAAUCUAGUUUCUCUCCAGUCCAUUGCCAACUCUGUGACAAGGCCACUUGGCUAAACGUUGCUGGACAUUUCUUAAUCUCAAGAAAAAGCAGUCUGCCAAUCUUGCUGAAGCUUUUGCUGCUUGUUCAAUCCCGGCCUCCCCUGAUCCUGCCUGGUAUCCGGACUCUAGAGCCACCUCUCACAUGACAAAUGAUCCUGAGGGUGUUGAUAUUCCUGCUGUAUAUUCUGGUAACGAAAGGGUGAUGGUUGGUAAUGGUCAGUCUCUUUCUAUUUCUCACACUGGCUCCGUUUCCGCUCUUGUUCCCAACAGCCCAUUACUUUUAUCUAUUGUUUUAGUUGUUCCUGUUAUUACUAAAAAGCUUAUUUCCAUUAGUCAACUUACAAAAGAUAAUAAUUGUUGGGUCAUCUUUUUUUAUUCUGGUUUCAUAAUACAGGACCGGGUCACAGGAGUAUUGCUGGGAGUCGGCAGAUGUGAGAAUGGCUUAUAUGUACUCCAGCAACAUCAUUAUGCCCUUGCUUCCACAGUUUCUUCCAAUAAAUUGCGUGUCUCUGCUCAUUUGUGGCAUGCUCGUCUAGGUCAUCCUAGUUUUCAUACUAUUGACUCUCUCACCAAGUCAAGUUUUAUUUCUUGUAGUGAUAAAUUAAUCGGUUUGGAUUCUAGUUUAUGUGUUGGAUGUAACCUUGGCAAAAGCCAUCGGCUACCCUUUUCAAUUAAUAAUACUUGUUGUGAUUUGCCUUUUGAUCGUUUACACUGUGAUUUAUGGGGUCCUUCACCUAUUUGUUCAACUACGGGUUUUCGAUAUUAUGCAGUUUUUGUUGAUGAUUGUACUCGUUUCAGUUGGUUUUUUCCACUCAAACAUAAAUCUGAUUUUUUUGAUACAUUUAUCAACUUUCAACAGUAUAUUGAAACUCAAUUUUCAUCCAAAAUUAAAUCCUUCCAAUGUGAUGGUGGAACUGAAUUUACCAAUAAUAAAUUUCGCUCUCACCUCACAUGUUGUGGUAUUGUAUUGCGUGUUGCAUGUCCUUAUACACCCAGUCAAAAUGGAAUUGCUGAACGUAAACACCGACAUGUUACCGAAACAGGACUCACUCUUAUGUUUCAUGCAUGUGUUCCUUUGCCUCUUUGGGUUGAGGCCUUCUCAACAGCUGUUUAUUUCAUCAACCGACUCCCCUCACAAACUCUUGCUGGCAAAACUCCUUACGAGCUUCUGUUUGGUAAAUACCCCGACUACACCAUGCUUCGUACUUUUGGAUGUUUAUGCUUUCCUUAUUUGUGAGAUUAUGCUCCUAACAAAUUAUCUCCCAAAUUUGCUCCUUGUGUCUUCUUAGGUUAUAGCCCCCUUCACAAGGGUUUCCGCUGUUUUGACCGCAAGACACAACGUCUUUAUGUCUCUCGCCAUGUCCAAUUUUAUGAAACUAUAUUUCCUUAUGCAUGUGAUAAUGUUCAACAAAAUCAUAAUUCCACACCCUAUAUUACUUUCUCUGAUUUCUUGGACUCUCAUAAUAUUGUGUCUCCUGCCUCCCCACCUCCAUUGGUGUCUUCUCCAGUUUCGACUUCUACUUGUUUGCCAUGCAGUGAUAAACCUGUAGCCUCCUGUUCCCAGCCUCCUAUUAUGUCUAUCAUCCCAUCUUCCAGUCAGCCCUCUCCUUCUGUUCCUGUUCCACCAAUGACGACCUCUACUAACCUUCACCCUAUGGUUACUAGAAGGAAAGCUGGUAUAUUUAAACCUAAUGCUUAUCAUGCGCUAACCAUUGCAGGUUCUUCUCAGUUUUUUCAGGUUCUUCUAGCUCUCCAAGAGCCUCGGGGUUUCAAAUCUGCAGCCAAACACCCUGCAUGGCUCUCGGCUAUGGAUGCUGAAAUACAAGCCUUGAAGAACAAUGACACAUGGGAUUUUGUACAGCGUCCUGCAAGUCACAAUGUGGUUGGUUGUCGCUGGAUCUUUAAAACCAAGCUCCGUGCUAAUGGAUCCAUUGAGCGUCAUAAGGCUCAUCUUGUGGCCAAGGGUUUCUCACAGAUUCAUGGCCUUGAUUUUGAAGACAUGUUCAGUCCUGUGGUGCGUCCUGCUACUGUUCGGAUUAUUCUAUCCAUUGAAGUCGGUUCCGGGUGGCCUCUACAUUAAUUAGAUGUUCAAAAUGCCUUUCUUCAUGGUCAUCUUUUUGAACUGGUAUACAUGGAUCAACCUCCUGGCUACAUAGAUCCCCGGUUUCCUCAUCAUGUAUGUCGACUAAAGCGUGCUCUUUAUGGGCUCAAACAAGCCCCUCGUGCUUGGUUCCAACGCUUUAGCUCGUUUUUACUGCAACUUGGUUUUCUUAUCAGCAAAGCAGAUUCCUCUCUGUUUGUGCAUCACUCUGCAGCUGGCACGGUUUAUCUCUUGCUCUAUGUAGAUGAUAUGGUGCUUACUGGUAGCAAUCCCAGCUUGAUCAAAACUCUUAUCACACGACUGUCCACCGAAUUUGCCAUGAAAGAUUUGGGGUCUCUACACUAUUUCCUUGGUGUUGAAGUCCACCAUAACUCCCACGGUUUAUUUCUCAGCCAGACCAAGUAUGCUCUUGAUCUUCUCCACCGUGCUGACAUGGUUGAAGCCAAACCCAUUACCACUCCUUAUGUUGUUGGCCAGCAUCUAUCCACUGAAGGGAAGUUAUUUUCAAAUCCCACUCUUUUUCGGUCUCUUGCUGGUGCUUUGCAAUAUUUGACAAUUACUCGCCCUGAUCUCUCAUUCAGUGUCAAUUCAAUUUGCCAAUAUAUGCAUGCUCCGACAGAAGAUCACUUUCGCGCACUCAAACGUAUAUUGCGUUAUGUUAAAGGAACGGUUCAUCAUGGCCUUCAACUUCAUCGCAAUCCUUCCCGUGAUUUGCUUGCCUAUUCUGAUGUUGACUGGGCUGGUUGUCCUGAUACACGUUAGUCUACCACUGGCUAUCUUAUUUUCUUGGGUCCCAAUCUUAUCUCCUGGUGCUCCAAGAAACAAUCCACAGUUUCUCGUUCCAGUGCCGAAGCUGAAUAUCGUUCCUUAGAUGUCGCUACUGCUGAAGUCGCUUGGAUUGUUCAGUUACUUCGUGAUCUCCAUCUACAAUUACCUUCACCUCCGAAGCUGCUAUGCGACAACAAAAGUGCUAUAUUUAUGGCGGUCAAUCUUGUCACUCGGCCUCGCUCUAAGCAUAUUGCGAUUGACUAUCAUUUUGUUCGUGAACUCAUUGCCAAUGGUUCCUUAAAAGUCACCUUUGUUCCCUCUCAUCUUCAGCUUGCCGAUUCCAUUACAAAAGGAGUCCCCAAACCUCAGUUCCUCCUUUUUCGUCACAAGCUUCACGUGGUUCCUUCUUCCAUGCUCAACUUGAAGGGGGGUGAUAAGGAAUCUGAAUCUAUUCCUUGAUUAUAGAUGAUUUGUUAUUAUAUACAUAUCUUGUAGGAUAUAUAUUGACUACGUUUUAUUUGUUUCCUAUUAUAUAGGAUUUGUUAAUUGUUGUACAUUGUAUAUAUAAUGAGAAUCAAUCACCUCUGCAUGAUAGGGUGAAUUACAGCUAUUCUUAAACCUUGUUACAACUGAAUUUGACUUUGACAAAUUAUUUUAUAAUUUUUUAUUGGUUUAAAAUCUAAAAAAUUAAAAUUUUGAAAGUCUCAAUUCAUAUUUUUUUUUAAAAAAAAUUUGUUAAAUUUUUAAUCAAAAUAAAACUAAAGAAAAAAUUAUUCAAAAUCAUGUUAUAUUGAGUAUGAAAAGUUGACAGGGGCCAAUUAUUAUGGGAUAGAGGGAGAAAUAAAUACUAAAUUCUGCGAAUUAGGGUGCUCAAGUCUAAAAACAUGAGCAAAAACUUUCAUAGAUAGGUAAGAAUGAAAUUGCCUAACUUAUCCAAAACUAUUUAUGACAAGCUUGAAUACCAAGAUAAUAGCUUGCAUAUGGCCUCCGGAAUCCUCAACAAGCUGAUUCUUGAGAAGCAGGAUGGAUUUCCACAGAGGAGAGGCAGGGGCCUGAGCCUAAGCAGACCAAACGUACGAGGCACAUAGAUAGAAAUGAUGUAUCCAUUGGAUCCAUACAGAAUCUGUUUUCAAGUGAAUGUUCCACGGCUGCUUGGCUAAAAAAUUAUUACUGCAGGAUUUGAUAUCAACCAAAGUUGACUUGCUUCUUAAGAAGUUCCCUGUCCAUAAAAAGUUUCGACAGAGUCGAGUAAUGUGCCUAAUGACCGCUUGCGGCAUGGGAAGAAUACUAAUCCAAAACUGAACCAUUCCGUGCAAAACAGACUUAACAAGCUCAAGCCUCCCAACAAAGGUAAGAUUCUUCCCCAUCCAGCCAUGAAUGCCCGCUUCAAGCUUGUGUAGCAAGGGAGAAUACUGACUAGCUAAAAGCCUUGAGAGUUAUAUUUAGAUUUCUUUUUCUUUAUCUUGCUAAAUGCCAUAACCCAUUUUUGGGUUAUUCCCCUAUUCACAUUUUUUCUCUCUUUAAAAGAAUAAAAUACAAAAAAAUAAAAAAAAUAUUAUCAAAAAAUAUAACAGUGAAAAGAGAAUGCUAGAACGCUCAAAAAAUAGUUAAAAAUUGGUUAAGGAGGUUCAAAAAUACAAAGAUUAAAAUUUGACAAUAUUUUGCUAAUUGAUGAGAGCUCUUUUGACAAAGAAAAUUCAAUUUGAGGAAGAAAAGUCCAAAAUCAGAUGUUUAUGGACUCAAUUAAAUUUUAUUGAAGGUUUAAUUGAUUUAUGGAGGGUUUGAUUGCNNNNNNNNNNNNNNNNNNNNNNNNNNNNNNNNNNNNNNNNNNNNNNNNNNNNNNNNNNNNNNNNNNNNNNNNNNNNNNNNNNNNNNNNNNNNNNNNNNNNGAGAGUUAAUUUAGUCAAAUCAGGGGCUUAAUUGCAUAAAUAUGAAAGUAUGAUGGCCAAUUAGGGACUUAAUUGAAGAAAUCCGAAACUAAGGACCAAAAUGAAAAAGGCGCGUAAAUAGAGGAGCUAUUAUUAAAACCGAAUCAGGGGCCAAAUUGAAGAAAUUAGAAGUUUAUUGAUUAAUUGAGGGUCAAAUUGCACUAAUUCGAGACCAAGGACCAAUUUGGAAAAGGAGGUCAACUUCAAGGCCGACGAUUGAAUUUGGCAGGGAUGCAAUUGAAUUAAUUUUUAAAAUCAAAAUUACAAUUGAGGACUCGAUUGAACAAAUCCAAAAUUGAGGACUGAUUUGUACUUUCACAUAAGUUUGCCGCCAUUUUCAUUUAAAUAAAAUGACGCGUUUUGCCCAAAACGACGCCGUUUCAUGCACUGUUAAAAAAAAGGAAAAACCCAAAACAGUGCCGUUUUGAAUGGCAUUGUGGGUCUUCUUCUUCCUCUGGACGUGCGAGGCAGGGGAAGAAGAAGAUUUUUUACUGACUUUUCUCCUCCUCUUUCUCCAAAAAGCAUCAAAAAGACGCCGAUCAUAACCCCACUUGUAUAAACUCUGACCCGUGGCCUACCACAGGGCGGUGAAAAAAGGAGGAAACGUGUCCGUCGGCAGUCGUGGGGCGGCAGCAUAGUGGCCACCCCAGCCAUGUCCCUCCCUUGUUUUUGGCUAUAAAAACAAGGGGGCAGAACAAAAAAAAAAACAAGAGAAUAAGGGGGGAGCACAAGAGAAAAAGAAGGUCUAGAGACCGAAAGGAAAAAAAAAAAAACUAAGAGGAGAAGAGGAAAAAGAAACAGAAGAACAAAGGAAAAAAAAGCAGAGAAAAACAGAGGAGGAAGAAGGAGAAGGAGAAGAAGAAGAACCACCACUGACAACCUUUAACCCAGCAGCGCCACCGUUGCGGCUCCUCUCCAUCGCCAUCAGCAGCAGCAGCUCGUCAAGUAGAAGAAGAAAAGAAAAGGAAAAAAAACAGAGGCUCUCACCUCUGCACACUGAAGAAGAGGAAGCCAGCACCGCGUGCCACCAUGCCCCUAGCCACCACUAGCAGCACCGUUGCCAUCGCCACAGUCGCUCGAAGCACCAUGAGCCACCUUAGGUAAGCCUUCUUCCCUUUCCCUUUCUUCUUCUUCUUCUUCUUCGGGUCUCUCCACUGUUCACGUUGGUGUCGCCACUAUUCACGUUGCAUGUGAACAGUGGAGAGACCCACUGUUUGAAUGGGCCAGCAAACCCGGCCCAACCCAAAACGUUUGAGCUAGGUCCGACCCAAUUAAAAAAAAAAUUCUCAAAAUGCUUUUUUAAAAAAUUGUAAUUUUUCCGUGUAUUUUUCUAUUUUUUUGCUUAAUAUCGGUCUGUAUUUUACGUCAUAAAAAUACAAAUCCGGUAUUAAAAUGCCUGGUUUUCGUCAAAACUUCCAAAAAUACAAAACAAAUUGAAAAAAAUGAAAUUUAUGCAUACGGCCAAGUGUCUCAAAGCUAAAAAAUCAUAUUGUGUUUUUUCAUACACCCAAAAACAAUGUUUUAGUAUGCAUUUUGGCUUUAAUAACCAGUUUAUUAAAGUCAAGAGAAUAUUAGCCAAAAUUUCAAAAACAAAAAAAAAUUAUUUUGUUUGUCUUUUAGUAUUCAGGGUACGACAUUCCACGUAAUACGUAUUCUGAAUAUUAAAUUCUUUUUUCGGAGGCUAAAACGGUUAGGUUUUACCCCAUUAAGAAUAAGAACCUCCUUACAUAGGGCUUUUCUUAAAUCUUAGAUAGACAGAACCAACGAUUAGAAACCACAACCAAACCUUAGAUUUUAUCAGACAACAAAACAAUGCAGCCUAUCUUAGGUAGGGCGUAUUUGGGGUGCCAAUACCUUCCCUUUACGCAACCAGUCUCCGUACCCCAUCUCCGAGACCAGUUAGGGUUCCUAGUGAUCAAAAUACUAGGUGGCGACUCUGAGUUCAUAUUUUACUGAUAAGAGACAAGAAUUCCUUGUCUAUCCAUAUUUGCCAUAUACACCAUUCCAUAUUCCAUUUCCUUGAGUGGUGGACGAUCGUCGCGACGCUGCACAAGUACGACACUAAAAAAAGUACAUCUAGCUCGAUAAUUAAUUUAGAUUCAAGUUGAUUUUUUAUUUUUAAAUCAAUUAAAUGUUUAUUUAAGAUUUUGAAUGGAUUUAUUGAGGUCCCUUUUACACAUAGCUAACUUUGAUAUCCCGUCCGAUGUAUCCAACUCUUCAAUAAAAGGAGCAAUUUUUCAUUACAUUCAGCAUAAUAUUUAUCUAACAUGUAUGAAGAUUAUCGCACCCGACAUCGUGGCGGCCUUAAAAACAUUUACUCAAAAGAAAAGAUUUUUGGCAUCUUUUUCUUAGAUAUGGAAGGUCUUGCUUAAAGAGUCGUCACCUAGUAUAAUAGUUACUAGGUACCCUAACUAGUCAACAGAGAUCCUAUGGUAUGGGACUAGUUACGUAAAAGAGAAGAUAUUAUCACCCCUUAAACGUCAUGUCUGACUGGUUUUGUCUUAAAUUGCUAACAGUUUAUUGGUUUAUGCUAUGAUGGUUUGCUUGUAAUAUUUCUGACUUUAGCGUCAGUGAAUAUUUAACUAUAGAUACUUCCAAUUCUGGUGUCGGUAAAUAUUACGUACUAAAAAAAACAUAUGGUAUUUCUCGACUAUGGAAGUGAAUAACCUAGUAAAAUCAUUUUAAAAUCAAUGCAUGCAUAUUUUUUUUUUUAUAGAAAAAAAUGUAUUGUACAGUAGAUUUACAUUUCACAAUAAAAAUUUACAAGUUAGUUAUACAAUGAAAUACCAAAAAAAUAUAUUUGAGGGACCUAUAAAUAAAUUCAAAAUGAUCCUUGAAUGUUUUUGAAAUUUGCUGAGAUAAAAAAAAAAAAAGCUUGCUAGUUAAAUAUCAAAACCAAAAAAAAAAAAAAGGGGAAUGGGCUGAUUGGGCAUGAGGCCCAGGUCCAACCCGCCCUCAGCUUUUUCAGCUUUACCUUCGCACUGUGUAAUACAAACUCAAAGAAUGAAACUCAAUAGCCAGCAUGAAAAAACCAUCUUCAAAGGAAAUCUGCUCGAAAAAACCAUUCAACAAGAGAUUGUUCUGCUAGGAAAACUUUUGAACAGAUAGUACAGCAUCAAGUUUCAGUCAUCUUGAGAUUUGAAUGCCCAAAUAUAUUCACAUGCUCAUACAAUAACAUUUUUAAUAAUGCAUUAUGCAAUAGAAACAGAACAUCAAACUGACAGAGAAAACAUGCUGAUGCAGAAAAAACUCAAGUCGUAGAAAGGAGAACGCAUGAAAGUCCACACAUUAAACCAAAAGAAACACAAAUGGGCAAGCAAACAUACGCCCUUACUUCUGGAGGCUUGUACGAUAAUGACUACACACACAACAUUACAUUACUUCUAACUUCUUCAGCAAACACAUAGAUAGAUAAGACUGUUACAAUGCGAAGCCAAUUUGUAUCCCAUUGCCAAUGAAACAGUUGGAAUUACUUCCCACCAAUCUAAAACAUAUUCGCAGCACCAACCUUGAAAUCAUGUAACAGCUAACCAACCUUGCCUGAUGCAAACAUGAAGAACAAAGACAUUCCAUGAUUUAAUUCAACCAUUAAAAUUUGAAGGUAAAGGAGAGGAUAAAUAAUCUUCAGCUAUAUCACCUGGUUUGGGCAAGAAAGAAUUAUUAGACUACCAAUCAUCAUCAUCAUCACCAUCUUCUUCUUCUUCCCACCCAUUAUCUCGGGUCCACUCUCUAUUAAUGCUUGAAUCUUCAGCUACUUCAGAUACCUGUAAACCAAUUCAAGCAUGGCAUGCUCGUUUAAACUUGUAAAUCUUAUUAUUGAGCGAAACAAGAAACAAACACAAUAAAAAAGAGGCAAGAAAUCAAGUCAAAUCAGCAGCACCUUUGAUUGAGCACUCAUUGAACCAUCUGGUGUAGUGGCAAAUUUUGUGGUCAGCUUUGGACAUUGAUAGACCUUCAACUUCUCCAAACGAGGAAAUAAGAAAUAAUCACACCAUCCGAAACUAAAACAGACAAUACUUGAUAAUUGUUCUAGCGACAACUCCUUUAGAUUAGGAAGCAUCAUCUCCUUCUCAACGUUGACAAGUGAAGCUUGAUCAUCCUGCCCAAAUACUCCCAAUAAUUGAGAGGCUUUUUUUACCCUCAGUAUUUGGAGAUUUGGGAGACCUGAAGCCAUGGCUACUGGGAAGAGACUCUUCAACUUGUUGCAUUCUCUAAUCUCAAUUUCACACAAAUUGGGAAAGCAUAAAGAUUGGAGAUGAUCUCCUAACAAUAUCUGGUCGUUUUCAUCAUCAUCCUUAGCAAUGAUUUGCUCCAAUUCCUCACAGGACAAUAUCUUUAGCACUUUCAGUGGAACUAGACUGAAAAUCAUACUGCGUGUGAAUACAUGCGUCAGUCUUUUACACUCAACCACAUUCAAAGUAGUCAAUUUGCUUAGCACGAGACCCAUCCAUAUACACCUAAUGUCAGGCACCAGCAGGGAGCCCAAGCGUAAUGUUUCCAAAUUUGUCAACCCCUGCAUUGAAAGAAAACAAGGAUACCUAAUAAAUUUUGUGCACUUUGGAACUAUAUAAUUUUGGUAAAUAGAUGAACGAAUUGUCCCCAAUACUUCAGCCAAAAACUUAUCAACAAAAGGAUAUAAGUAGACAUGGCAACAGGGCAUGGGAAUAUGAAAUCAUAAGCUGCAGGACUGAAACAAUUAACUCAAUAUUGGCAGAUGGAGGUUUAUCUUCCUCUUCAAAUACUUCUAUUAAUUGGGGGAAGAGCCUCAAUUUCACUAAAACUGGGAAAGCAUAAAGAUUGAAAAAUCUAGGUAGGAUUUCAUUACAAUAAUUAUUACUUCUUAAGCCCUCUAUCAAGAGACAAGGAAUGAUACGUACUUCGAGCUGUGCAAACAAAUUUCCCAAUUCUUUGUGGCCAUCAAUUUCUAGAAUUUGCAAAGAAGGCAAUUGGGCAGCAAAAUUCUUUGGACCAAAAAAGCUGCAAUUUGAAAGAGACAAUCUUCUUAGCUUAGGGAACUUGAUGAUGGCAUCUCUGGUGAGUGCAUCUCCUUCUACACUGUAAAAUAUUUGCUUUAAAUUAUGAGCAUUCAAAAUCCGCAUCUCUUCCAGGUUCAGAAGGCUUGGAGACACAGAUACAGGGAAGACAUAUUCCAGUUUACCACACUCUUCUAUGAUGAUAGUUUUUAAUUUUGGGAAGCAAGGAGACUCUUGAAUUAUUUCCUUUUCACCAUCCU
rnacentral:lncRNA from 1 species